rnacentral:lncRNA from 1 species
CUCAGGACAGGAAAGCAGGGCUCGCAGACCCCCAGUAUCAGCUGUGUGUGACCGGCUAUAGCCCCCCAAUCUUACAGCUCUCUGUCCGCGUACACCCCACCUCCCCGGCCGCACUCUAUCGGCCUCUGGCCCCCAUCUGCUCGGCUCUCCGUGGUGCUGAAAGCUGGGGCCGCCCCGGGGAGGAGGAAUCCGGCCCAAGCUGCAGCAAGCGGGGAGAUCUGUCGAGAAAUCCGGAGGGCCCGCAGGAGAGCACCGAGGCUGCUGGAGCAGCACAGGCCACAGCAGCUCCAUGUAAACAUAUAGAAACCCCCCCAAUCCAAGAGAACACCCCGGCUUUUCCACUAGACUUUAACAAAGAACCCUAAAUCUACUGCCACCCCACCUCUAUGAGGCAUUAAAUUAAAGGGUCUCCAGCACUGACAGGAGUAGCACUUUUUUUGUUUUUUUAAAGCCAAAACCCUACCAAGAGACCCUCACAUUAAAAGGUGCAGCUCUGCUUGAGACCCCCAGGUCCAGUGAACACCACCUGCUUGCAAGCAAGGGACCCUCAUAUUGAAAGGAACAUCUCUGCUGAGACUAUAAGCUCCCCUGAGCACCCAUUCCUGCAAGAAAGAGACCCUCAAUUAGACAGAAAAGACCACAGAUAUUCAAGAUAACACAGGACAGAUCGUGAGACAUACAAGUUUCCUGGAUUCCCAUCUCAAAAAGACCCCCAUCGGCUUCACAUCACAGCAGAAGAAGCACAUAUCUAUCAGCCCUCUAUAUUGUUAGAAAAUCACUAAUCCCCAAAUAUCAGGUGGGAAACCCCCUCAUGAAUAAAACUUCUAGCUUAGUAUCUCUAUGAGACCCCCACAUCAUCCUGCAUUCUGUGCACUGACAUAUCAGAUAUCUCCCCCCACCACAUGCCUCUUAUUUACAGGGACUUUUAAAUCUUACAGAGGUAAAAGAACACUCUGUUGGAAAAGUCAGAGAUGCUUAACCACUGAGACCCCAAAAUCUAGGUCUCUACUGUUUCUUUACUGAACACCCUAAAAUCAUCACUUUUUAAAGUCAAAACCUGACCCAACCUGGCUAACUCACCUCUUCCAUACUACUCCUGUUACCUCUUGGAAUUUGUAUUAACUGUAGUCUGUGAUAUAGGAUAUUAACCCAUCCAAGGAAUAUACCAAUCCAAGUUCAUCCUAAUAAGGACCACUGACCUUCACCAGCUCCUGAGAUCAAGGUAGGAAAAUAUCACUUCUACAUCAGGGAUUCAAUAAAUAGUGUUAUACUAUCCUGUGUUUGCUCUAAAAGAAUAAUUGAGGGGCAAGCUCAAAAAAUGUUUCUUAGCUUUUUCCAUAAUAUACCAAUUUUCAUUUUACAUCUUGAGUCCUCUGUAACCUCACCUCCCUAGUACUUGCCAAAGGUUCACUAUUUAUUUGUAUGAUGGUGUUAUAUUACAUGCACAAUGCAUUAUGCAUGGCUAUCAAUAGGGAUUUACAUGUAGGGCACUCAAAAUAGGAAUCAAGUGGUUAAGGUAAUUUAACAUAGGUACACUUGACAUUGUAUAAUAUGCUCACUGUAAUACAAGAUUGUACACCUUAUAUUGGAUCAACCUGAACAUGGUGUAUCACAAUUAUUGGUAACUUGUGCAUGUAGAAGUAUGUUUUCAUAUGUCGUAAUACCAUAUAAAUCAAUAGAAUACUUUCUUUAGUGGUCCUUUUUUAAAACGUUUUUGUGGAGUCUAUGCUCUUCCAAUCUGCAGAAUUUUAAAUUAAACCCAAAAUUCAGUUAGUGGCUAAAUACCAUAGAGCCAACAAUGAUGGCUGCUUUAUCCACAGGUGGUUUGCUGGAGAUUUUAAUAUCAGUUCUAGCGUGUUUCAGUACUUUAAGAAUGUGGUAUAUAUGUUAUAGCAAAGCAAAUGCUAUGUACAGUUUUGACUUUGUGAGUACCUGUCUCAGUCUUUGGUUGUGGCUGUAUGGUCAAAGCAUUUGUAGUGAUGGGAUAGCCAGUUAGAUGAAAGCUGUAGAGUUGCAUUGAAAUUAAACAUAUUACCAUGCAUUUUUAAUAUAGAAUUUCUUAGAUGCUGAUGUUAUCAGUAGGAUGUGCCGAUAGAUACUGGAUUAUUUAAAGUGUGGAUGUGAGCCAUAAGAACAAUGCGGAAUGAAGUGAGCGGAUUACUGUGUUUAAUGACUGAAAAUAAGACAUCCUUAGUUUUGUUAAUAAGUCACAUAUAACAUUCUUCUUUACAACAUGGUACUUUAGUGGUGUAUACAAUUUUAGCCACAAAUGCUAUAUAAAUGUGUCAUCAGCCUAGUGUGCAUAUUCCAUUUAAAUGGGGCUCUGUCCUUUGUAAGAAGUCAACACAGAAAGCACAAUUUAAAAUGUGACAUUAAAUAUCAGAAGCAAUUUUAAGGUAUAAUGCAGUAAUAUACAGUGGUUUUAUUACUAUCCUAUGCUUUAUCGUGUUUCAUGAGAAAAACUUUUUUUGUCCAUAAAAAUAAUUUGUCACUGACUUUUGUUUGUUUUCAUUGUUCCCAGGUGAUAAUACAUUAUAACUUGCAUCUGUGUAUAUUAUUAUCUGCAGCAAGACGAGAUUAUAGGCACUGUAUCUAAAUGGCUGUGCGUCAGCAAAAUGUUGUGGGGGGGAAAAAAAGGCUUAUGGCCAGUAGGACGAUGAAAUCAUUAAUGUUAUUUCAAGCUUCUGAUUUUCCAGAAAUCCUGCCAUUUACUGAGAAAGAGACUGCGUCAUUGCUGUGGCAUAAAGUUACCUUAAAUUUUGUUCCAAUAGUCCAGUCAAUGGAUUUAUUUACUGUAAUGGUUUGUAGAUAUCGUUUCUGUUGUAUGAUUUUCUAUUUCUCAUGUAAAUUUGGAAAUAGCUUCUAUUUUGAACCACAUAUCAGUCUUUUAGGUGCUAGGUGUUCAUUUCAGAAAAGUUGAUUUCUUGACAGAUGCAUGACACACAUUUUAGAUAAACAUCUCAUCUACUUCAAAUGACUAUGUAUAGCACUUUAUAAAGCCUUUCUUUAGCAUGGAACUUGCUGGGGGAACAUUGCUGUGAAAUCGGUUGCGACUUAAAAGGGAGAGAACAGGUUAAUCUUGACAUUCAUGCCUUUUACACUCUGCUUCAGAUCAUUAUACAUGGUUCAGUUUCAUUGUCCCUUUAAAUAAUUGUAACAGUUUGUCAUUCUAUGUGAAGCAGGUAAUGUUUUGUUUCCUGCCCAAUUUAAAAUUAAAUAUAGAUAGACAGUUAUUCCAUAGAUAGACAGUUCGCUCCAAUAGCCAUACAAUUCUGCCAGCGGGGUGGCCCUGACUUUUCGACCUAUUUACAUCCAAUGGGACUCAGUGUCAUUAAAAUUAUGAGGUUCUAGGCAGUACCUUGUGGGAGUCUAAUGUACCAGUCUAGGAGAUUUUAUUGGUUACCUGGUAGAAAGACUUGUUAAUGUGCAUUAGUAUUGUAAGGGUAAGAAUUAACCCAAUAGUGAAAUCCAUUGUCCACCCAUACUGCAUGUAAAAUGCAAAGUAACAUUAAAAUGAAAAGAAAGCAGUGUAUUUGUAAUGCUUUUCACGUACAUUAUGUCAAGCACUAUUUGUUUCACCCAAUAGAUAAGACAUUACAGAUAGAUAGAUACAUACAUACAUAAAAACAUACGUACAUAUGUAAUUUUAUACAGUUUUUGUAGAAGUACCAAAAUCUUACCCAUCACUGGACACCAAGAGGAUUUUGUUGAAAGUCCAAUCAAAUUAUAUUUUCUUCUAAGGAACAUGGUUAUCAUUUACUUUAUCUAUAUGUUUACUGCUGGAAUUUACUGUAAAAUAUAUACGCAUAAAUCUCUUUCCAUCAACAAUUCAACUCUUGAAGGUUUAGACAGAAACAUUUUUGUCUAAUGCUCGAAGAAAGCACAAUGCAAAUAUAUUUUAUUUUAUACUAUUAUUAUGAUGCAUUGUUCUUCGUUAGAAUGUUUUUACUCCUUGCUGCUUACUGGCUGUUGAUGUUAAAGCCAUACAAAGGAGAAAGGGAACUAGGACUCCUAAUCAUUUACAGUGAUUACUAGCUUUUUAAAGGUUUAUAAAACACAUUGAAUCUUGAAUAUGUAAUCCUAAAAUUGUACAUGUUUCUAAACCUCUGUACUAGAUAUUAACUUGGCAUAUAUUUUAAAUUGGGAUCAGACUCAGUAUUAGUCUUGGACACACAUACAUACUUUUUAUAUUCUGCAGGUAGCUAUUUAUAAAUCACCAUUCCUGAACAUAUCAACAGAUUUCACAUGCAUAGCAUAUAAUCCAUACAAUGCGCUAGCAGAAAGAAAAAAUACAUUGAUACAAGAAUGGCCCUUUCAAUCACCUAUCAGUUACUUCUUGAAUUACAGUUCACUUGCUCUCCUACAUAGCAACUUGACUUCAUCCAAUACUGUGAUUAUUCCUUAUUAUGUCAGUACAUCUCAUACUUUGAAUAAUACAGGAACGGAGGCAGACAUGUCACCCUUUGAACAUGUAUUGUGUCAUUAAUGAAACCAACUCUAUGAGAGGCAGACCUUUGGAAGGUACUUACUAAGCUUUUCAGGCAGGACCAAUUGAGUAAGAGAUCGGCAGGUGGUAGUAGGAAACAGGAUGAGGGUACUACACCAGUUUAAUCCCUACAAACCCAGCGUGGAGACGGGGUGAAUUUCUGCUUAACAAUUCCUAAAGCAGUAAAAUAAAUAACGUAUCUUUAUGAUUGCUUAAGGAAUGGUAAGCACUUAUAGUGAACUUGUUGUGAUAGGUUCACAUUAAAGGGACACUAUAGUCACGAAAACAACUUUAGCUUAAGGAAGCACUUUUAGUGUAUAGAUCAUGAUCCUGCAAUCUCACUGCUCAAAUCUCUGCAAUUUAGGAGUUAAAUCCCUUUUGUUUCUGUCCAUGCUACCCCAGUCACACCUCUCCUGGCUGUGACUCAUACACCAUGCAUAAAAAAAAAAAAAAAAUGGUUACACUUUCAAUUAGAUGUAACUUACUUUAAUAGUUCUUAUUAAAAACCAAAGAAAAGAAAAAGUAACCUGCGCUCUCUCCUUAAUCCCUGUGUAUAUUUAGACAAAUAGAGGUCAUUUAGUUGCUCCAAUGGCCAUUGGAGGGAAUGCCCGCCUGCCAAUGUCAAGGCAGACCCCCCUAAAGCAGGUCCUACACUGUGUGUGAUACACAGCCUUGUUACAAUGCUGCCGCCCAUCCCAUGUGUUCCCUAUUAAGGGUUAAUAAGUAUACAGGGGUGUAUAUAAAAAAAUACCCCUCUCUGUCUCAUUAGAGAUAUCUUUGCCAGAAGCUCAAGGAAGCAGGCUGAAGGGUCAGCCUUGAGGGGGGGUCUGCCUUGACAUUGGCAGGCAGGCAUUCCCUCCAAUGGCCAUUGGAGCAACUAAAUGACCUCCAUUUGUCUAAAUAUACAUAGGGAUUAAGGAGAGAGCGCAGGUAACUUUUUCUUUUCUUUGGUUUUUACUAUAUAUUGGGGCUGAUGUGUACUGUAGUCAUUGCUGCCGGCCCAGUAGUGAUGGGAGUGAGUGCAGGAUUUCUCUUUUUGUAUUAAUAGUUCUUAUUGCCUGCUCUCUAAAGUGAACUUUAAUUAUACACAUAAUGCUUCUGUGGGGUCUAGCUAGCUAUCAACAGUGCAGGGGAUAAUACAUGUUAAAUUAAAUAGAGUUUGCAAUGAAUGAAGUGUAAACAUUAACUGACUCUGUACAGGAAGUAUUUAGGAAGGCUAAGUCACAUGCAGGGAGGUGUGACUAGGGUGCAUUAAUAAAGUUAUUUGACUCCUAAAUGGCAGAGAAGUGAGCAGUGACACUGCAGGGAAAUGAUCUACACACUAAAACUGCUUUAAUAAGCUAAAGUUGUUUUGGUGACUAUAGUGUCCCUUUAACUUCACAGUGUAUUGUAUAAAAUUGCAGCUUGUCUUUAUGCUAUUCCUGAACUUGUAGAGAGUAUCACACCCUAGAGUACAUUCUCUAAUAUUUUAUAUUCACAUUACAUAGGUGCCAACCAUUCACAAUCUGCUGGAACAGUUCAUCUUUUGGGGUUACUAUUCCAGCAAAAAUCUACCUGUAGAUUUCAAAAUUCAGGAGGGACUAAGCAUUAGGACCAUGCACAGAGUGCUUCAGCAGCACUCCAUGCAUGGUCUUCUUGAGGGGGAGGCAGUCAGCCUCUUUAGCGUCUGAUCCGUCCAUUUGAUGGCAAGACCCUCCCCUUUUUAUGAGUAGACCUGCUCAUCAUAAACCAAGAUACUGUAUUUUCUGGCGUAUAAGAUGACUUUUUAACCCUGGAAAAUCUUCUCCAAAGUCGGGGGUCGUCUUAUACGCCGGGUAUCUCCUGUACCGCGCGGUACCCGGCCGGACUGACAGGACGAAGAGGAGCUCGGCCACCCACUAUGCACAGGGAAGGGGAGGUGAGAAGAAUGUAGGGCCACCCACUCUGCACAGGGAAGGGGAGGUGAGAAGAAUGUAGGGAGGAUUGGGGGGUGGGGAGUAAAAAGAAUGGAGGUGGGGGAGUAAAAAGAAUGGAGGUGGGGGAGUAAAAAGAAUAUAUCGCAAUUAGCCUCCUGUGUGCUAGACCAGCAGGCAUGGAUUAUAUGCCCAAACAGCCUGGCACAUACCUGGGCUUUAAAUGCUAUUUCAGAUUAUUAUUAUUUAAUGUCUUGCUGUGUAGCUCUGUCUGCUCACUGUACAUCAUGGCUAAUUUUUAUUUGGUGUGCAUUGGAAGAGGGGUAGUCUUAUACGGUGAGUAUAUCCCAAACUCUAUAUUUUAACUGGAAAAGUUGGGGGUCGUCUUAUACGCCUAGUCGUCUUAUACGCCGGAAAUUACGGUAUAUAUGGGCAUUCACAAGUAUUCUUGUUGCAGAAAAAAAAGUAAAAUUUUAUUCCAUUACACAAACAAGCAAAGUUUAUGUUUUGGACCUCCUUCAGUCCUUUCUCAAGACAUUUAUUUAAAAUAAAUCCUAAACCAAUUAGUAGCAUACUUGCCCCACAGCUCCGUGCACAAACACUGAAACCGUACGUUUUUUUGGGUUGCUAUAUCCAAAAUGUCUUUCACUGUAAAAGGAGACAGACACAGUCUCCCCCUAUAUAUAUAUUAAAUAUAUAUAUAUAUAUACGUGUGCGUGUGUAUAUAUUUAAAGUUAUUCUUAACAAGCAUCAGGUGCUGAAAAUUGAUGUUUUCUCCUAAGUUUGUAUGCUAGCUAUGUUUUCAGUCUUAAAUCAGUAGUGAAGUAGUUAAGAGAGGAGAAUGUUUUAUUCAGUUAAAUAUAUUGUCUAUCACCCCCUUCUUUAUUUAAUUAUGUUCAAAUUCCCAAUCACGUUGUGUAUCUUUAAUCGUUUUUGAUCAUCCCGUUUAUUGCAAGUUUAAUCAUCUUUUCCUUCCUCUCUUGAUUAAUCUUCAGCAUUCAUUUAGGUCCAUUUUUGGAGUAAAUGUCUUUUUUUCUGUCUGUGUCCGCAGUCCGGGUGGUGUUUCAAUCCAUUUUAUGCUGGAAUUGAUUAGCUGUUGGAUAAAAUUGCUCCUGUUGAAAUAUGCGUUGCAAAUUUGUAAGAUAAUCAGGCUGAAUCAAGGCUGGGAGUCUUUCUUUAAAUAAGCCAUCAAGUCUGGGUGAUUUUAUGCUGGGAAACUAGAGAUAAUGCUUUCUUUUUUCCCCAUCUGACAACAUGCAAUUCUUACAAAUGUCGGAGUAUAAAUUUGGGGAAAAAAAUAAAAUGUCCUUUUAGAAAGGAUUAAGAUAAAACAGUGCAUGACAAUGCUGACUCUGUAUUUACGCAUUUGCCUCUGCAUAAUUCAUUCCUUUUGCACGCAUGGUGUAUACUUCACUUUACUGUACCACCAUGUUUUAAGUUGUAUACAUGUUUACAUAUUGACAUAUCUCUAAUAUUCCAAUUGGAAUUAGAAUUCUGAGUAUAAAGAUGAACAAAAACCUGUUUCUAGAAUCAAUUCUCUUUCUACAGCCUUUCCUCAAGGUCAAUGUCACCUACAGAAGUCCCAUCUUUUUUAUUUGCAUUCAAUACCAAUAUAUGCUACAGCCUGUAAACCGGCAUAUUUGGUAACAUUAUGCUAAAAAUACUUAGCAAGGUGGCCAACAUCACUCAAAAUGUUGCAUUAUGUUGUAUUAGUUCUGCUCUAUCCUUGAUCCUCCCCUGCUAUAAAUACUAUUCAUAUAUCAUCUAUACAACUAACACAAAACCUCUGUCUCAGUUUCUAGGGUGUUCCCAGCAUCUGAAGGCCUCUCUUAAAUUCAGAGGCACUCUAUUUUUGGGACCAAAAGCAGUUUUAUGAGGGAGGUCUUCUGAGACAACUUGUAGGACAAGGUAACUCUAGUUCUCUAUGCAUGGUCCCUCCAGUUUGACUACCUGGUUGUCAGAGCUCAUUUGUCAACAUAAUGCACAUGACACGACCAUCAUUCGCCCAGUCUGGGGACCUCUCAUUGUUGUGAGGCCUUGCAAUCAUGCUAAAUUUUGUUUAAUGUAUCAAGACCUAAUGACCUUUUAUACAAUACUAUUAAAAGACCACUAGAGGCCCCACAUGCCCUCCUUGCAAAAGUUAAUUUACUAAUCCUUUUCUAGUGCUGCAAGGGUCUCCUCAUGGUUGGCUCUGCUUAUGGUCUACCUUCUUCGCUAAGAUAAUUAAUUUUAAUGAUCUCAGCCAAUGCAAAUCUUUCAUAAAGAAAGGCAUUAGGAGGCUAUUGAGCAUGCACAGCAAACGUCACGCUGCACCAAUGAGCAUCUCCUCAUAGAGAUGCAUUGCAGAGCGUGGAGACACUGAACGUAAGUCAGGAAGCACCUCUUGUGGCCAUCUGAGUGACUUCCACUAGAGGUGUUCAUAGGCAGUAAUGUAAACACUGCUUUUUCUCUGAAAUGGCAGUGUUUACAUUAAAAUGCCUGCAUGGACAUACUUUACACACCAGAACAACUACAUUAAGAAUUUUUUAUAUCGUAAGUAGAUUUCAAUUAUUCACAUUAACACACACAUAAUAAGGAAAAUUAGUUUUCACUUAGUGUGUCCAUUUAUUAUGUUGUAUCCAUUAGUGUAUCCAUUUAUUAUUGCUCCCCUAGAGAGGAUGAGUUGAAAGGUCAUGCUGGUUGGGCCCCAGUAGGUGCCAUAUCAGCAUCACUAGUGGUCCAUCCCGCCCAUCAGGCUUUGUGCUGUAAUAACAGUCUCUGUGACAAAUAAAUGAGUUCUUCAAUGGAAAGUAUGUGUUCUAAUGUUUUUAGCCAUUCUGUGAGUAGUGAUCUUCUAAUACUGCGAUAUCAGAAACACAGCAGCAUUGAGGAAGCAUAUUGGGAGUGAGGCUCUAUAGGUAUUGAGUGAUUGUGUCGUAUGAUGCAAGAGCAGUGGCCCUGGAGUGAGGGGGGUAGCUCCUUAACCAUCAAAGAGAAUUUGAGACCAAAAUCUGCGCCUCCAGCAUCCCCCCAACUCUCCCAGUACAUAAGUGUUUAGAGCAAUCGGGGUCCUGCACCAACUUGAUAAUAGCUUAUAUGUUUCCUUUGUGCUUGAGGAAAUAGCAGAAUUGUGUGCAUGUGCUGCUUUUUUUGCUACUGCCUGUCGUUGAAGCAAAGUUUGAAAUCCUCCUCCCAUUUGGCCCUUUAUGUGGGUGGUUGUGCUGCCUCAAGGGACAUGAGUAUAGUGUAUAUUUGUGAAAAUAGGUGCUGCUUUGUGGCAUAGCGUUUCAAAUGGAAGUAUUGGUAACAUAUUUGUGCAGUCUGUGAUAGUGGACUUGGACCAAGAAUGGGACUGGAGUGUCUUGAGUUGGCACUCUCAAUUCUCUUAGUGGUCCCUGACUGUGUAGAUGGUGAACACAGAGUGUACCAGAGGAGUCAAUGAGGUCUAGCCAUGGAGCUAUAGUAGAGAACUAAGCUGUUAAGUCCGUCAGUGGUGUCAUUGGUCCUUUAUACUGUUUUUAUUUAUAUUUAGAGGGGCCUUGAAUAUAAAUAAAGAGGAAAACACUAUAGCUUUAGGAAUAAAGGUAUUUAAAGGAGCAUGGGAGGAGGGGACGGCUGAGGUGCACAUAUACAAACGCUUCUCAUAGGCAGUAUAUUAAUGGGAGGGAAGGGGAAGUGUAUUAAUUUGAGGGAGGGAGGGGGCACUGUAUUAAUGUGGGGAAGUCAGGGGGCCAGUGUAUUAACUUGGGGAGGAUAGGGGCAAUGUAUUUGAAGGAAGGAGGGGGCAAUGUAUUUAUUUUAGGAAGGGAAGGGGUCAGUGUAUUUAUUUAUUUGAGGGAGGGAGGGGGCCAGUGUAUUAGAGUGGUAAGGGGCAGUGAGUUACAUUAGGGGUAGGGAGGGCAAUGUAUUAAAGUGGAGUGGGGGCAGUAUAUUCAAUUAGAGUGGAGGGAGGAGGGGCAGUGUAUUAGAUUAAGGGGCAAUGUAUAAGAUAGGGUUAAGGGGGCCUUGUAUAACAGUGGAGGGGGGGGCAAUGUACUGGAUUUGUGGGUAGUGUAUUAGAAUGGUGGAGGGGCAGUGUAUUAAAUUAGGUCUGCAUGGAGACGCUGAACGUUCCCAUGGAGAUGCUGUUUGGCCGUGCAGCUUUUUGCCACCCAUGCACAAUAGCCUCCCAAUGCUUUCCUAUUGGAAAGCAUUGGAUUGGCUAUCAUCAAGUUUAUAGAAACAUAGAAACAUAGAAACAUAGAAUGUGACGGCAGAUAAGAACCAUUCGGCCCAUCUAGUCUGCCCAAUUUUCUAGAUACUUUCAUUAGUCCCUAGCCUUAUCUUAUAGUUAGGAUAGCCUUAUGCCUAUCCCACGCAUGCUUAAACUCCUUUACUGUGUUAACCUCUACCACUUCAGCUGGAAGGCUAUUCCAUGCAUCCACUACCCUCUUAGUAAAGUAAUACUUCCUGAUAUUAUUUUUAAACCUUUGUCCCUCUAAUUUAAGACUUUGUCCUCUUGUUGUGGUAGUUUUUCUUCUUUUAAAUAUAGUCUCCUCCUUUACUGUGUUGAUUCCCUUUAUAUAUUUAAAUGUUUCUAUCAUAUCCCCCCUGUCUCGUCUUUCCUCCAAGCUAUACAUGUUAAGAUCCUUUAACCUUUCCUGGUAAGUUUUAUCCCGCAAUCCAUGAACCAGUUUAGUAGCCCUUCUCUGAACCUCUCUAAGGUAUCAAUAUCCUUCUGAAGAUACGGUCUCCAGUACUGUGUACAAUACUCCAAGUGAGGUCUCACCAGUGUUCUGUACAAUGGCAUGAGCACUUCCUUCUUUCUACUGCUAAUACCUCUCCCUAUACAACCAAGCAUUCUGCUAGCAUUUCCUGCUGCUCUAUUACAUUGUCUGCCUACCUUUAAGUCAUCAGAAACAAUCACCCCUAAAUCCCUUUCCUCAUAUGUUGAGGUUAGGACUCUAUCAAAUAUUCUGUACUCUGCCCUUGGGUUUUUACGCCCAAGAUGCAUUAUCUUGCACUUAUCCACAUUAAAUGUCAGUUGCCACAAUUCUGACCAUUUUUCUAGUUUACCUAAAUCAUUUGCCAUUUGGCUUAUCCCUCCUGGAACAUCAACCCUGUUACAUAUCUUAGUAUCAUCAGCAAAAAGACAUACCUUACCAUCAAGACCUUCUGCAAUAUCACUAAUAAAAUAUUAAAGAGAAUGGGUCCAAGUACAGAUCCCUGAGGUACCCCACUGGUAACAAGUCCAAGCUUCGAAUAUAUUCCAUUAACUACAACCCUCUGUUGCCUGUCACUCAGCCACUGCCUUACCCAUUCAACAAUAUUGGAAUCCAAACUUAAAGAUUGCAGUUUAUUGAUAAGCCUUCUAUGUGCAACAGUGUCAAAAGCCUUACUGAAAUCUAGGUAAGCAAUGUCUACUGCACCACCCUGAUCCAUAAUUUUAGUUACCCAAUCAAAAAAAUCAAUAAGAUUAGUUUGGCAUGAUCUCCCUGAAGUAAACCCAUGUUGUCUCUGAUUUUGAAAUCCACAUGUUUUUAGAUGUUCAUCAAUCCUAUCCUUUAACAUGGUUUCCAUCACUUUCCCCACUACUGAAGUAAGGCUUACUGGCCUAUAGUUGCCCGACUCCUCCCUAUUACCUUUCUUGUAAAUGGGCAGAACAUUCGCUAUCUUCCAAUCUUCUGGGACUACUCCUGUUAACAAUGAUUGUUAAAUAAAUCUGUUAAUGGUUUUGCUAGUACACCACUAAGCUCUUUUAAUAGCUUUGGGUGUAUUCCAUCAGGUCCCAUUGACUUAUUUGUCUUUAUGUUUGACAGUUGAAAUAGAACCUCUUCCUCUGUAAACUCACGUGUAAUAAAUGACUCAUUUAUCCUUUUUCUCAACUGAGGUCCCUUUCCUUCAUUUUCAUCUGUAAAUACAAAACAAAAAUAUUCAUUGAGGCAGUCAGCUAGACCUUUAUCCUCUUCUACAUACCUUCCUUCUUUUGUUUUUAAUCUAACUAAUCCUUGUUUUACUUUUCUUUUCUCAUUUAUGUAUCUAAAAAAUGUUUUAUCCCCUUUUUUACUGACUGUGCUAUUUUCUCUUCUGUGUGUGAUUUGGAAGCUCUUAUAACUUGCUUAGCCUCUUUCUGCCUAAUCUUAUAGAUCAUUUUGUCUUCCUCACUCUGGUUUUUUAUAAUUCCUAAAUGCUAACUUUUUGUUUUUAACUAUUUUGGCCACAUCUGUGGAGUACCACAGUGGUUUCUUGAAUUUUUUGCUUUUACUGACAAGCCUAAUGCAAUUUUCUGUUGCCUUCAAUAGUGCAACUUUUAAAUAAUCCCAUUUCUCUUGGACUCCAUUUAAAUUGCUCCAGUCUGAUAAUGACUCCUCUACACAUAUUCUAAUUUUAGAAAAGUCUGUUUUUCUAAAGUCUAAAACUUUUGUUUUUGUGUGGUGUGACUCAGUCACUGUUCUUAUAUUAAACCACACUGACUGAUGAUCACUGGAUCCUAAACUUUCACCUACAGUAAUAUCUGAUACCAAAUCUCCAUUUGUUAACACCAAAUCUAGUAUGGCCUCUUUACGAGUUGGCUCCUCAACAACUUGUUUUAGAGACAAUCCCAGUAGGGAGUUUAGAAUAUGUGUGCUCCUGGCAGAAGUAGCUAAUUUUGUUUCCAAUUUACAUCAGGAAGAUUAACGUCACCCAUGAUGAUAACUUCCCCUUCAUUGUCAUUUUAGCUAUUUCCUCAACUAGUAGAUUAUCUAACUCUUCAAUUUGUCCUGGGGGCCUAUAAAUCACACAUACAUGAGUUACUGUGUGAUUACCAAAUUUUAACGUAACCCAAACGGACUCUUUGUUUGCCUCACUAACUUUUAUUAGGCUAGAUUUUAUGCUAUCCUUCGCAUACAAGGCCACCCCUCCCCCUUUCUUGCCUUCCCUAUCUUUCUUAUAUAAAGAGUACCCUGGUAUUGCUAUGUCCCAGUCAUUUUUCUCAUUAUACCACGUCUCAGUAACAGCGACUAAAUCUACACUAUCAGUUGCCAUUAUUGCCACAAGUUCAUGGAUCUUAUUCCCUAAACUGCGAGCAUUUGUAGACAUGACUCUAAGCUUAUAAUUUUUUAACACACUUGCUACAGGCACCUUCUGUCCUUGUUUUGGGGGACAAUUGGAUUGAUGUUUUAUCACCCUUUUGCCCCCCCCUCCUAGUUUAAAUACUUCUUAGCAAAACCUCUGAACUGCUCACUGAGAACAUUUGUUCCCUUUUGAGAAAGAUGCAAACCAUCUUUUUUGUACAACUUAUCUCCAUUCCAAACAGAGCUACCAUGAGAAAUAAAGCCAAAUCCUUGCUCCCGACACAAUUCACCAAGCCACAAAUUAAAGUCCCUAAUACGCAUCCGCCUGUCGUUCUGAGUGUUAUGCACAGGCAGAACUUCAGAGAAUGACAGUGUGGAAGCAACCUGCCGUAUAUCAUUGGCAAAAACACUAAAAACUUCCUUAACCUCUGAAACCUCAUUGCAAGCCAAGUCAUUUGUCCCUAGAUGGACAAGUACAUCCAAUUCCCCUUCCUGCUUUGCUUGCUUAACAAUAUUACAGAUACGUCUCCUGUCUCUGUGAGCAGUAGCUCCGGGAAGACACCUCACAAGACCACCAUUGUCCAUCUCCACACCUCUUAUAAUGGAAUCCCCCAACAACAACGGCUUUCUAUUAGGUCUCACCAUAGUCUCCAAGCCAGUCUCCACAACACCACUAGCCUCAGUGCCUCUCUCCACAACACCACUAGCCUCAUUGCCUCUCUCCACAAUACCACUAGCCUCAGUGCCUCUCUCCACAACACCACUAGCAUCAUUGCCUCUCUCCACAAUACCACUAGCCUCAGUGCCUCUCUCCACAACACCAUUACACUCUGAAAGUGCAGAAAAUGAAUUAUGAAGAGCAACAGACUGUGCAAUAUGCCUUUUAUCCACAACUCUAAGUCUACCAGAUCCUACAGUAAUCUAUCUGCCAUUCCUAGUAUGUCUCUGCGGCAGUGGCUUUGCAGCAGUUCCAGUCUGAGUUUGUUCACCAGAUAAUUUACAAAUCUCAGACUUCAAAAAUACAAUCUCCUGCCGCAAAAUAGAGAACUGUCUACAGAUUAGACAACAACCAAACCUCCAAAAAGUGGAACGUGAAACAAAUGCAUAGCAACUAUUACACUGAACUAAGUCUGCCAUUCCAAUGAGGAGAAUAAUUUAAAUCAAACAAAUCUUAACUUUGUGUUUAUCCUCCUGAAUACCUCAGAUUACCUCCAGUUUAUAUCCAGAAUAUCUCCAACUACACACUUAGAAACAGCACUUAGAAGUAGCAACCAAGCUAUAUUAGCCAAGCUAAUGGCAACAGCCCUUAUAUAACUCCUAAAAUCACCACCCACUAGGAAUAUUUAACACCUGGGUAGGCCUCUGCUUAUUUGCAAACAAUAGCUAAUUUAAACAGCAAUCAAUAGCAAGUAAUCUAAUCAAAUGCCGUAUAAUUACUAACAGAAAUUCAAACCUUGUGCAAUCAGUAACCUUUUCCUACAGAUGAAUCUUACCUGUAACAGUAGAAAAGAAAGCUCUUAGCACAACUCUUAAACUGUUGAAGCUUCUGUAAAACUCUCCAGAAUAUCUCCAACUACACACUUAGAAACAGCACUUAGAAGUAGCAACCAAGCUAUAUAAAAUAACUUAGCUCUUUUGUUUACUUUGAAGCCCUACAAGUAUAAGGAUAUCCAGUGUCAGGCAAUUAUUUUGAUACUGUACUAGUACCUUGGGGAUACCUAGGUUUCAUAAAACCACUCAAAACAGUUUAAAAACAACCAAACUUUUAUUUUUUCGCCAUAAAAAACAAUCACAAUAUGUCUGUAAGCAGGUCUGCCGAGACAACUGAAUAUUUUAAUAUGUUGUUGCUAAUCUCCACCCCCUCAUAUUUUAAUAUUUUAAAUGUUAAUAUUGUAAAUGAUGUAUUUCUAACAUUAUAGUGUUUUACUAUACAUUUUGAUUACUGGUGUCCUUAAAACAUUAAUUAAAGCAGUUUUACUUUUUACCUUUUACCCCUCCUUACUCCAGUCUCAUUCAGCCCACCCUUUAUGCCUUGGCUGAAAUCAUCAGUGAUGAUGAUCUCAGCCAAUUACUGCCUCAUGUGCAUGUAAAGUAUUUGCCAUGCUGCCUUAAUGAGCCUCACUAAUGCUUUAGUUCAAUGUAUCUCUAUGUGGAGAGUUCCGAACCUUCAUGCAGAAUGAAGAUACCAAACAUCAGUCCUGCAAAGAUUGCUAGUGGCUGUGUCACAGUGAUAGCCACUACAGGUGUCCAUUUCUAUGCAAUGUAGACAGGUAGAGGCUCUUUACCUAAGUGAUUCAACUCUAAGCACACAGGUCUGCAAACUCUGUCACCAUACCCUGCAAAUAAUAGAGAUAACCCCUCUGUUCAGGAGUACAAGAAUUACCAAAAUAUUGUAUUCACAAUGUAAACUUGUUAAAGGCUAGGCCUUGUGGUGAAUUCCCAAAAUAUUUCAUUCACCACAUGGCCUAGCCUUUAACAAGUUUACAUUAAACUUGUAAUGACACAGUCACAGUAAUAUAUAAAAUCUAAAACCACAGUAGAACAUAUAUCCAAUAUCAGAAUAUAAUAAAAUAUCUCUUAGUAACUGGAGAGGUAAAUCAAGAACACACAGACAAACUGUAAAGUGUACCUGUAACAAUCUGAACAUUGAAAUAUAUGCAAAUUAGACAAUUUAAGCAUUCAUUGUUCUCACUGCAGUGCUGACAGAUAUAGAGUUUAAUGGCUGUGACACUCAAAGCGACAUCCCGUUGCAAUCUCCUCUAAAAAAGAGAUCUCUUUACUAAGAGGUUGUCUCAUUGGAGUACACAAAGGAAAUUUUAUUUAGUGUUUUGCUAUUAUAAAUUAGAAAGAAUAAACAUGGGUGUUUUGCCUUCUAGAUAAAAAUACAAAUAUUUAGAAAUUGAUGGGCCUUUAGAACUUGAUGUUAGCCAAUUUAUGCUAAAAGUGUGCUUACGUGUCUCAUUAAGAAUAAUGUGUACUAUAUGUUACAUUAAAUGCUGAUUACACUCAGGAGCAUACUGAUGCACUUGUGGGUUGAGGAAUAAAAGAAAUCUUUCAAAACUUUCCAAGGUCAUAGGAACCAACUCCUUAUCCUUUAGGGAUUCAGGCUGCUGAGCAGGCCCGGACUGGCCAUCGGGCACACCGGGCAAAUGCCCGGUGGGCCGCGAUGGCUGUGGGGCCGAGGCCGGCAAGGAGAUCACAGGAUCUCCCCUGCCGGCCCCUGCAGGGCCAGCGCUACCCGAGCGCCGGCCCCGCUGUGUGCCUCCAUGGGCCGGUGGGGAGAUCACAGAUCUCCCUCACCGGCCCAGAGGCACUGUUACAUGCGGCCGCCGGCUGGGGAGUGAGGGAGGGAGGCAGGAGAGAGGACCGACUGAGCUCUAACCAGCAGCUCCGCCGGGUCCUCUCGCGGGAUUCUAAGCGUUGCCGCGGUUACCGCGGCAACCCUCAGAUCUCGCGAGAGUGAACUGUAACCUGCAGGUUAGAGUUCACUCUCACCACUGGACCACCAGGGAAGGCAGCAUGGCUCCAACCCCCCAGGGAGAACGGAUCUUCUCCCUCCCCCCCCUCCCAGGAUAAAGGUAAGAAGGGAGGGGGACAUAACUUUUUUUUUUAAAUUAUUAAUAAUUAUUAAUUAUAAUGAUAUUAUAAUUAUUAAUAAAAUAAAAAAAUAUAUAUUUAAAAUAAUUUCCCUAACAGCCCCCCAGACACACAGAGCCCCCCCCAGACACACACAGCACCCCACAGACACACACAGCACCCCACAGACACACACAGCUACCCCACAGACACACACAAAGCUCUUCCCACAGACACACACAGCGACCCCUCAGACACACACACAGCACCCCACAGACACACACAGCCCCCCACAGACACACAGUACCCCACAGACACACACACAGCACCUCAUCACACACAGCAAUCUUACAGACACACAGCUCUACAGACACACACACACCCCACACACACACAGCUCCCCACAGACACACACAGCACCCUACAGACACACACAGCACUUCAGACACACACAGCACCCCACAGAUACACACAGCCCCCCACAGACACACACAGCACCCCAUAGACACACACAGCGCACCCCGAGACACACACAGCGCACCCCCAGACACACACAGCUCCCCACAGACACACACAGCACCCCACAGACACACACAGCACCCCACAGACACACACAGCGCACCCCCAGACACACACAGCACCCCCAGACGCACACAACACCCUCAGACAGACAGCACCCUCACUCCCACACAUAUACAGCACAUAUAUAUUAUAUAAAAUAACCCUCAGUUAGUUAACAGACAAAUAAAAUUAGAAACCCAGAAUGUGACGGCAGAUAAAAACACCCUUACACACAGCACCCCUCUUACACAAACACGCUGCGCACCUCACACAUACAAUACGUCCAAAUAUAUUUUAUAUAUAUAUAUAUAUAUAUAUAUAUAUAUAUACAUAUACAAAAAUCAAAACUGGGGAUGCACUCACAGGACUUGGUUAAAGUGAAAAAAAGGGACUUUUAAUUAUUCCAUGUGAAAUGUACAGAAAAAUCAAUUUUCCAUUCACAUGGAAUAAUUAAAAGUCCCUUUUUUUCACUUUAACCAAGUCCUGUGAGUGCAUCCUCAGUUUUGAUUUUUGUAUAUUUCUGACGUUUGGGAUAUAGCACCCAGGCUAUUAGUUCUUUCUUAUUACUUAAAGGAGAGUGCCAAGCAUCCUGUUUUUUUGCUCUAUAUAUAUAUAUAUAUAUAUAUAUAUACACACACACACACACACUACAGCAACACUACACACAUUACGCUCCAGAUACACGCUAGAUCCCUUACCCUAUAUGCACUCAUAAUCCUCUACACACACACAAUCUUCUAUACACACUAGAUCUCUUACACACACACUGCACCACCUACACACACACUACAUUCCUUGUAAGCAAACACAUACAACAUUCUCUAAACACACCCUCUCUACACACAGUAGUGUGUGUGUAUAAGUGACACACACUACGUCACCUAUACACACACACUACUGCCCGUAUGCACACACUCGCUACAUCCCCUAUAACACUAUGCCCCUAUACACGCACUCUCUACAGCCCCUAGCCACACAUAUUACACCACAAAAUUUACCUAUUUACACAAUACCACACCACACUCUACACACAGGCAAUCCCACAAGCAUGCGCCAAACACAUGCACCAUACACUUUCCUGGCCCUUUUGUCCUCUGGUAUCCCACUUGUGGGGACACCAGAGACAAUUUAAAAGCAAACACAGCGCAAGCAUGUUAUUACAUUUGCUUGCGCUGCGCAGAACAAAUACAGGGCCUUUUUCUAAUGCUAGAGCUCUUCAGGGGGGCUCUGCGCAUUGAACCAACAUGCUCACUUUCUCUGGCCCCGCCCCCUUUUUGGGGGGGCCGCUCUAAUUGAAAAAUGCCCGGGCCUAAUUUUUUUCCCAGUCCGGCCCUGCUGCUGAGUAUGCAAGUUUGUACAUUAUGCCCCUCCAAUAAAUAAAGUUGAUAGGUAACAUAAACCCUUGGAUAUAUUUUGUAGGAAUGCAGCAAUUCUUGAGUGCCUCAAGACAUUCUUCAAUAUUUAUACCUGUUAACAUGCAAAAAUAAAUUAUUUCCUAUGUAAUAAAAGUAAUAUUAAAAUAUCCAGUUGUCACCUUAAUGGAAACAAAAAAUUGAGCACACUACAUAUUCUAAAAGAAUAUACAGUGAUUACUUUUGUUUAAUACAAUUAUGGGAGCUAUUACAAUCAAUUUGGUGUCUUAAAUUUGGUUACAUUAAUAGAUUUGAACAAAAGCACUUUAUUUGGUUAUUCACUAAAUACAAAUCAGUUUACAAUGCAUCUAUUGUUCUCCUUUUUGCAUAUUCAAUUUGAUUACAUUCUGUAUAGUUGAAUAAUAAGCCAAAUUUUAAUGAGAAAUACUUUUAGAAAAUUGCAAGAAAUUUGAUAUACUUCGCAUCACCUCUGAUCGAGCAAAUGCGAUGUAAUGAGCUUUUACAGUCAAUCACAUUGCUGCUUUCAUAUGCCAUAGAUGUGUUGUGGUUUUUCAAUUUGGCUUUUAGUAAGUACUGUGAAUUACAGCUAUAUUGAGAAGAAAAAAAAAUUUAAAUAAAUUAUUGCUUAUCGCGCAGUGUAAACUACUUUUAGUAUUAUAUGAAACAGCUUUCUGCAGGUAAGAAACCUCUCAUAACGUAUACAUUACUUGACAUUCUGCAUAUAUUUGCUGUUUAAGGAGGACUUUAGAGUGUUGUAAAUGUUACCCGAGCCAUGUAUAACCAGCAUGUUUCGUAUAUUUCUGUUCAAAGACUGAUACAUGAGUGCAGAUCACUGUGGAGGCCCAGUAACUCUGCAGCGUUGGUAAGUGAGGAGGCUGCUAUGGCAAAUCUCUUGAUGUUGCUGCAAUGACAGAAUCUAAUUUUUAGAUCUAUUACAUAUAAAAAGCCUAUCACUGAACGAAGCAUGAGGAAUUGUUGCAGACCAGGUUCAUUUGCAUGCCUCAUGUGGGGUUUAAUGAGGCAUCUUGGCAUGGGUUUUAAAAAGUUAUUGACAUUUUAUUGCUAUGGUAAACACAGUGUAUUUUAUGCAUGCAUCUAUGAGAAAAAGAAACCAUCUUUAAAAAUGCUCAGAAUAAAUUCUGCAGGAACCGUUCUAGAAACCACACUAACAUACACAAGCAUGCACACACAUAUAAAUAUAUAAGAGAAAGCGGUGCUUCACCUUGAACUAGUCAUCUUCUGCCUAUUCCUUCUGGAUCUCAUCUAUUUUAACUUUCAGACAGAGCUAGAAUUGGAGAUGGCAGGACAAUGAAUCAAAAAUAGAAUCAAAUAGAUCACAAGCAUAGGAGACUUGUCCUUGUAGGUCUAGACUAGGCUUAUUUCAGAAUUGUUCAUUUCACAUAUAAAUAUCUAUUGCUGGAAAACUGAUCCUUUUUUAUAGUAUGCUUAAAAAGUAUCGAAUUUGUGUAGUCUUGAGUUUUCUGCAUUUCUGGAAUCUCUUUAGAUCAACUUUAUAGCUAAAUAUGAAGUGAUGAUUAUUGGAGCGCUCUUUUUAAAAAAAAGCAGUUUAGAGUUGAUAUGAUGAUAAUGUUGCUGCUUCAAAACACUCUGAUUGUGGUACCCUGGAACACACAAAUUUGACAACAGAAACAAGAUAAUUAAGAGUGGAGCAGUAUAUUAUAAGUGGCUAUUUAGGUGAUGUGUCCCUAACAUAUAUAGAUAUAUACAGUGUAAAAGGACAAAGGCAAUACAAAAAAUGAUACUGAUUGUUCAAGAAGAAAUCUUCUUAUAGCAAUUCCUCAGUUCAUGUAGGAGGAAAUACAAAGAAAACACAUAAUAGUGUAGAUUGUAUAAAGCAUUGUUCAAAAUACUUGAUCAGAAAAUAGAGGUACUCCCAUAGAUUAUACCCUCAUUGUGGGCUCAGGAAAUAUGUCUAUACAAAAAGCUCAAAAAGUGUAUAAAUAGUUUAUUCCAAUAAAAAGUAUUAAACACAUGGAAUUUUUUUCACACAGUGUACUAUAAACAAACUGACUCUUACAAGAGUGGCACGGCAUACGCCGCUACUCACUGCCAGAUAUUGUCACAGUCUGGAGCCGGAGACCCGGAUUGCAGUCACAGGGGUGCAGGCUAGAAUGCUUCUUCCCACGGCUGUAUGUCAGCGUAGUGAUUUGCUGUGGCUGUCCCCUGUCCUCUUUGGUGACGUCGUCUACGCGUUUCACCGGAUGCCCGGCUUCCUCAGGACGGUUGAAGCUGGAUGCGUAAAAAUCGCAGGACCACCUCAACAUCCCAGAGUCUGGAGUAUUUCGGUGUCGGUGGGCGUAAUAAGCAUAUACCUUUCAGUAGUCUGCAGAUCAAAGGAUCUUGACCCACUGGGAGACCCGGAACCGGAACAUGUGCAGCCGAGAAGGAAUGUAAAAAAUAAUUUAAGAUUAUAGGAUCAGAUGCUGUAAAGGGAUCAAAAUCCCUCUCCAAACAUUCGCUAGACCAUUUGUUCCACACUGCGAGAAAACAGCGUUUGGUGCCAGGUGCCCACUAGUCCCAUAAUAGAUCCUUAGUGACCUGUGAUAAUCCAUCUGUUAUCUUAGGAUCCCCUGAAAUCUUCCAGGCUACUAGUUCCAGACGUUCUUGUAGGACAAGGGGGUGAGGUUCCCCCUGCGGGUCGGUCAGCAGAAGUGGAAAUUACGGGAUGAUAUGUUGAUGUCGAAUGACAAUUCCAGAAGGUCCGGGAACCACGGUUGGCUCUGCCAUAGGGGUUUCAGUAAGAGUAAGGAGCAUCCUUGAGUCCACACCUGGUGGAUCACCCGUGUUUCGGCCAGUUCUGGAGAAAUGUGUCCAGCGCUUCGCAUUCGGGGUCUCAGAGCCUGGGAUCGAGCUCCUCCCAGGCGAUUUAUAUAUUGGACUGCUGAGAUGUUGUCCAUGCGUAGUAGUAUGCAGCAGUUGGACAUGUGACUGGCCCGCUAUCAACUCCAAGCAGUUCAUGUGCAAGUCCAUUUCUUCUUCCUACCAAAGACCACCUGUAGAGGAUCCUGCACAAUGAGCUCCCCAGCCCCAUAGGUUGGCGUCGGAUUCCAGCACGAAAUCCGGUGUGGGACCAAAUAUCGCUUUCCUGUUCCAGGCUUGCAUGUGGAGAUGCCACCAAUGAAGUUCCGUCCGAACUUCGGCCGUGAGGGGAAUCCGGUGAUUGUAAGACAGUCCAGAAUGCAAGGACAUGCAUGGCUCUGUAGUGCAGCGGUCCCAGAUAUAUCGCAUGAAUAGAGGCUGAUAGGAGUCCCACAACUCACGCUAGGAGACGCAAUGGAACGUGAUCCAUGCGUAACACUUUGCAAAUUUAUUUUCUCAUGGCAGCAAUCUUUUUGAUCGGCAGUCUGAGCGUACAGGAGGUUGAGUCUAUCUAGAACGAAAGAAAUUGGACUACUUAAGAGGGUAUCAUCGCGGACUUGUCUUGAUUCACCAUGAAACACAGGGAUUCAAGGAAGUCUACGACCAUUUGUCGUGACGGUGUAUCGCAAAACAGUAGCAAGUCGUCCAAGUAGAUGAUACAUCUUAUGCUAGCUAUCGAAGAUGGGCCAAGUCCGGCUUCAGGAGUUUCGUGAAACACCACAGGGCCGAGCUGAGUCCGAAAGGGAGGCAUGUGAAUUGGCAUGUUUGACCAUGCCAUCGGAAGCUUCGGAACUUGCGACAGGAUGGAGCCACUGAUAACGAAAGGUAAGCGUCUUUGAGGUCCAAUCGAGUGAACCAGUCAUCCUUUAGGAAGCAGGUGGAUCCCUCCCAUCUUGAAGUGAUGGUAUACCCCGAAGUAGUUGAGUUGCCGCAGGUUGAUGACAGGACGAAAGUCUCCUGUCCUCUUCUGAACUAAGAAUAUGUUGCCAAAGAAGCCAUUGUCUUCCUGCGUGUGUUCUACCGCACCUUUGGAGAAAAGGGUUCGGACAUCCUCAUCGAUCAGCUAUUUGUUGUCUGCGGAUGUACACAGGGAUGGUGGUGGGUGUGCCUGGUACGGUCGGUACUGUCGUGUAUGAAAUUCGAUCACUUAUGCCUGUACCGUACUUUAUGUCCUGAGGAAAGUUGUAAAUAGAACUGAAACGUUGACAGAUUGCUGGAAUAAACAAGAAGUUUCUUUGCAAGACCUAGAGUGCUGGCUUUUUUCAUUCAUCUAUUUACUGUGCAGCCGAGCACCAGGCAACAUUCUAAGGAUAGCUGGAGUGCAAAAUUAUUUGGUAUUAUAUAUAUAUAUAUAUAUAUAUAUAUAUAUAUAUAUAUAUGUGUGUGUGUAAUUUUACUCUAAGUGUAUUUUUAUAUUAAUAUAUGUAUAUAUUAAUAAAAAAAAUACACUUAGUAUGACAUUAUAUAUAAGAUAUACAUAUAUACAUAUUAUAUAUAAGUAGCAAGGGCUUGCACUACUGGUGUUGUUCUAUGGUGCCCGGUGCUGGUCUGGCAAAAUCAUGUAGAUGUAGCAGAAAUGACCACACUCUUUGUAGAAGUUUUCAAAUAAAAUUUGAGAAUGAGGGGGGGUUGUGAGGCAGAGGGAAUGGGGAGGAGGAAUGGAUGUUUUGGAGGUGCUCUAGAAGAUUUCUAUAUCUGUUGUUGUAUUUUAUGCACAGAAAUGACAUUGCAGACAUUCCAAGUCUCCCGGUAGGUCUGGGAGACUCCUGCAUGUUUAAUGAGGUUCCCGGACACCCGCACACCAUGUGUAAUAUCCCAGAAAUCAUACACACAAUCUAACAUACAAUGCAUGUCAGAUUGUGUGUUUGAUUUCCAGGAUAUUACACAUGUUAAAUGCCCCCUACUCAUUACCCACCUGAUGGGUAUUGUUCCUAAACAGGGGCCAGGUCGAGUGCCCGGCCCUUUAACUGCCGGCUAGGAGGAAGUGGUAUGCUGUCAUUUCCUCCCAGCUGAAAAAAACAGUCGUGUGGGAGGGAAAAGAAGGAGGAGGCAGCUUGAGGAGGAAGCUUGAGGCAGCACCAGAGAAGGCAGUAUGGAGAGGCUGGAGUGCGCUGCUGCUGCAAGCUUACUCCCAUCAGUCUCAGCCCAGACACCAAAAGGUAAGCUAACAGGUGGCUGCAGUGUAUGUCAGACUGUGCGUGUGUAUGUAUAUGUGCUAGUGUGUGUAUCUGAGUGUCUUUGCCAGUGUAUGUAUCUGUGUGUGUGUAUGUAUGUGCCAGUGUGAGUAUCAGAGUGUGUGUGUGUGUGUGUGCCUGCCAGUGUGGGUAUCUGUGUGUGUGCCAGUGUGGGUAUCUGUGUGUGUAAGUGCCGGUGUGCGUAUCUGAGUGUUGGUGUGUGUAUGUAUGUGCCAGGGUGGGUAUCUGAGUGUAUAUGUGUAUGUCUAGGUGUGUGCAUAUGUCUGUGUGUUAAUAGUUGUAAUAUGCUGUGUGUAACUGGGUCGGGGGGCCUGUGUGCGGGGGCACGCAUGGGGGGGGGGGGCUGCAGCCACCUACCUGAAAUUAGUUUUGGCAUGUUGGGAUGUCUGACAUUGCCAGAUCGGAAAAGAGUUCCAGGCUGCCAAUGUCACAUGUGCUAAAACAUACGGACAUACAGACUUCUGCAAACAUUACUGAAGUGGUCAUGAUGGUUGGAGUAACCCUUUACUGAGAAGCACUUGCAGAAGUGAAUCAAACAAGUAAGAACCUCCAUUUUUUUUCACACAAGUCCUUUUCGUUCAUGUUGAAUGAAUGAGCAUCGCUGAGUAUGGAACCCAUGGGAUGUCUUCAGUUUUACAAUAGACUCACAAACAACAGUUCAUGUGCAAGUGUACAAGGAUAAUGUGACAGGGAUAUUUUUAUGUCUCAAUAUACAAUCGAGACCAAGAGAGGAAUAAGUGAACUCCAAUCUGGUGUGUCCCUUCAAAUUUAGCAGUGUCCAAUGCUUUGAUAGACACUGCCAGAUUUAGCUGCUGUGCGGGAACUAAGUCCAUUUUAAUUAUAUCCGACAGGAUGGUUAAUGGGUUUUCACCAAAGAAUUAACUCAAUGUGGGCGUAUUCUGUCCAAUUUGGCUGUUCUAUUUACUAAUUACUAAUAGUGACACUUAAAUUGUGCCUGUCAGACAGUUAAUUUGUUCAUUUAUUUAAAAAAUCUGUUCAAUUUUAUAUACAUCAAUGGACUUCAGUAUAAUAUCUCAGUAUGAAUGAAGGACAGACAUUUCACAUGUGCAAAGGCUUCUACUAAAACACAUUUUAGCAUUGCAGUGUCUAAAAUAUUUUAUUUUAUUUAAAUUAGCAGAGGUAAGACUGAUUGUGAGAUGUAAACCAAUUGGUUAUAGCUCUCAGUCUAGUCUGCUAAUUGAUAUUUUAUUAUUUUCGGAGCACUGUUCUCUGUCCGUACAAAGUCUGAUUAUGGAGUAGCAAUCAAAUGCAAGCAUGUAACAGCAGCCCCCCUACAGCCAGCAUUUGCCAUUUAUAUUCAAUUGGCUAUUAUAUCUGUUGUAUAAUGUUCUGAGAUAAUGAGCUUGUGCCCGUUAUGAUGUCACUGAAGUGUGCAUUCCUUCCUAUUACUGUAGCUUAAUUUAAUUGACAGGUUAAGGGAGAUGUGAGCAGCAAUAGAGAGCAGCCAUGGGUGGCCCAAUGUUUCCCAGAAUAUUGGAAUUAUCAAAAGGGUCAUCAAGAGCAUUUUCCUUUAAGUGAAGGGAAUAUGGUGCCCAUUAGAUUUAGGGGUGUGGAAAUAAAAAAAAAAAUUACUCUACUCUACUGUACUUGUCCAGUGGACAGUGGCAGUCCAAUUGAAUCCAAAUGGAAAAACAGAAACAAAAAAAGCUGAUCUGAAAAAAUUCUCCAACACAGCAAUAGUCACAACAUUUUGCCUCCGUUUUUCCAUUGAGAUUUAAUUUGUGAAAAGUUUAGUGACUAACCUUUAAUGUUUAACCAUCUGUCCCCCAUACUAAAUGUGAGUGUACAUGCAGGCUGAGUGUAAUGUGUGUAGGUUGUGUUUAAUACAUGCCGUGUGUAUUGGAUAUUUAGUGUGCACCUGCUAUGUUUAGUGUUGGUCGGCUAGUGUGCCCCAGCAUGUCUCUCCCUCUAACCCACAAUAGUAUAUCUGCCGUAUCACUUCCACUAGUGUUCCUGCCCCUAAAAAGGUGUCCUUGAAAAAUCACUGGUAUCUGUUUUUUUCCCCUGUGUUGUACAAAACCUAAUUACACACUAGGAAAAAUGUGUGCAAUUUUACCGAUCUAUGAGCAUAACUCAUUUCAGCAAUCAACUAGUAGUGCAAAGUUAAGGUACAGUGCAAAACCCACUUUCACCCGAAAAUAAAUAUGUGAUGCUUAGUUGACAGCUUACAUCAUGAUAGAAAAUAUGACUGAUCAUUUUUCUGAUUGUAGAGCAUAACUCAUUUUAACUAUAAUCUACUAAUCUAUCACAGAAGUGGUAAAUGGUGUCCCUAGGGUUCUGUUCUGGGAUCUCUUCUAAUUUAAAAUAUCUAUAAAUUAUCUUGAAAUAAGCAUUUAAAGUCAUGUUCCAGUGAUUGCAGAUGACACACAAGUCUGUAACGUAAUACAAUAUAAGCAAGAUAUUACUUUGCUGCAGAGGUAUUUAUAUCAAUUGGAGGACUGGGCACUCAAAUGGCAGAUGCACUUUAAAUGAACACUAUAGGGUCAGGAACACAAACAUGUAUUCCUGACCAUAUAGUGUUAAAACCACCAUUUAGGUGGCUUGCCGCUCCUUGCCCCCUGAGAAAGUUAGAAGCUCACCUUAUUUCCAGCUCUACCCAGGUCUACAGGUACUGUCCCUCAUCCCUAAUCCGCCUCUUUGACUGACAUCAUCAGAAUUGAUGAUCUCAGCCAAUCCAAUGCUUCCCCACAGGGAAAGCAUUGGAUUGGCUGAGAUUCCCAAGGGGCGGGGCCAAACGCUACCCUGGCCAAUCAGCAUCUCUUUAUAGAGAUGCAUUGAAUCAAUGCAUUUCUAUGAGGAAAAUUCAGUGUCAGUGCUGCACACUGUGCAGUACUCUUCCGGAAACACCUCCAGUGGCCAUCUGAGUAAGUAUUAAAGGAACACUAUAGGGUCAGGAACACAAACAUGUAUUCCAGAUCCUAUAGUGUUAAAACCAACAUCUAACCCCUGCCUUACCUCCUUAAAUAUAGUAAAAUCUUACCUUCCAGUCGGUUUUGACCCGAUCCGCCUGCUGAAAAGACAGUGUUCACUGCAAAAAGCCUGCAGGGACUGAUUAUACUCACAAGAAUAACUAUAUUAGGCUGUAGUUGUUUUAGUGACUAUAGUGCCCCUUUAAUGUAGAAAAAAUCUAAGUUAUUCACUUCAUGGUAAAGAAUGCACAAGCAUCUAAGACCCUAAAUUGUAGUGAAUUAGGGAUAACAACACACAAGAAGUAUUUGGGAAUUGUUAUUGUUCAAUGUCAAUUAGCAGUGGCUAAGGAUAGCUAAAUAUCAUCAUGUUUAAAAAGGGGCUGUGACAAAGAUGCCUCUCCCACGAGCUCCUGGAGGAGCCUGCUGGAUAGCCUCCUGCCCAAGAACUAUGAAUCAUGUAACCGACCUUUUUAGUUCGUGUGGUUUCCAUUUUUAGUUCGGAAACCGAACAAAUGCACAAAUUGCGAACCACCUCUGGGCUUGUUAACUCCUAUUAACCUCUCCUGACACCUCCAUCAUCAUUUUCACACUCUGUAUCCUAAUUGUUCGGCUGGGCCGCCUUUUGCAUGCACAAACACGUGGGAACUGAGUUGGCGUCAUCUUGUCGCAGGAACGCAGGCACCGGUGUUUGGUCGUUGAGUGCAUGGAACUAAUAUCAGACACUCUAACUCGCGAACACCGCUGAACUUUGACAAAUGCCUGCUUCAUUUCUACUCAUGUCAGGAGAGAGCCGUUUAGUAGGAUUGUUACAUAGUUACAUAGUUACAUAGCUGAAAAGAGACUUGCUUCCAUCAAGUUCAGCCUUCCUCACAUAUGUUUUUGCUGUUGAUCCAGAAGAAGGCAAAAAACCCAGUCUGAAGCGCUUCCAAUUUUCCAUCAAACUAGGAAAAAAUUCCUUCUUGACCCCAAAAUAGCAGUCAGAUGUCUCUUGGAUCAAGCAGCUAUUACCCCACUAAGUAGUAAUUAUAUCCCUGUAGGUUAUGUUUUUGCAAGUAUUUANNNNNNNNNNNNNNNNNNNNNNNNNNNNNNNNNNNNNNNNNNNNNNNNNNNNNNNNNNNNNNNNNNNNNNNNNNNNNNNNNNNNNNNNNNNNNNNNNNNNGAGGGACAAGGGGGGAGAAGAGAGUGACAAGGGAGGGAGAGGGGGGAGAAUAGAGUGACAAGGGAGGGGGGAGAGAUUGACAUCCAUCACACACACACAAUCACACAAAAUGCACCACCUACACACAAAGACAAUGCACCCCUUGCACACAGAAAAACACACAAUGCAUUACACACACAAUGCAUUACACACACAGACACACACACAAGCAAUGCAACCCUUACACACACAGAAUCUCUAAUGUACCUCACAUUAAAGGGACACUAUAGUCCCCAGAACCACUGCAGCUUAAUGUAGGGGAUCUGGUGUCUAUAGCCUGUCUCUGCAGACCUUUUAAUGUAAACACGGCGGCAAAAAUCCUUGCACCGGCCCUGGGUGGGGUAUCUUGUUGAACCUAUUGUAUUCUUAUUGGAUUUUGUCCAAUGGGAUUCUUGAAGGGCACAGACUUGUACCCGAUUUUUUUUUAUCAAGAAAUCUAAAAUUAUAGACCUUUUACAGGGUGUGUUGAUCCCGCGGGCAUUUAUUGAAGUUAACUUAAAUUACAGUUUUCUAUCAGUUCUCAGAGCUCUCUCUCUAAAAGUUACCAUGUAUUUACUAAACCCUUAACGCCAUUACGGCUUUCUAUGCCAUCCCCAUUUAAAUGGGCUUUACAGAUGUUGCGGCUUGCCGCCCUAGAACCUCGGGAAUACUUACCUUCCCAGUGAUCCGCUUCAGGAGGACUGCCUGACAGCCCCUGGGGGCCAUGUGAUCGCUCUCAACGAGUGAUCACAUGGCCCCCUAUAGAUGGCUGUGGAUGUGCCAGCAGGGAGACUGUCUGGGCUGUCAGAAAGUCCCCCUGCUGGUGGCAGGUGUAAAAAAUAAUAAUUAUUAAACAUGUUUAAAAUAAAUUAAAUAUACAUAUAUAUUAAAUAUAUAAUAUAUAUACAUCUUAUAUAUAUGUAACGUCAUAUGUAGUGUAUUUUAAUAUUAAUAUAAGUACAUCUAUUAGUAUUAAAAUACACUUAGAAUGAAGUUACAUAUACGUAUAAUUACAAUAAUUAUAUAUACGUAUAAUUACAAUAAUAAAUAAAUUAAAUAAUAAAUAAAUAAAAUAUAUUUUUUUUAAAGAAAAUAAAUUAUAUAUACAUAUGUAAUUUCAUUCUAACUGUAUUUUGUUAUUAAUAUAUAUAGGUAACAAAAUACACUUAGAAUAACAUUCUCUAUAUAUCUAUCUAUAUAUAUAUAUUCCAUGUGUAUAUUUAAGUAAUCUUUUAGCAUAAUUAUGUGAUUUUAUUAAUUAAAAUUUGAAUGACAUGCCUGACAACCCAGGCAGAAAGUGCAGAGAAUUUAAUUUGCAAGCACUAUAUUUAACCAUGUAACUUUCCAAGACACCAUAAAACCUGUACAUGGGGGGUACUUUUUUACUCGGAAGACCUCGCUGAACACAAAUAUUAGUGUUUCAAAACAGUAAAAUGUAUUAAAUGAUGAUAUUGUCAGUGAAAGUGAUUUUUUUUGCAUUUUCACACACAAAUGGCACUUACACUGACAAUAUAAUUGUGAUACAUUUUACUGUUUUGAAAUACUAAUAUUUGUGUUCAGAGAAGUCUCCCAAGUAUUACAGUACCCCUCAUGUACAGGUUUUAUGGUGUUUUCAAAAUUUACAGAGUCAAAUAUAAGGCCUGCUUUUAAGUUUUUUCACAUUGAAAUUCGCCAGAUUGGUUACACUGCCUUUGAGACCCUAUGGUAGCCCAGAAAUGAAAAUCACCCCCAUGAUGGCAUACCAUUUGCAAUAGUAGACAACCCAAGAUAUUGCAAAAGGGGUAUGUCCACUCUUUUUUAGUAGUCACAAACACUGGCCAAAAUUGGCGCUCAAAUUAGUUUGUUGCAUUUUUCACACACAAACAAAUAUUAACACUAACUAUGGCUCAAUCUUUAUUUGUGUUUUUACAUAAAAAUAUGACUGGUUGUUCCAAAAAGUUGGAAUCAACCUAAGACCCAUAGGUGUGUACCUUUUUGUGUUGCUCUAUCUUCCCAUUAUUCUUAGUGUUUAUUUAAUGUGCAUUUUGUGUCAUUUCAUUCUUAAUUAUUGUGGACCCUUAUAUGAGGAUAAUUAUACUUCACUUUGUGCAUUGCUUUACUUGUUGCCUGUGCCCCAAUCAAUUUCCUAAUAUAUUUAUACUUUUUCCAUAUUCUUUACUUAUAUUUAUUUUAAGUUUUUAAUUUUACUUGCUUAUCUUUCCCCAUUCUCCCCCUGUGCUUCUAAACUAAAAAAAAGGACACUCUUGUGCAUAUGUAUAUUUAUCCGUGAUUCUUCUUAUUUCAUAUAUUCUUCUCUUUGGUCUCCCAUACUUGAGGAAUUAAGUUUCGCUAGUGCCAAUUUUUCUUCCCUUCUCUCUUUCUCUUUUUAUCCUUUCUUUUUACGUAGUUGGGCCCUCGCUGUUUAUUGACUGUUGAUUGGAGCUGCUUCUAUUUUGUUUGCAGUUAGCCAGCUUUUUACAUCUUCUGCUCGGUCUAUAGGAGUAAUCUUUUCUUCAUGUGAUAUAAUCAUUUUCGUGGGGAACCCCCAUCGGUAAUUAAUAUUAUUAUGUCUCAAAAUUAAUGUACCAUCAGAAAAGGAUUUCCUUUUUUGUCUGGUUGGCCAUGACAGGUCCUGAAAUAUUUUCAGGGUUUCAUAUUCUUCUGCACAUUUGUUACUUCUUGUAGCUCUCAAAUUUGCGUCUUAAGUUUGGAAGAGGCGCAGCAUAUCAAUACAUCUCUUGGAAGGUGGUCUGGGACACCUUUAGAUUUAUUCACUCUAUGGCAUCUCUCCAUCAUAGGGAUUCUGGUGUCCCAUUCCACAUACAGGUGUUUGAUAAAAUCUUCUAUAUAUGGCUCCAGAUUCUUUGCAAUUAUUUGUUCUGAUACUCCUCUGAUUCUUAACUUGUUCCAUCUUGACCGGUCCUUCAGAUCUAUCAACUUGUUCUCCAUGUCAGCCAUUUUCUUUUCUAGUGCCAAAUGUUCUUCUUUGUGGGCUUUUUCCUUGUAUUCCAUCCCAUUUCAUUUCUGUUCUAUCCCUCAUAGGCUAAUAUUCAGCAGUUCUUUCUUAAUAUCCAGGGUAUUAACUUGGAUUUCUUCUCUCAAUUUCCCAAAUUGUGUAUCUAGGUGUCUGAGUAGAUGGUCAUAUUCGUUUCUUUCUUCUCUGGACUCUUGAUUUUCCUCUGUUUGUCCUUUACUAAUAUCUCUUCUGUUGGGAUAUUUGAUAGGAGAGAUUCCUCCAGGUUUGACUUAUUACCUGGGGACAUGUGGUGAAAAAAAAGAAAGGCAUUUUUCUGUUUUUUUUUUUUUUGUUUUUUUUUUCAAAUGCUUGCCACUUUGUGUCUUUUUAGUAGCCAUUUUGUUUCUUGGUUUGUUUGAUCCCUCUCUAGAGAUUAUAUACUUUUCGGAAUAAUGAUAAUGGAUAAUGAUGUAUAUAACAUAAAUAAAAUAAAUAAAUAAAUCGAACCAACAAAAAACACCACAGGGAGUAUUAACCCGACCCACUUAAGACUGUCAGGCAGUCGCCACUGUGAGCAAAAUUAAAUUAUAUAAUAUAUAUAUAUUGCUCCCUGAAUUUUGCUCUUUAUAGUGUCCUAUGUAUUCCCCUCUUUCUCAAGAGCCCUUUAGUAAUCAAAUUACUAAAUAUUUAUGCUAUCAUGUUUGUACAAUCUCCUACAGACUAUGCGCAUACACUUUGUAACAUUGGGCACUUUUGGUGAAGUACUUAAGACCUGCUUUAUUGCAGCUUGCUGUUUUCUCCUGCUAUCAGUGUGUUGGGUAUUCAAUGGUUGUACUCCCUUGAUAACUUUAUCCGUGGAGAAACUGGCUGUAGUACAUAGCUCUGUCCGGCAGAAAGAUGAGUAGCUCCCUACUUCUCAGCCCAGCAUCUGGCCCUUUUUGACAGUUAUGUGGGGAAUCCGUGGAGCACCCCAGGUAAUACGCCGGGUAGAUCGAGCCGUCCCCUCAGCUCUUUGUCGGCUCCCUUGAUCGGCCCCUCAGCCGCAUCCCAUGAGGACGUUGUGACAAGACCAAUCUCGCCACAUUGCAUUGGAGAAGCCUGGUUGCUCGCCUGCUGCCUUUGGACUAUGGCCCCCUUUUAAAAGACUUUAUUUUUCCAUGCAGAAAAGCUGUAUUCGCGCUUUUCUGCCGGUUGUUCGGUAGUUUCAAUCUACCGAACCACCGUACGAAUGACUGGACCACCUGGGAGCUGGAGUGUGCCGGCAAUUAACCUCCUUGAAGCUGCGGUUAACCGCAGCUUAAUUGAUGAACGCUGGGUGGCCGCCGUUCGUAUCCCGAACACGAGGUCGCGGCCAUUUUAAACCAUACGAAUGAACAGCGGUGUUCGCCUCUAUUUUCAUGGAACUAAAAUCGGACACAGUUUUGCGCGAACACCGCUGAAACCGCCGACCUCCCUUCUUGUUUGGUGAAAGUGCACGAACGGCCCGGUGUUCAGUAUUUUUGUUCAAAUAUGUUAUACCCCAGAUAGGAAUCCCAUGGAGCCCAUUCGUAUGAAACUGACUGUAAGGACUUUGGCUCCAUGGCGAUUAAACUGUAUUCGUGUGGUCUGAGCGCCAUUCACUUAAUAAUGUGCGCUCAGACCUGAGCUAUCUGGGGAUAUGUUACAUGUCUGUGUUUUAUGUAUAAAAGGUGACUUUAUGUAUUUUAAAGUGUUUUGUGUCUUUUUGCAACCAUGUGCUUAAUGGAGUCUUGUGUCUGUCCUGGGAGAUAAUUGAAUUACUCUCCAGGAUAGAAGACUCUGAAACUGGUUUGAGCCAGAAAGCCAUGCUUCAUUUAGUCACAAAGGACUUUUUACUAACUUUUGAACCCCUGGUCUGAUACAUGCCAUUUUUUAAUAUGUUGUUCCCCUGAAUGGAUUGAUUGUAAAUAUGUAAUUUUAUGUGAAUGUGAUGUAUGGUUUUGGAGUUAUGAAAGUUGGGUAGAAAGUAUGUUUUAACUGUUUGUAUAAUUGAGUUUCCUCUCAGGAUAAGGGGAGGGAAUAUGUGGGAUGUAACUGUGAUGUGAUUGGUUGUUUUAUACCUCCCUGUGGGCGGUCCUGUAUUUGCAAGACUGUAAUAAAAACCAGGCUGGGUGUGCCAGCACCUCAGACCACUACUUGACCCUCAACACGGAGCCUUGUCUCGUCUUUGGGGGGAUUUACUGUAUGCUGCUAAGGACUGAUUGCCAGGAGUGUAAGCCGCUUGGGAGCUUUUCCUGUUCGCCUGCUAGCAGCUAUUCGUAUGGUUCCUGUUCGUUUAUUUGAAGUGCUACCUUAUUCCCUUGUAUGCCGUUCGGGAGUUUGGAGCAUUCACUUAUUGGCGGUUCGUGAGUUUUGGUGAUUAUACCGUAGCUGUGCCUGUCUCUGAAAAGGGGGAUUAUCGUCUAAGUGGUUUUUUCCCCUUUUAUGCUAAACGGUCCGUUACAAUUGGUGGCAAGCGGCGGGAUCGUUCCCAUGGACUACAGGACAGCUACAGGCAACACCAUUCCGUGGAUUUACAAUUUGAGGGCAACGCAUGUCUGAGUACAGCGACCCUGACAGCAACAGCAUGGAACCAGCAGUGUCAUACGAGGAGGAGGACCUGGAUGGCCGGGAUGCAUUAAGGAAAGGCAUCUGGUACCAGGCCCUGGAUAAUGUACAGUACCAGCGGGGUGAGAGUCUCCCCAGUGAAGAGCAGCGGUUGCAGAAGAAAGUGGCCCUGCGGAUGCCCUUCCUGGGAGAGCAGCCCCUGGAUGAAUGGGUGAACGAAUUGGAGCACCUGGUAUGGCAGGAGAUUUGGCUGGAAGAUGCCUACCAGGCGCUCUGGUGGUAUGGGGCACAGUACCUGCCCUGGACAGCCGAGCAUGACAAGCCAGAGGGAAAGGAGUUUGAUGGUCCUGGCUUGUUAUGGGAGGCUUUUUCAGAACCUGAAUUUGGGAGCCCUACACAAGCCCGGUUCAGUGAUCUCUUGGAGUGGAGGGAGAGCAGGUAUGACUGGGUCGACACUCACGACAUUGAGCAAGACCUGGCUCACCUAGCAACCCUGGAGUGGGAACUGGAGCAGGACUACCGAGAUCUCUUCCACUCCAUUGAGAAGAUUCAGCAGGACAGCAAGGUGACAGAGCCAGAACCAGACCCAUUCAGCUGGGAAGAUAUUGUGGAGAUUUCUGGGAAGAACCCCGGCCAGAGUGGCGGGUGCCUGAGAUUGGAGACCGAGGUCUCUCCACAGCAAUAUUGCAGGGAAUUGGGAGCCCGAGCUCCAUUCCCCAGCGGGAGAAUAUUGCAGGGAAUUGGGAGCCCGAGCUCCAUUCCCCAGCGGGAGAUAUUGCAGGGAAUUGGGAGCCUGAGCUCCAUUCCCCAGCGGCAGGCUGAGUUACAGGGGACAGAGAUAGUUGCUCCAGUGUGAUACCAGCAGCAGAGUGAAUUGCGGGGAAUUGGGAGCCCAGUCUCCAUUUCCCAGCGGCAGAAUGAUUAGGGAAUUGGGAGCCCAGUUCCAUUCCCCAGCGGCAGGAAUUGGGAAUUGGGGGCCCAGUCUCCAUUCCCCAGCGGCAGAGUGUCCUACCGGGAAUAGAGAGCCCAGUCUCCUUUCCCCAGCAGCAGGACUCUGUAUUGGGAGCAGAGACAGUCGGUCUCCCUCUCCCGCAGCUGGAAGUAUGUAUGGGAGAGGAGCUUGUUACCCCCUCUCCCCAGCGGCAGCUUAAUGUACCAGGGGGAGACAGUAAGCCCCACAACUGUGCAGAUGGGACCGUAGUCUCUACACUGCCAGCACAGGGGGUAGGGACGGUCGGUUCUGCCCCCCAGCGACAGGGCUGUUUAGCCAAAGGGGAGACAGUCGGUCUCCCCCUCCAGCAGCAGAGAUGGGUAACCAAAGGGGAGACGGUCGGUCUCCAGCAGCAGGACUGUGCAUCUAAAGGGGAGACAGUCAGUCUCCAGCAGCAGCAGCAGAGCGGUGUAUUUAAAGGGGAGACAGUCGGUCUCCCCCUCCAACAACCAGGCUUCCACCAGGCUACCCUCCCAGUAGCGCUGGCAACAGGGCAGAGUGCCGCUGGUCUCUGCCCACGCAGCAACCCACCAAGUCAGCGUACCCGUACCCAGCACAGCCGUGGUGAGGCACCUGGACAUGGACAAGCUUCUUCUCUACCCAGGUGUAGUAACCAUUUAUUGUGGGUGGGCUGUGCUGUUGAUUAUUUGUUGUGGGUGGGCUGCUGGACUAACAAGGGCACUGACCGGCAGGAGGUCAGAUACCCUGUUAGUCUGUUGGGAAAAGGGGAGAGAUGUGACGAGACCAAUCUCGCCACAUUGCAUUGGAGAAGCCUGGUUGCUCGCCUGCUGCCUUUGGACUAUGGCCCCCUUUUAAAAGACUUUAUUUUUCCAUGCAGAAAAGCUGUAUUCGUGCUUUUCUGCCGGUUGUUCGGUAGUUUCAAUCUACCGAACAACCGUACGAAUGACUGGACCACCUGGGAGCUGGAGUGUGCCGGCAAUUAACCUCCCUGAAGCUGCGGUUAACCGCAGCUUAAUUGAUGAACGCUGGGUGGCCGCCGUUCGUAUCCCGAACACGAGGUCGCGGCCAUUUUAAACCAUACGAAUGAACAGCGGUGUUCGCCUCUAUUUUCAUGGAACUAAAAUCGGACACAGUUUUGCGCGAACACCGCUGAAGCCGCCGACCUCCCUUCUUGUUCGGUGAAAGCACACGAAUGACCCGGUGUUCGGUAUUUUUGUGUGAAUGUCUUAUACCCCAGAUAGGAAUCCCAUGGAGCCCAUUCGUAUGAAACUGACUGUAAAGACUUUGGCUCCAUGGCGAUUAAACUGUAUUUGUGUGGUCCGAGCGCCAUUCACUUAAUAAUGUGCGCUCAGACCUGAGCUAUCUGGGGAUAUGUGAAAUGUCUGUGUUUUAUGUAUAAAAGGUGACUUUAUGUAUUUUAAAGUGUUUUGUGUCUUUUUGCAACCAUGUGCUUAAUGGAGUCUUGUGUCUGUCCUGGGAGAUAAUUGAAUUACUUAUCUCCAUGAUAGAAGACUCUGAAACUGGUUUGGGCCAGAAAGCCAUGCUUCAUUUAGUCACAAAGGACUUUUUACUAACUUUUGAACCCCUUGUCUGAUUUGUGCCAUUUUUGAAUAUGUUGUUCCCCUGAAUGGAUUGAUUGAGAAUAUGUAAUUUUAUGUGAAUGUGAUGUAUGGUUUUGGAGUUAUGAAAGUUGGGUAGAAAGUAUGUUUUAACUGUUUGUAUAAUUGAGUUUCCUCUCAGGAUAAGGGGAGGGAAUAUGUGGGAUGUAACUGUGAUAUGAUUGGUUGUUUUAUCCCUCCCUGUGGGUGGUCCUGUAUUUGAAACACUGUAAUAAAAACCAGGCUGGGUGUGCCAGCACCUCAGACCACUGCUUGACCCUCAACACGGAGCCUUGUCUCGUCUUUGGGGGGAUUUACUGUAUGCUGCUAAGGACUGAUUGCCAGGAGUGUAAGCCGCUUGGAAGCUUUUCCUGUUCGCCUGCUAGCAGCUAUUCGUAUGGUUCCUGUUCGUUUAUUUGAAGUGCUACCUUAUUCCCUUGUAUGCCGUUCGGGAGUUUGGAGCAUUCACUUAUUGGCGGUUCGUGAGUUUUGGUGAUUAUACCGUAGCUGUGCCUGUCUCUGAAAGGGGGGAUUAUCGUCUAAGUGGUUUUUUCCCCUUUUAUGCUAAACGGUCCGUUACAGACGUACACUACAUCAUCACUCCACCCCUGUUCAAAUCCAGAGAAAAUUAAUAAGAAUGAUAAAAUAUUCAUGAGAAAGUGAUCAAUAGAACAAGAAAUACAUAUAAUUGUGUAAAUUCCCAGCCUGAGAUUAUGGAAUAAACAAGCUGUAGCUUGAGCCUAUUACCUUUCUUCUAAUAAUAGUUUUAAACAUAUGAAACACAAAAAUAAUAAAAUAUGGAUUUAUGUGUAAUUGAAUUAUAACAUUAAAAUAUAUAUAUCUUGUGGAGUUUUCAAAAAAAUAAAUAUUAAUACAAUAGUAUUGUUAUCCAUUGGUAUACAAUUAAACUGUGGUUCAUCAAGAAUAAAAUUUUUACCGUUCUUUUAUAGAUCAUUUGCAUAUAUUAGCCAUGGACCAUUAUGUGCAUAAAUUUAUAAAUGGGAAUGCAGCUUUUCAACUGACAAAUAGCAGUCUGCUCUCUGAUCUUACUGCUCAGCUCCCUCGCACGCCGCUUAGUGAUGCCGGGAGCCGGUCUGACAUCAUAUUCCAGCUCCCGGCAUCACUAAGUGGAGUUCGUGGAAGCUGAGCAGUAAAAGCCUGCAAUAGAAGCUGCCGCCGGCCUUGUGGGGGGCCCAAAGAUGGCUAAGAAGGCAGUGCCGCCCAAGGAAAAUGUCUUGUUAGCCUCGUGGUGAAUAUACCACUGGACACCCUACCAGCAACCUUUGGCCGCGUGCCCACAGAGAGGUCUCGGCGUGCCAGCUGUGGCACACUUGCCAUAGGUUCGCCAUCACUGACCUAGGAGCUUGGAUUCCAAGCCUUGGAGACUUUAACCUGGGGUCAUAUGUUAAUGAAACAGAGGGAAAAUUAAUAAAAUAUGGUUCCCCUUUUUAACGCAUACUAUAUGAGGCAUUCAAGUACAUACACAUCAAUGCAGCUAGCUUGGUUCUGUGCAUUUUUUAUCUAGAACCAGUACAGGACAAUCGUAUAUUUAAGUAUCUGGAAAGUAGAAAUCUGCUAGCUAAUAUGGCACUCUGUCAUGCUUGACAGAGUCCCUUUUAAAAGCAAAGAGGGAUAAGGUUAUAGAAGAAGUGCAUAUUAGAAAGCUAAGCCUUAUGUAUUUCUAAUUUCAAAGUAUGACUACAGAAUUUUACAUUUUUAAACACAUUUUCUUAAAACAGCCAAGCAGAACUUAGAUGUCACCUUGAACUUAAAACAAUGUGUAAGUGAAGAAAGAGACAAUUUCCGUGGCAUUAUCACAAUUUCCCCUAUAGGUAUUAAUUUAAUUUAAGUCACUAGUUGUGAUGUUGUGUUCCAUGCUUAAAAGGAAUAUCUGGUUGUCAUGCCAAGGGUGCAUGAUUCAUUGUUGCACUAUAGAAUAUGGCUAUUUAAUGUGAUUUGUGUAGUGCAUACGUGAAUUGGCUACUUGGUAGAGGUGGUAUGGCCAAUUUGAUUGUGAAGGACAGAUGUUAAAGGGGGUUAAUUUACAGUAUAUAGGAAUGUGAUAGAUGUCAGAAGGUUUACAACUCUAAUAGCCCCUUCCCGACCUCGGACGUACCAGGUACGUUCAACAAAAAAAUGGUCAUUAAUGACCUCGGAAGUACCUGUACAUCCGAUAGCAAAAAGGCACUUACCUGAUCGCUGGCGAUCCCCCGCCGGCGAUCGCGAUUUCGAGACUUGCUUGGCAUCCCAAGCAGUCCCCGUGCGUGUGAUCUGGCCCUCCCUGCCCGGGCCAUGUGAUCGCGGGGUCCUUGCGAUCACAUGGCCAGAAUAGCCGGCUAGUGUCGUGCCUACAGGGGGCCUCUCUGAGCUCUCAGGCAGUCCCCCCAAUGCCUACAGAAAUGUUUUCCAAAGUUUGUAAAACUUAAAUAAAAGUUUAAAAAAGUAAAUAAAAGUACUUACAUCAUAUAUAUCAUUUUAUAUAUACAUAUAUAACUAUAUAUAUAUAUAUAUAUAUAUAUAUGUUCUAAGUGCUUUUAUAUACACAUACACACAUCAUUAUUAAAAGUGUAUUAUAAUAUUAAUCUAUAUAAUUAUAUAUAUUAUUAAAAUACACUUAGAAUAACAAUAAUUUUAUUUAUUUUUAUAUAUAUAUAUAUAUAUAUAUAUAUAUAUAUAUAUAUAUAUAUAUAUAUAUAUUAGGGAUCGACCGAUUAUCGGUCUGGCCGAUAUUAUAGGCUGAUAUUUUUGGCAAUAUCGGUAUCGGCCUAUAGAGAUACCGAUAUUGCCGACAAUACAUACCAGUAUCGCUGGGCCUAUUACAAGCCCGCAGCAAGCACUUACUUACCUUCCAAGCAGCUCCCUUCAGCUCCCUGUGUAAAUCUUGCGAGUCUCGCGGCCGUCAGAGUGUUGACACUGGUUAACAUGGCAAGGCUCCACGCAGCACACAGGCCACAAGAUUUACACAGGAAGCUGAAGGGGGCUGCUUGGAAGGUAAGUAAACGCUUGCUGCGGUCCCCCACUGCACAGUCCAUGCCACCGGACCACCAGGGAAAGCUGUAUCCCUCUCUCCCUGGCUGUAACGAAAAUAUACCCCAACACGCAGGAUUUAAGCUAAACAAAUGUCAGCACAGAGGGAAGGUACGUCUACCGGACCUUAGAGUGGCCGGACUCGACGUAAAGGAGAGCGAUACAGAGUCAGGAGCGAUCCGAGGUCAAGGGCACAAAGAGACAGCAUAAACUUGGACUAGCCGGGGUCUGGUACACAGAAAACAGCAAGCCGGCAAACAGAACAGAUAAGGAUAAAGAGAUAACGUAGUCAGAAACAAAGCCAAAGUCAAGUCAAAGGAACACAACUGAACACAACAAGCGCUAAAGGGAACUGAAACAGAAACCACGAUAGGGCAAGGAACUAAGGGAAAAAGGUGAGUAUAUAUACCUAAACAUCUAAUAUGAUUGGUCCCUGUCACAUCCACGCCCCCAAAAGAUAGGUGUAUGGGGAGUGUGGCAUGACAGGGACCAAUGGGACGCCUUUUCCAAUUUAGGCUCCCACUGUCUCUUUAAGAGCGCGCCCGAGACCCGCGGCGCACUCUUAGAGUUAGGCGGGACACGUGUCCACUUCUCGCGGUCACUGCCCGCCUUCCUGUUACAGCCGUCGGAUGAGCCGCGCGCGGCUCGUGCAGCAGCAGGACCGCGCGCGGCUGAACAGAGGACCCCGGCCGGCCCCUGGAAAGGGUAAGUACCGCUACAGUACCCCCCCUGAGGACACGCCCUCUGGGCGGGGAGGGCCAGGCCUGGCAGGAAAACGAGAAUGGAAAGAGCGCACAAGACGAGGAGCGUGAACCGCGUCAGCGGAAAUCCAACUGUGCUCCUCAGGCCCAUAGCCCUUCCAAUGCACCAGGUACUGAAGCCGACCUCUAAGGAAAUGAGAGUCAAGAACAGCAGAAACUUCAAAUUCCUCAUGACCCUCCACAGAGACAGGACGGGGAGGAGGAGUAUGCCGGGUAUAGCGGUUGCGUACGAAAGGCUUCAACAACGAGGUGUGAAAGACAUUAGGAAUACGCAGAUUCUUAGGGAGACCCAAGGCAUACGAAACAGGAUUAACCUUAUGCAGAAUACGAUAAGGACCAAUAAAGCAGGGAGGCAAUUUCAUAGAAGGCACCCGGAGGCGAAUGUUUCAGGUGGAAAGCAGAACCCUGUCCCCCACGACAUAAGAAGGAGCCGCCCUGCGAUGCUUGUCAGCCUGCACCUUCUGGCGAGUAGCGGAAUCCACCAAAGAACGCUGAACCUGCUCCCAAGUAUUACGCAAAUUUGCCAAAUGUUCAUCCAGAACUGGCAUGCCCUGUGAGGAGAAAGCAGCCGGAAGAACAACAGGAUGUUGGCCAUAGACAACGUAAAAAGGACUCUUGCCAGAAGAAUCAUGAGUAGCGUUAUUCCGAGCAAACUCAGCCCAAGGAAGAAGGUCAGACCAAUUGUUCUGAUGGUGGGAUACGAAACAACGAAGGUACUGCUCCAGAGAUUGAUUGGCACGUUCAGCAGCUCCAUUAGACUGGUGGUGGUAAGCGGAAGAAAAUGAGAGAGAAAUACCCAUUUCCAAACAAAAGGCUUUCCAGAACCUGGAAAUAAAUUGGCUACCCCUAUCGGACACAAUAGAUACGGGAAUGCCAUGUAAUCGAAACACCUCUCUGGCGAAAAUAACUGCUAGUUCCCUGGACGUGGGCAGCUUGUGAAGAGACACAAAGUGAGCCAUCUUGGAAAACCAAUCCACUAUCAUUAGGAUAACUGUGUUACCAUUCGAAGGGGGUAAUUCAACAAUAAAAUCCAUGGACAGGUUAGACCAAGGUCUCUCGGGAAUGGGUAACGGAUGCAACAGCCCACAAGGAACCCUACGAGAAGAUUUCAUACAGGCACAAGUAGUACAAGCACCUAUAUAGUCGGUGACAUCUUUGCGUAAGGAAUCCCACCAAAAAUACAGAGAAACAGCUGACACCGUUUUGGAAAUACCAGGAUGUCCAGCAGUCUUAGUGUCAUGAUACAACGACAGAAUCUCCCGUCUUUCGGGAACAUCAACGAACAGUUUAUCAGUAGGUCUCUCCCUAGUUGCCAUGCUUUGUUUCGCUCGUAUGGCCUGCAAGAGGGACGAAGAAAUAGACAAAAUAGUGGUAGCUAUUAUCCUUUCUGGGGGAAUUACAGGAGUAACAUCAAUCUCCUGUUUGUCAGCAGUUUCGAACUGUCUGGACAGAGCGUCUGCUUUAGUGUUGCGGUCACCUGGCCUAUAGGUAAUAAUGUAAUUGAAAUGAGACAAAAACAGUGACCACCUAGCCUGCCUAGAAGACAAUCUUUUAGCCUCACUAAGGUAGGAUAGGUUCUUGGGAUCCGUAAAUACGAGGAUAGGAUCCUUAGUUCCUUCUAACAAAUGUCUCCAUUCUUUCAGUGCUAAAAUAAUAGCAAGGAGUUCGCGAUUACCCACAUCAUAAUUCUUUUCUGCUUUGAACAUUUGUUUGGAGAAGAAGCCACAAGGAUGCAAUGGCUUCUCAGGCGACUCUCUUUGGGAUAAGACAGCACCUACCCCAAUAUCAGAAGCAUCAACUUCAAGAAUAUAGGGCAGUGUGGGGAUAGGAUGCUGUAAAAUAGGUGCAGAAGCGAACUUAGUUUUAAGAAAUUCAAAAGCCUGAAGUGCCUCGAGCAUCAUAUUCUGGCUCCCUCGGCAUCAGCAAACAUCACACGAGGGAGCAGAGCAGACAGGUUAGAUCUCCCUCGCCGCCUUGGAUUAGAACUCUGCCAUACCAGGAGGUCCAGAAGGUGGCCUGACAGGAGGGAGCACUUCCCUCCUGCCGGUCACUGAAAACUUGUGCCCGCAGAGCCGCUCGUGUCCGCCUGCCCACCCAAAAGGAGAAAUCCUCUCAGAAAGAGGAUUUAGCCGCCGAAAUGCCUACCGCCCACCUGGAAUCCUGAAACGCCCACUAGUGGGCGGUAGGGCCAGAUUGACGACCCAUGCACUACACAAACACUGCAUUCACUAUACACACUACACAAACACACACAGCUCCCCUGUCUAAACACACUGCAUCCACUACACGUGGCAUGUAUAUUUUGUGCAUUUACCUUUUAGAAAUAGUUUAUUUUUUCAAAAUGGUAAAUGUACAGAAUAUCGGUAAGUUAUCGGCUAUCGGCCUGAAAGUUAUCGAUAUCGGCUCUAAAAAAUCAAUAUCGGUCAAUCCCUAAAUAUAUAUAUAAUUAUUGUUAUUCUAAGUGUAUCUUAAUAUAUAAUAAUAUGAAUGUGUGUGUGUGUGUGUGUGUGUGUGUGUGUAUGUGUGUAGAAACAAUCACAGUCCUGGGACUUGGUUGAAGUAGUAAAAUUUAGCUUUUAUUUAUUCCAUAUAAAAUAUUAACAUUUCAGCUCCAACAUAACUUUCAUGAGGACAGGUAACAUGUAACAAAGGUGCAGACAAGAGAAUAUAUACCCCAGAUCCCUCCAAAACAAAUUGAACAAUCAAAUUAAAAUAAGUAUGCACCACUGCAGUGUACUUACUGAAUCAGUGUUCGGAUGUAGCACAGCUGGCCAAGGCUAACUCCCCACUCUGUCCUUGUAUCUGCAUAAUUGUGGUUUGGAGGGGGGAGGGGAGAGUUUGUGUUCCAAACAGUUGCCAAGCAACAUCCAGUAUAAAUAAAUUAAAAAAAUAAAAUAAAUGUAAUUAUAUGUAAAAACAAAAAUUAUAUACCGGUUUAAAUUUGUUCUAACUGUAUUUUGAUAUUAAUAUACAUAUAUAUUUAAAAAUACAGUUAGAAUUACGUUAUCAAUACAUAUAUCCCCUUAACGACCGCUGAAGUACUAGGUACCUCCGACAAAAAACAGUUGUUAAGGCAAAUAGUGGCCCUGAACUUACCUGAACUGACGAUCCGCGGCGAUCACGGACCCCAGCAAUCCCCCUGCAGCAGCUCCGGCCCUCCAGGGCCAUGUGAUCACCAUGAUCACCAUGAUCACCAUGAUCACAUGGCCGCAAUAGGAGUCUUUGGAGCUGACAGCAGGGGGACUGUCUGAACUGCCAGACGGACCCCCAGGCUGCUAAAAAGUAAAAAAAAAAAUGACAAUAAAAUAAAUAUAUUAUACAUAUAUUAUAUAUGUAUAAUAUAUUGUAAAAUAAUUAAAGCAUUUUAUAAUAUAUAUAUAUAUAUAUAUAUAUAAUUUCAUUAUAGGUGUACUUUGAGAUACAUUUAUAAUGAAAUCAUAUAUAUGCAUUAUAUAUGUAUAAUAUAUUAUAAAAUGCUUUAAUUAUUUUAUAAUAUAUUAUACAUAUAUAGGAAAUAAAAGUGUGUGUGUGUGUAUAAUACGUGUUUAUAUAACACACAUAUUAUAUACACACAUAUUAUAUGUAUAUGUGUGUGUAUAUAUAUUUAUAUACAUAUACAUACACACACGAAUUAUAUAUAUAUAUUAAUCCCUUAAGGACGGCGGGCGUGCUAUGGACCGUCUCUUAACGCCGGGGGCGGCAUAGCACCUCCCCCCCAUCCUUCCCACUUACCCACUUAUGCCGGCGAUCGCGGUAGUCCGCCUCCUUCCGUUUUGGCCCCCUGGGCCAUGUGAUCGCGAGGUCCUUGCGAGGACCUCACGAUCACAUGGACGGCAUAUGUGUGUUAGGCCAGAGUGUUAGCAUGUGAUGUUGAAUGCCUGUAAGAUAUAAUUUAAUUGUGUUGUAAGAUAAGUGUAAUUUAAGGUGACAAAAAGAAGCGAAGGCUAUGAUAGAUUUCAUGGCAAAAGGUUGGGAUAUGUCGUGGUCCGCUAGAAAUCUUGUAAACAGUGUGAAGGCUCUGUUGUAUGUUUUGCGAGUGUUGGAUGAUAGUGCUAGUUUGGACAGAUCCCUGCUGUGUUGCAUAAUUAAUUCCAAUCCAUGAUUAGCUGUUGGAAAGAAGGGGUGGCUGUGGCUGCUUGAGCGGCUGAAGGAAGUGCUUGAUGAAAAGCCUGAAAAUUGAAACGAGACAGUCUGUCAGCUGCUAUGUUACAAAUGCCUGGAACAUGUAAGCAAACCAAGAAGAAAUUGUGACAUGCUGCCAACCAAAUGAGUUUCCUGAGAAAUCUUAUGGUUGUUUGGGAUGAUGAGCGGCCUUUGUUAAUGAUGUGACAUGUGGCCUGGUUGUCUCAGUAGCAACGAACUGACAAUCCUGACCAUGAAUACCCCCAUGCCACAGCAGCUGCUACCAUGAGGUAGAUCUCAAAAAGAGCUGAGGUCGUAAAAAAGCCUUCCAAGUCUUGGACUUCUUCAGACCACCUAACCCAAAGCCAUUUGUUCCCAAAGAUUGCUGCAAAACCCGUGGUAGAUGCUGCGUCUGACCAUAUGGUUGGUGACGUGUCAGACAAUCCUGGGAGGAACAAGCUUUUACGGGUGGCUAAGAAUUCCUUCCACAUGUGCAGGUCUGAUGUGGCCUGCAUAUCCAUGGACAGUCUAUGGUCGUUGUGUCAAAAAUGUGGAAAAAGACAAAGAAGUCUGGAUAUGAAAGCCUGACCUUGUGGAAUGAUGCGCAUGGCAAAGUUUAAGGAACCUAUGAGAGACUGAAUGAAGUUCCUUGCAGUUGCAAGUACCCAGCAUGAUGUAGUGAUUGAUGCUUGAGAAUGUUUGUAAUUUUCUCUUGUGGUAAGCUUGCUUGCAUGGAUGUUGAGUCAAGUUGAAUGCCCAGAAAUGUAAUGAUGGCGUCUGGACCUUCGGUUUUCUUAGGGUAUACUGGGACACCCAAGUGGUCGAAUAGACUAAUGGCUUCUUUUAGGCUUUUGGGGGAAAAUUUGUUUUCUUCGACCAGCAGAAAGUCAUCUAGAUAAUGUAUGACUGUGGGGCAUCUGGAGAUAUUUAGUAUCAGCCAGCAAAGUGUUUCUGCAAAUGUGUCGAAGAUUUUGGGGCUACUUUUUAACCCAAAGGGUCUACAAGGAGCAGGAGGGAUCUGCAAGGAGCAGGAAGGGGUAGCAAGGAGCAGGAAGGGGCAGCAAGGAGCAGGAAGGGCUUGCAAGGAGUAGAAAGGGAUCAGAGAGAGAAAGGAGCAGAAGGGCGCAAAAUAAGCAGAAAGUAGCAGAAAGGUAAAGGAGCAGGAGGAGCCAAGGAGGAAAAAAGACUGUUUCAGAAGAAAAAGAAAACUGUGUCAAAUGAAGGAGAAGAAAAUGAGAUUGGAGCACUUCAUUCUGGACACCACAUCAUAAGGUGGUACCUGGGCCUGGCAGGGGAACUUUGGACCUUCUCAUCUCCCCAGGUAAAAAAAAUAUCAGUGUUAAUGUGUUCACUUUUAUUUACUGAGUGUCAGGAAGCACAGAGGGCCGCUGGGUAGGGGUGCCGCUGAUUGGCUAGAGGGUCAACUGGCAUUCUAAGCCAAUCAGUAGCUACCCAUGCAUAAAAACUUAAGACCUUUUUAUGAAUCAGGAACUGUGGAAUCCCUCUGAAAAUCCAGUCAUGAGAAAAUCUACCAAAUGUCUGGAAGGGUGAUUAGUUAGUAGUGCUGAGAAAAGCAUAAAUGUUAACAGACGCUAGGUACGGUUUUGGGUACAUUUUAUUUGGGCACAUGGUUUUUGCAUGUGCCCUAAAACAUUGAAACAUGAACAUAUAUGCAAUAGUUUGCAAGCACCAAGGUCUUGAGAAAAGUCUAUUGUGACUGAAACGUCGACAUUUUUGUAUUCUGCACAAUAAAGCAGUAUUUAUUUUGAUAUAAAACGAAGACUCCCGAGUGCUCUCUACUUGGAUGCUAUAUAUUGGUCAGAGAUUACUUGCACCGGAGCAUGGAAAAGACCGGGAACAUUGAGUGCUGGGACCUGGGAAAAAAUAAUAUAUAUAUAUAUAUAUAUAUAUAUAUAUAUAUAUAUACAUAUAUUUAUAUACACACAUAUAUAUGUAUAAUAAUUCUACGUAUAUAUUUAUGUAUUAAUUUUACAUAAUUAGGUUUUUUAGUAGCAACUUAGUCACAAAGACUGGCCAAAAUUGACGUUCAAAUUAGUUUUUUGCAUUUUCAAAUAUUAACACUAACUUUGGCCAGUGUUUGUGACCAAGUGGCUACUAAAAAAGCCUGGGCAUACCCCAUUUGCAAUACCUUGGGUUGUUUACUUUUGCAAAUGGUAUGCCAUCAUGGAGGUAAUUCUCAUUCCUGGUCUACCAUACGGUCUCAAAGGCAACGUAACCAAUCUGGCGAAUUUCAAUGUGAAAAAACUGAAAAAUUUAACAUGCUAUAUUUGACCCUGUAACUUCCCAAAACACCAUAAAACCUGUACAUAGGGGGUACUAUUUUACACGUGAGACAUCGCUGAAUACAGAUAUGUGUAUUUUAUUGCAGUAAAAUCAAACAGUAUUAAGACAUUCACAGUUAGAAUGUCACGUAGAACUUAAAAAAUUUUUAAAAUUCUUAUUUUCUCCCAUUUUUUUAUAUUUUAUUCAUAUUAAAUUAUGUUUUAUACCUAAAUAUUUGAUGUUAAAUGAAAGCCCUGUUUCCCCUGAAUAAAAUUGUAUAUAAUAAGUGUGGGUGCACAUAAUAUGAAAGAGAUGAAUUACGCCUGAACAGACAUAUAUUGCAAAUUCAAGUUUUUGUUUACGUUUUGUUUUGAUCACAACGUGUACAUUUGGCUCAGUCCUUAAGGGGUUAAUACCUUAGGUUGUCUUCUUUAAAAAUGUAUUUACAUGUGAAGGGUUUUUGGAGAUUCCUGACAGAUAUCAGUGUUACAAUGUAAUUUUUGUUAGUUUGAAAAAAAAAAAUGGUUUAUAAAUAGCAAAGUAUUACUUGUACUUAUUGCCAUAUAACUUUGCAAAAAAAAAAUCCAAGAAUAUGUUAACAUUGGGUGUUUCUAAACUCAGGACAACAUUUUGAAACUUUUGGCGGUUGUAGAAGCUUAACAGAUUUUGGGGGUCAAAGUUAGAAAAAGUGUGUUUUUUAUACAAAUGUUUUCGUAAAUUAUAUGAUAUGACGAAAAUAAUGGUAUCUUUAGAAAGACCAUUUAAUGCAGAGAAAAAUUGUAUAUAAUAUGUGUGGGUACAGUAAAUGAGGAAGAGGAAACACUGCAGAAAUGUAAAAACAGCCCUGGUCCUUAACUGUAAUAAAAUUGAGAAAGGGUGUGAUCACUAAGGGGUUAAAGAUGUGACUCCAGAACCCCGUCUGCAUGGUGUAAAAUGUUACACAUGAGUUGCCUAGCUUUAUUGCAAACUAACACUCUAAUUUAUCAAAAGCCUAUACGCCCUCUUAGAUAGUGGCGUCUAUUGAUGCUGACCAUCAGGGCCGGCGCUACCAUAAGGCGGCACAGGCGGCUGCCUUAGGGCGCACCGGCCUGGGGGUGCAAAUAUUCGGUUGACCAGCAGGAUAGAUGUGCACAGCGCUCCUCUCCUGACGGUCAUUUCCUGUAACGUGGCUGAGCGCAGGAGGAAAGGGUCAACAAAGGAGCUCCGAUCCAGAUUUCCUGUAUAGCUCCCUCGUGCGCGUUGUAGAGGUCCUAAGAGCUGGAAUGUGACGUCAUAUUCCGACUCCCAGGCACCACUACAGGGCGCACAAGGAUCAGAGCUCUCCGAGGAGCACUGUGACAGCCCACUGGACUCCAGGCUGUGGAACCACUCCAGUUCUCCAGAAGGUGGGGAGACUGGGUGGAUGGGUGGAGUUGUCUGACUGUGUCUCUAAGCCCCACUCCUCCACAAGACUGUCCCGUCCACCAUAGCCUCAGUCCCUCACACUACUGCCCUGCUUCCUCAAUACAGUUGCUAUCCCCCCCACCAGGGCCGGACUGGGAGAAAAAUUCGGCCAGGGCAUUUUUUUAACACAGCGGCCCACUAAAAAGGGGGCGGGGCAGAGGAGGUGUGUUUUGUCAUCACCAAUGACAAACACGCCUCCUCUCAAAGUGAGCAUGUUGGUUCAAUGCUCUUCCAGGGCAGACCAUGCGCAGAGCCCUGCUGAAGAGCUCUAGCAUGAGAAAAAAGCUCUGUAUUUGUUCUGCACAGUGCAAGCAAAUUUAAUAACAUGCUUGCACUGUGUUUCCUUGCAACUUGUCUCUGGUGUCUCUAUAAAUGGAUACCAGGAGACAAAAGGCCAGGACAGAGUAUUGUGCAUGUGUUUGGAGCCUGCUUGUGGAAUUGCGUGUGUGUAGAGUGAGCUGGUCGUGGUGUGGUAUUGUGUAAUAAGGUCGGUUUUAGUCGUGUUGUGUUUGUGGUGUAAUGUGAUGCAUAUGUGGUUCAGGGACCCCCUCCCGCCCGGCUCUGGAAAGGGGUUAAAACUUACCUUUUUCCAGCGCCGGGCGGGGAGCUCUCCUCCUCCGAUCCGCCCCGUCGGCUGAAUGCGCACGUGCGGCAAGAGCUGCGCACGCAUUCAGCCGGUCGCAUAGAAAAAGCAUUUAUAAUGCUUUCCUAUGGACGCUUGCGUGCUCUCACUGUGAUUUUCACAGUGAAAAGCACGCAAGCACCUCUAGCGGCUGUCAAUGAGACAGCUGCUAGAGGUUUUGGGGGAAGGCUUAACCCAUUGAUAAACAUAGCAGUUUCUCUGAAACUGCUAUGUUUAUAAAACAAUGGGUUAACCCUAGAAGGACCUGGCACCAAGACCACUUCAUUAAGCUGAAGUGGUCUGGGUGGCUAGAGUGGUCCUUUAAGAGUGUAGUGUGUGUGUGUAUGUAUAUGUAUAUGUGUGUAUAUAUAUAUAUAUAUUUGGAAGUAUUGUGUAUGUGUGUGGUGCAGUGUGUUGGGGGGGUUCUGUGUGUAUGUGAGGGGUGCAGUAUGUGUGUGUGUGAGGGUGCGGUGUAUGUGUGUGUGAGGGUGCGGUGUAUGUGUCUGUGUGAGGGUGCGGUGUGUGAGUGAUGGGUGUGAGAGUGCCGUGUGUGAGUGAUGGGUGUGAGAGUGCCGUGUGUGAGUGAUGGGUGUGAGAGUGCUGUGUGAGAUGGGUGUGAGAGAGUGCUCUGUGAGAGUGCUGUGAGAGAGUGCUGUGUGUGUGUGAAAGUGCUGUGUGUGAUGGGUGUGAGAAUGCUGUGUGUGUGUGAGUGCUCUGUGAGAGUGCGCUGUGUGUGAUGGUGUGAGAGUGCUGGGUGUGAGAGUGCUGUGUGUGAUGGGUAAGAGAGUGCUGGGUGUGAGUGCUGGGUGUGAGAGUGCUGUGUGAGAGUGAUGUGUGUGAUGGGUGUGAGAGUGCUGUGUGAGAGAGUGCUGUGUGUAAUGUGUGUGAGAGUGCUGUGUGUGAGAGUGCUGUGUGUAAUGUGUGUGAGAGUGCUGUGUGAGAGUGCUGUGUGAGAGUGCUGUGUGUAAUGUGUGUGAGAGUGCUGUGUGUGAUGGGUGUGAGAGUGCUGUGGGAGAGAGUGCUGUGUGUGAUGGGUGUGAGAGUGCUGUGGGAGAGAGUGCUGUGUGUGAUGGGUGUGAGAGUGCUGUGGGAGAGAGUGCUGUGUGUGAUGUGGGAGAGAGUGCUGUGUGUGAUGGGUGUGAGAGUGCUGUAUAAAUGUUAUUGUGUGUGUGUGUAGGGGGGGUAAAUAAAAUAAAAAUAAAAAAAAGUUAUUAUUUCCCCCCCUCCCUUCUUACCUUUAGCCUGGGAGGGGGGGGGACCGGCACGCUGGGACUGGGAGGGGGGGUCCGGCACGCGGUGUUCCCUGGUGGUCCUCGUGGGUGAGUGAACUCUAGUCUGUGAGGCUAGAGUUCACUCUCGCGAGAUCCGGUCGUUGCCAUGGCAACGCGCCGGAUCUCGCGAGAGGAACCCGGCGGAGCUGCAAGUUAGAGCUCCGCCGGGUCCUCUCUCCAGGCUGGCUGGCUGUCUCCCUCCCUCCCUCCCCGCCGGCGGCCGCAUGUGGGCCGGUCAGGGAGAUCCUUGAUCCCCCCACCGGCCCGUCGUGACAAACAGCGGGGCCGGCGCUAGGAGAGUGCCGGCCCUGCAUAGACCGCAGGGGAGAUCCUGUGAUCUCCCCUGCCGGCCUCGGCCCAUGGCCACCGCGGCCCACCGGGCAUUUGCCCGGUGUGCCCGAUGGCCAGUCCGGGCCUGCCCCCCACCAUAACCCCAGUCCCCCACAAUACUGCCCCUACCCUCCACAAUACCGUCACUAUGCCCCCGCACACUAUAGCCCCUGCCCCCCACAAUACUGUCCAUAUUCCCCCACCAUAGCCCCAGUCCCCCACAAUGCUACGCUACCCCCCACUAAAGCUCCAACUCCCACAAUACUGUUCCUAUACCCCAUCAUAGUUCCAGAUCCCACAAUACUGUUCCUACCAUAGACCCAAUUCCCUACAAUACUGUUCCUAUCCCCUCACAAAAUACUGCCACUAUCCUCACAAUACUGCCCUUAUCCCACCACACUAAAGCCCAAUACCCACAAUACUGUUCCUAACCCUACCACUAACACCCCAAUCCCCAAUAAUACUACCCCUAUCCCCUCACACUAAAAAAUAAAUCCCCCACAUGAUGGCCCCUUUCCCCAUACUAAAGAAUCAAUCGGCCACAAUACUGCACCUGCCCCAUCACAAUAAAGCCCCAAUCCCCCACAAUACUGCUCCUAUUCCCCACUCGCUAGAGUCCUUAUCCCUCCCACAAUACUGCCUCUAUUCCCCAAGACUACCCCUAUCUCCCCUUGACUAUAGCUCCUGUCCAACACACACUAUAUUUACCCUAUCACCCACACUAAAGCCCUAUUGUACAGCACUACAGAAUUUGUUGGCGCUAUAUAAAUAAUAAUAACAAUAAUAAAAAGUCCCUACCUCACACAAUUCGGCCCCUAUUUCACACAAUAAAGCACAGUGACACAGGAAGGGGCUGGUGGGCAAGUAAGAGACACAGGGAGGAGCAAGACACUAAAGGGGGAUAUAAUACACUAAGGGGGGUGUAACACACACACAAAGGGGUAACACAUUCAAGAGUGGUUUAAGAGAACCAUUGUGUUUCUGUGUCAUAUCCAAAAGAAACAUUAAUGAUAAAAACUCACAGAUGAACAAUCAUGUCUCCCUUGUGCAUAUUUAGAACAUAUGGGGACAGCACAACCUACAAAAAGAGUAUAAAUACUGCUAGGGCAGCUUACGCCGUUUAAAAGGAAUUAUAAAGUCCAUUGUAUUAGGUCAUAAGUAGGAAGCUAAGCCAGAAUUAUGGUCAGACUUACACCAUGCCAAAUUAUACCAGCAGUAGCGAGCAGUGGUCGACUGAGAGUUCUGUCAGAUCUAAACAUCGAAAUGCAGGUUAAAGGGACACUAUAGUCACCAGAACAACUACAGCUUAAUGUAGCUGUUUUAGUGAGUAUUGUCAGUCCCUGCAGACUUUUUGCACUAAACAAUGCCUUUUCAGAGAAAAGACAGUACUUACAAUAUUUACAUUGCUCUCACAACAUCAGACAUAGUGGUUCAGGGGGUCAUAGCUGUAUGCAGAAGUUGUAUGCUUGGGCUGACUAAAUCUAAGCCCUGUUGACUGAUGGAAGCCCCAGUAUUAUUUUAUAUCUGGAUCUUCCUAGUGUGAGCCAGGUUUUAAAGAUACACUCUAGUCCACCGGGUUCCAAACUUUGGCGCUGCGAUGUGCACACAGGAGUACCGCGGAAUGUUUCCCCAUUACUGCUGAACAGGGGCCCAGUUGGGUGCCCGGCCCCUGUAAUGUCGGCCAGCUGGGAGGAAGUGACAGCCUGUCACGUCCUCCCAGCUUUGUACAGAGAGACUGUGCAGGUGGGAGAGGAGGCAGCCACAGCAUGAGGGGAGAGGAGCUUUCCAGAAGCUGCUCCGGACCCCUCACUCCCAUCAGCCAGCAGGACUCCAAGCCACCCUCCUGGACAUUCAAGGUAAGCUAACAGGUGGGUGGCUGGAGAUAUAAGAAAUAUUGUGUGUGUAUGUGUGUGUGUGUAUGAGUGUAUGUCAGGGUAUGUGUAUGGGUGUGUGUGUGUGUGUGUGUCAGAGAGUGUGUGUGUGUGUCAGGGUGUGUGUGUAUGAGUGUGUGUCAGGGUAUGCAUCUGUGUGUGUGUCAGGGUGUGCUUCUGUGUGAGUGUGUGUGUCUGUGUGUGUGCACACAUCUGUGUGUCAGGAUGCAUCUGUAUAUGUGCAUCUGUUUGUCAUGGUGUGUGUUUUUAUGUCAGUAUUUGUAUCUGGGUCAUGGUGUAUGCAUGUAUCAUCGUUUGUGUGUGUCAGGGUGUGUGUGUAUAUGUCAGUGUAUGCAUUUGUUAAGGUGUGUCUAUAUAAAUUUGUGUGUAUGUGUCGUGUAUUUAUAUGUAUCUGUGUGUUAAUGUGCAUGUAUAUCUGUGUAAGUAUGUAUGUAUAUAUGUGGUAGUGUAUGUGCAUACAUCCAAGCAGUCAAACACCAGCACAACCAGUAUAACUUUGUCCCUUUUUUUAAUUUAUAUUUUUCUCUUUGCUGUUUUAAUUUAAAACUUUUUCCCUCUUUUUUUCUCUUGCUGUUUAUAUUCCCCUCCUUGUGGGUGCUGCUGCUGCUGCUGCCAAGCUAAUUAGGGGGAGUGCCCCUUAAUUUCUAUCUGUGUGGGAUUUGAAUUGCCAAUAUCAACCCACUACUGAUUCACAGAGUUUGCCCACUGGAGUUUGCUUGAAAGUAGUCUAUUUUAAGUAGGAGUUGAAACAACAGGAUUUUCAACUAUAAGCAAGUUUAAACCAAGAGGGUAAAUAUAGUUUUGCUCACUUGUGUUUUUGGUAACUGGGGAUGAGUGCUAGCAAGAUUGCGAGUUUUACUCAGUGCACAUCCUGCUGCAUGUAUGCAUGCAUGAAUGAAUCUGUCCAGGGUCCAUACCUCUGUGGUGCUUGUGAGCGAGUGGGUUUUCUGGAAGCAUUUGAUACGCAUACUCAAACUACGCUACUUCGGACACAUCUUUGUGGCCUUUGUUAAAAACUUACAACACAACCCAACUGCUUGCAUCACGACAAAGGGACUAGACUUUCCAUAUUUCACGCUGGGACGAGUGGUACGGCAGGGAUACCCCUUAUCACCACUACCACCACAUAUUUAACCUAGCCAUAGAUCCCCUGUUGCAAGCUAUUGAGUCACUACCUGGCUACAGGGGGAUGUCACUAUGAAGGUCUCGGCUUUUGACGGUGACCUUCUCCUAUAUACCUCGGAGCCAGCCUUUUCUAUACCACCCCUCCUUGACCUACUUGACAAAUGCCAUGCCCUGGCAGGACUUAACUUGUCGAAAUCCAGUGCGCUACAUCUGGGGAGGGGACUGUCUCCUAGGUUGCCAAGGGGUGUCCCAUUGAAAUGGCAAGCAUCGGCCUUACAAUAUCUAGGGAUCAAGAUCCCAAGAAACAUUGGCCUACUGUAUAAAUUAAAUAUUCCUCCUGUUCUCUCCUCUAUUUUUAAUGAAUUGAAACACUGGCACAAAUUGCCACUCUCAGACAUAGGACGAGCCAAUCUCUAUAAACUAGUUAGUUUCCCACUUAAAGUACUCCCAGUCUUACUCUCCAAAAAAGAAGAAUGUCUUUUAAACAAAAUGCUGAGACACUUUCUUUGUCAGGGGUCGAGGGCCAUGCUGAGCCUAACUAAACUUCACCAAACCAAAUGCAAUGGAGGACUAAUCUUCCAGUGACUACAGUUUGAUGGCUCAACUCCAGCAUGCACUCGAUUGGAUCCAAUCGCAGUCAAGAUACUCAGAUCUAGCCUUGGACUCCUUUCUGGCGCAGCCAGACUCCCUACCAGUACACAAACCACACAACCUGCUUUCAGAUGAUAUUCUCCCAAACCCUCUCCUGGCCGUCCCGAUUAAGGAAGAUGGCUCGGGCCAGCUUGGGGGCAAGCCCGCUAUGUUCAAUACACUUGACUCUGCUCAGGAAUCCAGAGUUCCAGGAUGGAUCCAACACAUAUCCAUUCACGAUGUGGUCAGGGCAGGGUCUCGGGUCUUUGAGUUCCUUUGUAGACACAAAAAUAUCUUACCAUAGGUUGCCUGACCCUCCCAUACCCUGGUUUGCAUAGUUUCUAGUACGACAUUAUUUUUACACUAUAAGUCAGCGCCUCCUGGUCUCCGAUUGGAGUAAUUCUUUGGAUCAUCUUUUAUGCACCACAAAUCCAGCAUUUUACUCCAUCUCUACCCUAUAUGCCCUUUUACGAUACACACUUGAUUGGAACACACUACAAACGGGUCUGGGGAAAUGGAAGAUUUACUUCCCUGAUAUCACACCUGAGAACAUCCUAAACUCUCACUACCUUCAAAGUCAACUGCUCCCCAUGGUUUCUUAUCGAGACAUGUUCCUGAAAACCACACAUUAAACAUAUUUUACCCCGCAUAGACUACAUCUCAUGGCAAGGAAUGACUCUUCUACCUGCUUUAAAUGCACCCACACCAAAGCGGAUAUGUAUCACUGUCUGUGGGAGUGUCCCAUGAUUCAGACCUUCUGGAGAGAGGUUGUGCAAUACUUAACGUAUAACAAUAUGAUGCCCUUACCAUUAAAUCCCAGUUUCCUAUUAUUUAUAUCCAUUUAUGGUGAUUCCGUGCCUAAUAGACGCUUUUCUAUGAUCAUAGCAGCGAUGGACCGCAGAACCAUUCUUCAGGUUUGGAACCAGCCGGGUACUUCACCACUUACUUUAUUCUUAACCAAACUCAAAUUCCUUUUUAAAAUGGAUUGGCUUUAUAUCCUAGCCAACAAGGAACUUCUGGUAAAAAAAAGAUUUCCUCACAUGGAAUGUUUCUACGCUGGACACCUAAUUCCAAUCUAGACUUAGAGCAACUUUGGAGUGCACGGCAUGGUUCUCAACCGAGGUGGUGGCGGGACGGAACCCAUUGGGUGUGCCCAGUGCUACUCACCCAUAACUCCAUUUACUGUUCUUGGGGGGCGGGAAUGUUCAGUGGACCGGUAAUUGUAAAUAGUUAUUGACUUUGAAAAAGUCUGAAGGGUGGAAAAGACCAACAUAUAUAGAUUCAUGGGUUGCAGAACAAUCAAAGCAACGUGGAUAUAAUGAGCAUACUACUAUUAGAAAAACAUAUCUAGAGCAAAUUUAUCAAAUAUAGUAAAGUAGUUAAAUUCUUGACAUUCAGUAUAAAAAGGCAUUAUGACAUGUAAUGCUGAUUAUAUGGUUACUACUUUCAUUGUUAUACACGGUUCUUUACCCACUCAAUGCGUACGGAUGCUGAUCACAUCUCACGUGCAUAUCACAUCCUAUGACAACAAUACACUACCAAAGUCAUUGAAUAACACUGCAACAAACAGAACCCCGCUCCUACAUGGUAUGUUAAAUACAAUACUUUCUAAGGUUAUUUGUUUUCUGUUAUUGUUCUUCUUUUACUAUAAAAAAAAACUAAACUCUGGCGAUUGCGACCAAGUCGAUCACCACAACAUGAAGAAAUGCCUUAACAAAAUAACUCUCGACUUUCUUUUUCUUUCUGUAAUACAUUGUCAACAUAUGUACUAUGAUAUGGCUUUUGUGAAGCCUAACAAUGAUAAAUGGAAACUAUUCAGACAAAUAUUAGAGAAGUACAUUUCUCAUUAUGUACCAUAAGUAAAACAAGAAAUUAAAAAUAAGAAAAGGGCAUUUAAAGCAUUUAAAUGAGACAAAUCAGAGGCAUCCUAUACAAGAUAUAAGGAAGCCAAUAAUUCUUUCAAAAAGUCAAUUAAAGUGUUUAAACUAGAAAAGGAGAAAUUGAUAGCCAAAUAAUGCAAAACCAACCCCAAAACUUUUUUCCAGUACAUCAAGGAUACGGCAGAAAUUUUAAAUAACUAUUUUUCUUUCAGUAUAUAUUAAUGAGAAUCCUAUGGCAAAAGAUAUGCAAAUGAUUGCUGCAAAAAACUUUCAGAUAACUUGUGAUUGGAUUACUAGAGACAAGGUGCUAUAGCAGUUAAAGAAAAUUAAUGUAAAUAAAGCUCUGGUGCCUAAUGGUAUUCAUCCACGAGUACUUAAGGAACUAAGUAGGGAAAUAAGUGAACCUCUGUAUUUAAUUUUCCAAGAUACAUUUGUUUCAGGUAUUGUACCGGAGGACUGGAGGAAGGCAGAUGUUGUUCCUAUAUUUAAAAAGGGUUCAAAAUCCUUGCCUGGAAAUUAUAGACCGGUGAGCUUAACUUCUGUGACUGGGCAAAUAUUUGAAGGGCUAUUAAGGGAUAAUAUUCAGGAAUUCAUUGGGAAGAACUUUGUUAUUAGCAAAAAUCAGCAUUGUUUUAUGAAACAUAGGUCAUGUCAAACUAACCUAAUUGCAUUCUACGAAGAAGUCAGUAGAAGUAUGGAUCAGGGUGUUUCAGUGGAUGUGAUCUACUUGGAUUUUGCCAAGGCGUUUGAUACGGUUCCUCACAAUAGGUAAAUUUUUAAACUAAAAGAAAUUGGUCUAGAUGAAUAUUCUUGUUCUUGGGUAGAAGAUUGGUUUAAGGAUAGAGUAUAACGGGUUGUCAUUAAUGGUAAAUUUUCAGGCUGGACAAAAGGGGUAACUGUUGUCCCUCAGUGUUCUGUUUUUUGGACCGCUUCUAUUUAACAUCUUUAUAAAUGAUCUUGAAAUAGGCAUUGAAAGCCAUGUUUCAGUGUUCGCAGAUGACACAAAACUUUGUAAAGUAAUAAAAUGUGAGCAGGAUAUUGCUUUGCUGCAGAGGGAUUUGGAUAGAUUGGGGGACUGGGCACUAAAAUGGCAGAUUAAAUAUAAUGUAGAGAAAUGCAAAUUUAUGCAUUUUGGAGUUUAAGAAUGCACAAGCAACUAACACCCUAAAUGGUAGUGAAUUAGGGAUAACCACAUACGAGAAGGAUUUGGGAAUUGUUAUAGACAACAAAUUAGGCAGCAAUAUGCAAUGUCAAUCUGCAGUUGCUAAGGCCAGUAAGAUUUUGUCAUGUAUAAAUAGGGGCAUAAAUUCUCAGGAUAAAAAUAUAAUUUUGCCUCUUUAUAAAUUGCUGGUAAGACUACACCUUGAAUAUGCUGUGCAAUUUUGGGCACCACUUUUAAAGAAGGAUAUCAUGACACUAGAAAAAGUGCAGAGACAAGCUACAAAAUUGAUAAAAAAUGAAUGGAGCAUUUAAGUUACGAAUAAAGGUUAAAAAAUGUAAAUCUCUACAGUUUGGAAAAACGGCGCCUCAGAAGGGAUAUGAUAAAAUUAUACAAAUAUAUUCGGGGCGAAGUACUAACCAUUAUCUGGAAAUCUCUUCAUACACAGGGCUAUACAAAGGUGGGGUAAUAGCUGCUUGAUCCAAUCAAACAUCUGACUGCUAUUUUGGGGUUCAGAAGGAAUUUUUGUCUGUCUGUCAGUGAGUGCAUCUGUCUGUCAGUGAGUGCGUCUGUCAGUGAGUGAGUGUGUGCGUCUGUCUGUCAGUGAGUGUGUCUGUGUCUGUCAGGAUGUGUCUUUGUAUUUUAGUGAGUAUGUCUGUGACUGUCAGUGAGUAUGUCUGUGUCUGUCACUCUGUCUGUCUGUGUAUGUGUAUGUCAGUGUGUGUGUGUAGCUGUCAGUGUGUGUCUGUGUGUGAGUGAAUGUGUGUAUGUCAGUGUAAGGAUGUUUGUGUCAGUGUGUGUCUUUCAGUGACUGUAUGUCAGUUUAUGUGUAUCUGAGAGUGUGUGUCUGUCAGUGAGUGGGUGUGUAGUGUGUGUGUCUGUUAGUGAAAGUGGGGGUUGUUUAACCCCUUAAGGUCACAUGACAUGUGUGACAUGUCAUGAUUCCCUUUUAUUCCAGAAGUUUGGUCCUUAAGAGGUUAAACAAUGUGUGUGCCAAUGACUGUGUAUCUGUCAGUGAGUGUAUGUCAGUGCAUGUGUCAAUGAGGCUGUGCAUCUGUCAGUCAAAAAAGUAGCCUUGACAUGAAGUGGUGGUACAAAUUUAGAUUAGGGGAGUGCCUGUAUUUAGUCGUGCCUAGGGCAGCACAAAUCCAAGAUACACCACUGCAUGUAGCACAAGCAAUUUUUGCUGUGUGUGUGUUCAACUCCAAUUUCCAUUUUUCUUAUUUAUUAAACCAGCACAUAUUAUAUACCUUUUUUAAAGAACAAAGAGGGCUUUAAUUUGAUGUGGCAAAUGCAUUAAUAAAUUCUCAUUUAUUGCAUACAAACACAUUUUUUUACAGUUUUGGUAAUAAUAAUGUGCACAUAAUUUGAGCAGCUUAAAUGGACACUAUAGUUACCAAAACAACUGUUGCUUAAUGAAGCAGUUUUUGUGUAUAGAUCAUGCCUCUGAAGUUUCACCGCUCAAUUCUCAUUCAGGAGUUAAGCAACUGUUGAUCUGUUUGUGCAGCCCUAGCCACACCUACUGCAUGAAAACAAAAUGGUUUAUUUUUCAAUCCGAUGUAUCUUACUUUAAAAGUUUUUAUCUCCUGCUCUGUAAAUUGCUCUUUAAUUGCAAGCUAUUAACAGUAGGAGAUAAGAAAUUCUAAAUUAAACAGAACUUAAAAAAAAAGGACGUGUUAACAUUAAACAACUCUUACAGGAAGUUUUUAGGAGGGUUGUGCAAGUCACAUGCAGGGAGGUGUGACUAGGGCUGCAUAAACAAAAUGAUUUAACUCCUAAAUGGCAGAGAAUUGAGCAGUGAGACUGUGGGGGCAUGAUCUAUACCAAAACUGCUUCAUUAAGAUAAAGUUGUUUUGCUGACUGUAGUGUCCCUUUAUGAAAAGUAGUUCAAAAUAAAUCCAUUUAUUUGCCCUGAGAUACUGAUUACAUCAUAUGUCUAGGAUUUCAGUUUAUUUUUGGUAGUUACAAUUCACAAAAUACAAGGAGUAAAUUACAAUCUUAAUGUGGAAUGCUGCAUACAGCUUAUUGUUUAGCAUGAGGCCACUAAUUCUGGUUCUAUUUGACAUGGGGUAGCCCCACGUAUCAAGUCUUACCCUUGGUUCCACAGUAACCAGCAGGGAACUGGCCAUUGCUGGUUAAAUACUCUGUGAUGGAAUUAUUUUUUCAUUGGUCCCUUAGGAUGGGACAACUAUGAUGGAAUAAUUCAGUCAUCGGUCUCAAAGGGGUUAUUUUUAGUGGUUUUAAUAUAUUUCGACUAUGAUUUGGUUUUACUGAUUUAUGGUAAACUGCUGCCUCAUUACAAGUGGGGUACUCAAGCUUGUUGGGUUGCGUGACCAUCACUUUAAAGAGACAGGGUUUGGAUGGUGUGUUAGUUUCUUCCAUUUCGAGCAGCAUGUCUGUCUAGCCAAGUCUCAUUACAGGUAGAAAAUGACACUAAGCAGCAGGCUUCUCCUGCAAACUGAAACACUUUCUGACUUUUGUCUUUCAAUUACUGCAUUUUAAGUCCUCUGAAAUGACUUUUCAGCAGGUGAUUUUGUAAAAAAGAAAAACAAAAGAAAGAAAAAGAAACAUUAUAAAUAUGCUGCUUUGUUCUUCCUGUGCUUUAAUGGCUUGUAAAACAAAUGGCAAAGCUAAUGGAUUUGAGCUUGUUCAGAACCUGCAGAGACUGUGCUUUAUUUUUUUUUAUUUUUUUUAUAUAUAUAUCUACCAUGACCCUUGUAUGCAUGGAGUUAAACCCUAUAGAUGAAUAGAUGACUUGCUGGGUACCAAUAUUCCUUGUAUGGUGAGAUUUAAAGAAAUACCGCUCUUUACACUUUCAUAGUAAUGAUGGGUGUCUAGUCUUUGCAGCAAAACAGCUCAUCUUAAUUACAGUUUGAGGAAACUGAAGUCAUACAACAACUGGUGAAAGCUUUAAAUGGCUUCAUCAUCAUCAUCAGGUCUUGGAUGGCUGAUAAUAAUAGAAGUUACAAUCUAAACAAAACACAGAUAAUUAUGCCAGUUUCCCAUAAGCAGGGCCGGUGCAAGGAUUUUUGCCGCCCUAGGCAAAAGAAAGAUUUGCCGCCCCCCCCGCCGGGGCCUCGCAAUGCCCCACCCAUAUGAUCUGCCAUAUGAACUAGUGCCAGUGCUGCACACAGUGUGUGUUUACAUUAAAAAGCCUGCAGGGACAAACUAUAGAAACCAGAACAACUUUAUUAAGCUGCAGUGGUUCUGGGGACUAUAUUGUCGAUUUAAUGUGAGGUAAAUUAGAGAUUAGUGUCACUAAUAAUAUACUAGAUUGCCUACUUACAAUCAGAUGAGGAUGAUGAUGGGCUGUGGCUGCAGUCUGGCUCCACUGGUCUGGUGUAGAACAGGAUAUCUGGAGGCUGCUUGUAACUGUGGUCACAAAAUUCAAUGUUCUGGGAGAACGGGAAGCAGCUCAAUUUUGUGGGGCCUCUUACAUAGCUCAAGGUCUGGGCCCCAGGGCCUGACGGUGAGUAUGCCCAUAAAGCCCACCCAUAAGUCCACCAACAUGAGUCCGCUCACAGGGAGUAGAGUGUGUAGGGGAUGUGUUAUGUGUUACUGUAGAGGAUCUAAUGUGUGUGCUUAUGGAAUGUAGUGUAUAGGGAUACCAGUUUGAGUAGGUGAUGCAGUGUGUUUGUGUGUAAGGGAUAGAAAGCAGUGAGUGUUUGUGUAUACGGGAUGUAUUGUGUGUUUGUCUGUAAGGGGUGCGUUGAGUGUGUGUAAGAGAUGCAUUGUGUUUCUGUGUGUGUGUAAGAGAAUCAGUGUGUGUUUGCAUAUGUGUGUAAGGGAUGCAUUGUGUGUUUCUGUGUAUGUGUGCAAAGGAUGCAUUGUCUUUAUGUCUAAGGGUUGCAUUGUGUGUUUCUCUGUGUGUAAGGGAAGCAUGUUGUGUUUGUGUGUGUAUAGGGAUGCAUUGUGUGUGUGUGUGUGUGUGCGCGUGGUGUGAAAGAGCUCCCUGUCCUGCCCCCUGUCCUAUAGAGCUCUCCCUUAGAGAUCUCCCCCGCCCCUUAGUGGUCUCUCCUCUCCCCCCCCCACCUCCCUUAGUGGUCUCCUUUUCUCCCCGACUUUCCAUUAGUGGUCCCUCCUCUCCCCCCACCCUCCCCUAGUGGUCUAUCCUCCACCCCCCUCCUUUAGCGGUCUCUCCACCGCCCCCUCCCUCCUUUAGUGGUCUCUCCCUCCCCUACGUUCUCAUCUCCCACCCCCCGUGUUCUCCUCUUAUUCCCCCCUCCCCGUGUUCUCCUCUUCUUCUCCCCUGUAAUCUUCUCUUCUUCUCCCCCCUCCCUGUAACCUUCUCCACUCCCCCUCCCUCCCUGUAAUCUUCUCCCCCCCUAUAAUCUUCUCCCCCCUCCCCUAUAACCUUCUCCACUCCCCCCUCCCUCCCUGUAAUGUUCUCCCCCCUCUUAUAAUCUCCCCUCAAUCCUCCUCCCUCCCUAUAAUCUCCUCCCCUCAAUAAUCUCUCCCCUAAUAGGCUUCCCCACUCCCCAUGUCUUCUCCCCACUCCCAUAAUCUCCUCCCCCCCACUUCAAUGUCUCCUCCCCCCCUCCCUAUGUGUCCUCCCCCCCACUCAAUAAUCUCCUCCCCCCCUCCCCCCACUCACCCAGCCUGUGGCCUCCCCCCCCCUCCAAUGUCUCCUCCCUCAAUGAGACUCUCCCCACUCCACUCCCCUAUGUGUCCUCCCCCUCCAAUAAUCUCCCCUCCACUCAAUAAUCUACACCUCCCUCCCCCCUCCAAUAAUCUCCUCCCUGCUUGUGUCUCCCCUCAGCCAAUCUCUACCCCCCACUCCCACUCCCUGGUAAUACCCCCCCCCUCCAAAAAUCUCCCCCUCCCACUCCCUAUAAUGUCCUCCCUUGUAAUCUCCCCCCCCCUCCCUCCCCCACUCAAUAAUCUCCCCCCUCCCUCCCCUCCAAUAAUCUCCCUCCCUAUGUCCUCCCUCAAUAAUCUCCCCCCCCCCCCCUCCCUCCCCUCCAAUAAUCUGCCCCUCCCUCCCACCCCACUCCAAUAAUCUCCCCACUCCCUCCCCCCCUCCAAUGUCUCCCCCUCCCUCCAACCAAUCUCCUCCCUCUAUGCUCGUGUCCUCCCCCACUCGGCAAUCACCCUUCCCUCCCAAUAGUCAUUUAUCAUCCCUAUAAUCAUCUCUCACCCUCCCCUGCCCUUCUGUUGGCUGAGGCUCCUUUCCGUUCGGACAGGUGGGACUGAAAAGGAGCUCGGCCACGCUACAGAAGGGCAGGGGAGGUGAGGCACUGUGGCAGCCGCCUGAGCGCUCUCUAUAGAGCGCUCAGGCGGCUGCAGAAUUUAAAGGGCCGGCGAUGGGGGCGCAGGGCGCCCCCUCCUAUAUGGCGCCCUAGGCGGCUGCCUAGUUCGCCUUAUAGGAAGCGCCGGCCCUGCCCAUAAGCACUUUUUAGUAUUUGAAAAAGUUAGGAAUACUCUUUAAACUAUGGUACCAUGCAGUUUUGAAAUACUGUUUGUUCCUUUGCAAAGUGCAGCAUGUUUUUAUUUUUAAGGAAGAAUAUUUUGUUCACUGCUCUGAUUUAUGUACGUUGACAAACACUGAGUGAUAGAAUGGGAUGCUGUACUCUAUGAAAAAAUAAAAAACCUAUAAAAAAAAACAAAAUGAGUUUGUUGUUUUCUUCUGAGGUUAAAGCUGUAUGUCUAUAAUAGUAGAUUUUAUUAGUAGAAUUGACAAAAAAAAGAUCUAAAUACAAGCCAUUUAAAAAGAAAACAAUUAAAGGGGACUUGUAAAAUAGUACUUGUAUACAUAAAGAUGUCAGUUUGUAUGAGAUGGUAGCGUCCUAAUUGGUAUUUUCUUUACAAUGUAAUUGUGCUUAGAUCUCAUUAUCUUUUUAUGUCUCCUAAAAAAUACCUCAGCUUUCUUUAGUGCGGGUCUAAUAAGCAGUAUCUCCACAGAGAUGUUUUCCUGGUUAACUAAUAAGAACAAUUCUUGGUUGAGUUCUGGAGGUAGAGCAAUCAAAGUAAACAUUCCAUUGGUUUCUAUGGUGACUGCUCCACUUUUAUACCAUUAGCUUUGUUAGACUUCAUUGCAUAUCUAGGUAUCCACUCAACCUUUUUACUUCUAUAGUAAGCUGAUGAAACUCUGCCAAAAAAUUAGAUCCAACUGCAGUUAGUAGCUGAUACAUGUCUCAUCAUUAGCAAGAAAGUAUGUAAAAGAGGAUUAUAACAACGGUUAGCAGUUAAUAAAAUUGGUAAUAAAACAAUAAAGAAGGGGUGCUACUACCGUGUUUCCCCGAAAAUACACCCUACCCCGAAAAUAAGACCUAGCUGAAUUUUCGGGGUGGGCUGCAAUAUAAGCCCUACCCCGAAAAUAAGACCUAGGCAUUGUACCUUUCGGCCCGGCGGGACUUCCUUCUUCUAUGAGGAGGAGGAGGAGCGUUGCAGGCCGCGGCAUCGCGCAACGUGAUGACGACGUGCGCAGCGUCGUCAGUCUGCCUUCACGGAUCUUCAGCGGAAGGAUCCAUUUCCGGGCGGUGAGGCACCCAGUGGUCGGACUCGGCGGGCAAGGAAGGCAUCUUUGAAAUGUGAGUAGAUAUUUUAUGUCUGGGACUGAAUUAAUUAAAGGGGGCGAUGAAUUAAUUAAAGGAGGCGGUGAAUUAAUUAAAGGGGGGGCUGGAUUAAUUAGAGGGGGGUGGAUUUAUUAAAGGGGGGUUGGAUUAAUUAAACGGGGGGUGGAUUUAUUAGAGGGGGUGGAUUUAUUAGGGGGUGGAUUAUUAGGGGGGUGGGAUUAAUUGGAGGGGUGGAUUAAUUAGAGGGGUGGAUUAAUUAGGAGGGGGGUGGCUAAAGGAGGGGUGGAUUAAUUAGAGGGGGGGUGGAUUAAUUAGAGGGGGGGUGGAUUUAUUAAAGGGGGGUUGGAUUAAUUAAACGGGUGGAUUUAUUAGAGGUAUUAGGGGGUGGAUUAUUAGGGGGGUGGAUUAAUUAAAGGAGGGGUGGAUUAAUUAGAGGGGGAUUAAUUAGAGGGGGGUGGAUUAAUUAAAGGGGGGUGGAUUAAUUAGAGGGGUGGAUUAAUUAGAGGGGGUGGAUUAAUUAAAGGGGGGGUUAAAUGUACAAACCGGUACCAUAAAUAAAUAAGCCCUACCCUGAAAAUAAGCCCUAGUGUGUUUUUUGGGACUAAAAUUAAUAUAAGACCCGGUCUUAUUUUCGGAGAAACACGGUAUCACCUAUGUGAGUCACUCCACCACACAAUAUAGCAGUGAAUGAUAAACAGGUAAAAAUGGUGAGAGCACACACAGAUAAUAAAAUAAAUAUAUUAUCACUAUAGUAACACGGAGUCCUGCAAUUUAAGACAGGAGAACAAACAUAGGGUAAUAAAGUACAAAUACAUUUUAAAAUGUGAAUAAUUGUUCACACUCACAUAUUUCUGAGCCACUUAUUGGAAGCUGGCUCAGACUAAGAACGUUGGAUGGAUCAAUGGCAGUGAUGACAGGAUACCAAUGUUGUCAAAUUUCUUGUUCUCUCCCUUAUAAAGCCCAGGAUGCAGAAACUUGUUAAAAGGAUUUAUUGAACAGAAAAUAAAAUCAGCAAAAAUAAAAUGUUUGUAUGCUAAAUAAAUUAUAUAGCCAAGAAGAAUAUAAAUACAAACAUAAAUCAGUGCAUUAUGGUGUGCACUAAAUGCCACUUAAAUGCACUUUUAAUUUGUUUUUGAUUUAAGAAAAUACAAGAUUAUACAAAUAGAGAUAUACAUUUAAAAAGUGCUUAAAGGGACACUGUAGUCACUAUAACCCCUUUGUCUCUUUGAAUUGGUUAUAGUGCAUGGAGUGGCCUGGCACUGUCCCUCCAUUCAGUGUUGCACCAUGUUUGUUCAAUAUGCCACAAAAUAAGAGUCCCUGGCCACCCACAGUCCGACCCCUUCUGUAUGUGUAGCUAAGGCAGAGAAUACACACUUCCUUGUUGUCAUACCCAUUCAUACCGUCAGUUGGAGCUCUGACAGGUUAAAAGCAGUCAGCUGACACACUCAGCCAAUCACAGCUGCCCAUUGCCUCUCAGGGUAAUACUUCCUUAUUAGCCAAAGCAGCACAGAGGGGAUAGACUGCCGUGGACUCUUGUUUAGCAUUAAAACAUUACAACAUUAAAAACUGUUUAAUGCUGAAAGAAAUUAUGGUACCAGGGGACUCCAGACACUAUAACCAGUUUAAUGAGUUGAAGCAAAUACAGUGCCUACGGUGUCCCUUUAACAUAUUCUCGAAAGUCCAUAGGCUGCUUCUUAAAAGUAUCUUUUAUCUUAGACUGAUUUCAAGGACACUAACAUUUCUCAUAUUGCAUGUUGAAAAAACUGUUAGUGAAUUGUUAGAUUUGGAAAUAUAAAAUAACAAGUAUUAUUGAUAUAGUUAAUUGGAUAUUGUGGCUUGGCUGAAAAUUUAAUCAUUUAUUUGCAUGUUCAUAAAGAUGACCAGUCAUAAUUACCAAUUAAUUAAACAGAAACAUGGUAAUUAAUUGGGUUAGUAUUAAAGAGAGCCCAGACAUUAAAAAGAAACAUUUAUUUUACAUUUUUUAGUGAUCCUUAGUAAUUUUUUUAAGUAAUGCCUAAAUAUACUCAGUAAUGUAUUUUUGUAAUGUGUGCACUAUUUAUUUUUUAUUUCCUUCCUUUUCACAAUGACUUUGAUAAAGUGCCCUUUGGGGUAUAAAACAUUUCUUUAUUUGAAAAGGGGUGCUGAGCAACACUCUAAAAAAAAUACAAUAAAAUAAUCCACGAUGCCUACUAAUCCCUUGGGAUAUUGGGACUUAAAAGUAUAUGAGGUAUUGGAAGUUGCCUGCACCCUUCAAAAGCUUGGACUGACAGCUGCCGCUAUGAAGCUUCAACCUUCAACCAAGUACUGCAACCGACUUCCUGGGACCCUGAUUGGGUUCUCACAUUUGUUCCUGCUUCUCUGAGAGGAAGCCCUGCAACCACAGUGAUUCAUCAGCAGUAUAUUCACAAUCUUCAUUGUUUAUUGCUUAAAGUAUGAUUUUCACCUUUUAGUUUUGUUUUUAAAGUUCGUUGGCUGAACCAUAAGACCUUCGUAAAGUGUUCCUAGGGACACAUCCUUUUGUACAGGCCCAGUCUGUAUAUACUAGCAUUUGGGGGUUUAUUUCCCCCACAAUAUCCCACUUCCUCCGCCUACUAACCAGCAUUGCCACUACACUUCUUACAAAUAGUUGUAAUAAACACAUUUUGGAAAUGUUAUUUAACAGCUAUUUAACACAAAUGCUAUUGCAAUUCCACCAUGGUGGUAUCCUGACUGGAAAACAAUCAUCUCUUGAAUUGCAAGUAAUAAAGAUCUGUUCAUAUAUUGUAUAGAAUUGAGUUACGUGAAGAAUUAUUCAAGUUACAUAACAACUUUACGUUUUCCCUCAGGUUUAAAACAAAUACCUUGCUUUUUUCAUUUUAGCGUUUCAUUUUGUGUUUCAGUCUUCAAACUGUGAAUAAAAGGUCCAUUCAGUGUCCUAUUAGUGGAUGACUGAAAUCACAUCCAUUUUCUAAAAGUUAUCUGUCCAGAGGCGGCCUGCUAAAUUAUACUGAUGCCAAAACGCAGACUGACACUUUGAGGGACAGUCUGUAAAGUAUGCAGCUGUCGUCCCAAUGCCCAGAUCUGUGCUUUUCCCAUGUAACUGUAAGAGAGAAGAUUAGUGAAGGUGCAAAAAUCAGGAAAGAUAUCAAAUCUGUUGCAGAUCCACUAGAACACUGGGUAUAGAGGAGCAAGAAAUUGAGGCACUCUCUAGCUUGGAUUGCUUUGAUUGGACCUGAGGACAGUAUCUGGCUGGGAUUGAUGUUAUUGUGAGUCUAAGGGCACUGUUUGGCUGGCUUUGAUAUGAUACUGGUGAUUGAAGGCUCUACGAUUGGGGUGCUCAAUGCAUUAUGGGAUUUGGAUUGAUAUUGUUGGAGGGCUGAGGCCACUAUGAGAGUGAGAUUGAUAUGAUUGGUGGUCAGUAAGCUCUGUGUGGUUGAGAUUGAUAUGAUCAGAGACUGGGGCACUAUCUGGCUGGAAUUGAAUGGCAUAAUUGGGAAAUGUCAAUGGGGCGGGGGAGAUGUGAUUGGGUAUUAUGGGAAUGGAGCUGAGCUGACAAUGGGGCUAGUGAUUGAUUGGGUCUUUGGGGAUGAGUUUGAUGAGGGAGUUAUGGGACCUCAUAUUUUAUCAUUGACUAAGGCAUUGGUAAGUCCAGAGCCACCUCAAUGUCUGUCAUUUCAAAUGAAUCUGCACUUGUUUGUUUUGUAUCCUGGAAAAUAACUGAAAUAAUAAAUCAGUGGAUACAAAACAUUACAGCGUGAGUUUAAAUUAUAAUAUUUCCACAGUAACAAAACCAAUCAAAAGCCGAUGCUGAAAUCUGCCGUAGCUGAGUGCAGUAAUGGAAGCAAUUUUGCUAAUGGGACCUACUCAUGGAACAAUGGUUUAAGCCUUUCCAUUAGAGUUGUAAUGUAGAAUUUUUUUUCCGUAUUAAUCUAGGCAUUUACCUUGUGGCCAGUCUCUGGUUCUAGUGGGUCUCACUGCAUUGCGCCACAUUUUUUGUAAUUAUAAAAUGAAAAGUGACACAUUUGCAAAAGUGUUGUUUUAAAUCUAAAAUUUAUAUAUAUUGGGCUGUGUUUUAAAAUAUUAAAGGGACUCUAUAGGCACCCAGACUACUCAUUGAAGUGGUCUGGGUGCACUACUCCUGCAGCGUAAAACAUUGCAGUUUUGAGAAAUGGCAAUGUUUACAUUGCAGUAGUAAGACUGACUCUAGUGGCUGUCUACCGUCUACCAAACUACUAAUCAAAGUAUAUAAAAAACAGAGCUAUAUUCUAAUAAACAGAGUAACUCAAUUUUUAGCUAUGUUUAUUUGUGAUAUUCUUCAUUAUAGCAUGGUUGUAGCAAGAAGCCAGAUGUUCCUGCUUACAGAUUGUCAUACCCUAAAGCAAAUUAUGUUCUAGACUAGGUUCAUUGUUUCCUUAACUGAUAUUACCAGCUCGAUAAAGGCAGUUAACUAAUACAAUGUUUGUAUUAGGCAGUUAACUAAUACAAUGCUUGCACAGUGUGAGAGGUAAGAUUACAUUACCUGAUAAAAAUGUACAUAUCACUAGUAGUGACAAAGUCAAAGAUUAUGUCAGUAUUUCAGGCCAAAACUAAUAUGCAUUUCAUUUUUUUUUCCAAUUUAACGUGUGAUAAUAAUAAUUAAAAAAUAACAACUCAAGCCUAUUCUUUAGUGCUGUAGGCCCGGGCUGGAUUAAAGGACCACUAUAGGCACCCAAAUCACUUCAGCUUAAUGAAGUGGUCUGGGUGCCAGGUCCAGCUAGGUUUAACCCUUUUUUCUAUAAGCAUAGCAGUUUCAGAGAAACUGCUAUGUUUGUAAUAGGGUUAAUCCAGCCUCUAGUGGCUGUCUCAUUUACACCCGCUAGAGGCGCUUGCGUGCUUCUCACUGUGAAAAUCACAGUGAGAAGACGCCAGCGUCCAUAGGAAAGCAUUGAUAAUGCUUUCCUAUGAGACUGGCUGAAUGCACACGCAGCACACGAGAGGGGGACCCUGUGGGAGGGGGCACCCUCAGGGCACUAUAGUGCCAGGAAAACGAGUAUGUUUUCCUGACACUAUAGUGGUCCUUUAAGAGCCCAUUUGGCCUGGUGCUGACAAUUAUGAUGGGCCUAAUAUCAGAAUCUUAUCAAAAGAAAACACUAAAACAGUUAUACCCCCCAAGUGUCAUGUAUCUGGUGCUGGAGGAAAACUCACAGGCUAUAGCUAUCAGAAAACCCAUACCCUAUGCUAAUCUCUUGUUUUCAUCUUUCAAGUAAAUCCAUACCCUCAACAGCAGUGUCCAGUGAAGCAGGAUUUAGGUGGUGAAAGGGUGGGCCACUGAUGUGAAUCACGUAACCCAAAGGGACAAACAUGUCCAUAAUGGGGUGUGUCUGCACAAAGAAUUACAUGGUCAGCCUGGCGUGAAUGCACGUUUUCUGAUAGUUAUAUCAUGCAUUAUUACCAACCAAGGGCUUACUGUGCAAACAGCACUCGUAACUUGGCAUAAAUGCACCUGAUGAUGCGCUAGCUCUACGCUUUCUAAGGAUUGUUCCUUAUCAUAUGCUGGUCCACUCCUCUCCUAACCUUUUUACUUGCAGGCAGAAGCUCUUGUUAUACAGUCUGUAGUGGAGCUCCUUGUACCCCGGCUGGGUACCUCCGCCAAGGACCGCUUCCUAGCUGGAACUCAGGAAAAAGUAAAGGGUGGCCAAUAUCUAGACCAUGUUUAUUACAAACUUUUAUCUAUGGAGCAUUGUGUGUCAGUAAGCUUUUCUGUAUGGAGCACGUGUGUGUCAAUGAACUUGUCUGUAGUGAGCUUGUGUGUCAGUGAGCUUGUCUGUAGGAAGCAUGUGUGUAUCAGUGAGCUUUUCUGUAGUGAGCAUGUGUGUGUGACAGUGAGCUUGUCUGUAGAAAGCUUGUGCGUGUCAGAGUUUGUCUGUACUACGUUUUGGUGUAUACCAAUAAGCUUGUCUGUGUGUGUCAGUGAGCUUUUGUGUGUGCAUCUGUGAGCUUGUGUUUUUAUGUCAAUGUGCUUAUGUAUAUCAGAUAGAUUGUUUGUCUAUGAGGCUGUGUAUCAAUGAGCUUGUGUGUGUCAGUAAGAUUGUCUGUGUCUGCAUGUGAGUAUGCUUACUGUAUAAUUAAAGUUUUACUCUGAAAGGAUCAAUAUUUUGUAUUAGAAAAAUAAAUGCAUAUUUAUGUUGUAUAUAUGUUUUUAUAUUUAUAUAUAUAUAUAUAUAUAUAUAUAUAUGUGUGUGUGUGUAUUUAUAUAGUACUCAGUCAUCUGGGGUGGCAAGACAUAGCCUUACAUACUACAUGUGACAAUAUAUGGCGCAAUGACUUAUGGGGUUGGCAUAGAUUUUUUUCCAGGGCUGCUUUGCACCCCCAAUCCGGCCCUGGCCUUUGCUUUAUCCAAGGUUAAUUGAUAGGUGUUCUAUCAGAUUCCCCUACCCCGUGAAAUUUCCCUACUCUUGUCACUUCCAGUGAGGGGAAUCAGCUGGAGCCUGUGCUGCACGUGCAUGCUAGCACUCCUGAUGGGGUAGGGAAAUAGAUAGAGGCUCUGAGCAUGUCCUGGCAACUCCUCCACAGCAAGGUCCUGGAAGGUAAGUAAAGCUAGUUUUACACUUUCUUUAUAGUUAGUACAUUCACUAAGCUCAGGCACAUGGGACAUUUAGGGUUAAGUGAUUAUUGUAUCACAUGAGGCCUGUGUGUCUCAUUUUAUCGUUCUCUGAUCUAACUUUGAAAACACUGAAAACUCAUUAAAAAAUAAAUAAAUCACAAUUUAGAGAUAUGCCGCUAGUGUGAAAAAACACUAAAUAAAAACUAACCCCCUAAACCUAACCCUAAUUUGAACCCUAACAUUAAAACAAAGGUAGACACAAAUAACAAAUAACACUCAUAAGAAAGUGGUAUGUGAUUUGACAUCUACAUUUACAUGCACAAACCAAUCCUUUUCGUUCAAACUAAAGAAAUAUACUUAAAAAAUAUACAUGUCACAUCCAAAUUUUGUGUGUGUACUGGAAAUGAAAUCCUAACAGACAGGAGCUAAGAGACUCGGAUAGUGUGUUAAGGUUUAUACCACCGAAGAGGAGUGAUUAUGGAAAGAAAUUAAAGAUGAAGAAGGAAGAGGAAAGUGUGAAAGGAGAAAAAUAAUAAGGAUAGAAGCAAUAAAGAUCUCACCAUCACAUGCUUGCGUUCUUGAACCUGAUAGGCUUAGGCCUCCCAUCUGUUUUGGUAGGAUCGGGUGUGUCACCUUAAUUCUAGGUCUGUUGCCCUUCUAAAUGUAUUGAACAAGGGCCACAAUGAGGGAGGAGAAGAAGCCGUGGGGCAAGCAGAUCCAUAGGUAUAUGAUCAUAGGGAGGAGGUUCAUCUUGACAGAAUUAAUUCAGCCAAACCAGGAAAAACACAGUAGUGCCUAUAGUCUUAUAUUUACUACAAAUGUAUUUAAAAUUGUAUGGAAGUUGUAUUGGUAUGGUUGUAUUGGGAGUGAACAAUUUUCUGUUAUUUAGGAGAUACAUCACUACAUUAAAGAAUUUCUAGAUCUCUUAUCAGUCAAAGAUGUUUGAUUCCCCUCUAGGGUCAGUUAGCAUAGAUACCACAACUGGAUUACCCUUUAGCCUUAGCCAGAUCCUAAAAAUAUACAAAGAAUCAGAAAGGUAAAUGCUUAAUACAUUCAUUUCACUUCAUGGUGAUACCAAGUUCUUGGAAAGAAUAGGGCAUGUUCUAAUGUAUACAAUACAAUGGUUUGGAUGCAGAGAACAUAUAGUAGAAGCUGCUAUAUAUUUUUUAUAUUUUAUUUAAUUAUCUACAAUGUCUUUACCACUAAAUUGUUACAGUACAAAUAGGUCCUCUAAACUUUUAUGUACAUAUAUAAAUUUGUUUUUAAUCUAUUCUUGACAAGAACAUACCAGUUUCUGAUACACCUAACAUUAAUAAUGGCAAAUCAAUUACUUAAACAUUCUAAAUAAUCCUGACAAAACUAAAUUACUUUUCAUUCCAUACAUUUUUGUAUAUCAGAAAUAUUCUAGAAGAAACUUCUUUGAUGUCAACCACAUAUCAGUCAAAACAAUAACAUAAAAUGAUGUGAAAAUUAAUUUAGAUUAAAUUGAGAAAGCCUAAUGAACAUCAGUGCAAUAGACAUGACUAUUUUCUUUUACAUUGAGUUUAACAAUUCCACUUGUCUUCACUAAUCAAAAUGAAAUAUUGCAUUUUUACAUGAAAUAAUUAUUCUGUAAGACACAUUUAGAAUUGUAAAAUAUACAGACUGUGAAGACUUGUAAAUGGAACUGCCAUAUCCUAGGAUUUGUUUAAUUAUGUUUACCUAUCCCCUAUAUUUAUUAGAUAUACAUUUGUGAGGUAUGAAAAAUAAUGUUAAAGCGACUCUGUAGGUGGCCCUGCUGCAUGGGGGGCUCAACAUACGACCCUUGUUAUGGGCUGUGCUGUAUGAGGGGGCCUAAGAAGUGAAUGGAGGGGACGAAGUACAGAGAAUCUGAACAGAGGUUCUACCAGUUGGGAAGGCUCAAAACUUUAAAUAGAACUGGAACUCAAGAUUUCUGUAGGAUAGAGAAAUCGGCUAUCAUCCCUGUAGAUAUAAGGAAGUAGAAAAAGGUAGCGGCGCAGAGAUAAUAUGUACUAUUUAAUAUAAGCAAGUAGUAAUAUAGAAAUAAACAAUGAUAUAUAAUACAGAGAGAGAACAAUAAAAAAAUAAUAUAUAUAUAUAUAUAUAUAUAUGUAACGGACCGCCUGGCACCCCGACCGGGUACCUCCGUCUAACGCUGCUUCCUAGUACUUGCGAGUACCAUAAUCACUGCACUGGAACACCAUAACCACCGUAGACCCCACGAACCGCUGCAGCUUGGUUGGGGUCUCGCCGUCCUCCACCCACUCUGGACCAAAGACCAGGAUCCAGCUUCCAGUGGGUAGACCUCUCCUAGUCCAGAGAGCAUAGCAGGAACAGGGGAGAAACCGCAGCACUUCUGCCCACAGUUGCCGUGGCUUGACUGAGGCACUGGAACCGCUCCUUCCUGGAGCCGAAUGGGGAAUUCGUUCUAGUCCUUACAAGGACUUUCCCCGUUGAAUCCUCUGCAAGCUUGAACAGCAGACCCAGGAGUAAAUCUUCUUUAUCUCCAAUAACAGGACGACACACAGUUUUGGAGUGUAAGCUGGAAUAGCAUUUUAAUGGAGGCACACUGGCCUUUUAUGCAAGUUUCCCAACAAGGGUGACACCCAGGUGGACCUUGUUGGGCACAGGGUCACAAACUUCCAAACCAAUAACACAUUUACAAUGUAAGGCACUCCCCCACAUAUUACACAUAUCUUAAAAGUCCCAAAAGUACCCCAAAACACAACAUAUCCCCAUAAAACAUCCCCUGAUAGCCCUGCUCUGGGUAAACAACAUAUCCAAAAAUCACCCAGAUCAGAGCAAAGGUUCAGGAAUUUCCUGGAAGUCAUAGUUGUGACCGACACAUAGUGCACAUAGUCAUAUGCCCAAAACAGUUCCAGGGAAAUCAGUGCUAACAGUCGGUCAAGUUUGGUAGUCUUUUGCCGGUUUCCCUGCAGGGCCCAUAGUCUGUUGGCAGGAGGCUGGCAAGCAGGCUCCUCCAGGAUCUCGUGGCAAACUCACUUGGAGAGGGGAGUUUGUCACAAUAUAUAUAAAGAACAGUCCAAAAAGAGUCCAGUAAAACCUUGGAAUGAGAAAACAAUCACAGUCCUAUCUGAUGAAAAGACAUCUAUGCAGUAGUGGGAUCAAGGGGUUUGUGGGAUCCGUAUGAAAGAGAAAAGAAAAUCAAAUAGUGCAAUAAAACCCAAAUAGGUAGCAGCCAAUAAAAAAGGUCUAUAUGGUCCUACUUACGUUUUUGAGAGCUAAAAAUUACCUCUAGUAUAAUCAGCGUACAGUGGUAUAAUUCCCACUUAUGGGAUAUGUGAGGGAGUGUUGUAAUUCCCACUUAUGGGAUAUGUUAUGCUGCAUGAUACCUCGUCAGAUGGGGACCAUAUGUAACAUAAAAAACAACAAUAGUGCUCACUGUGAUAAAACCAGGAGAGUGUAUAAAAAUACCAAAUGGUUAUUCACAUUUAAUUGGGCAGACACACUGGUCAAUGAUUGGGCAUAAGUGGUAUAAUCCCCACCAAGGAUGCUUUGGAGUAGAUACCUCGUCAGAUGGGGACCAUAUGUAACAUAAAAAACAACAAUAGUGCUCACUGUGAUAAAACCAGGAGCGUGUAUAAAAAUACCAAAUGGUUAUUCACAUUUAAUUGGGCAGACACACUGGUCAAUGAUAGGGCGUAAGUGGUAUAAUCCCCACCAAGGAUGCUUUGGAGUAGUAUCUCUCUGGAACAAGUAAAACUUAGAUGCCGGGUAGUAAAAUAAUAAAAAUGGUAAAAAAGAUAAAAUGGCUAACUCACAACAAAGAAAGUGUCCAAAAUACCUUUAUUAAAAUACAGUUAGUUAAAAUUUCCACAACGCGUUUCUCCCCUUAGGAAUUUUUCAAGUGGAUAAAAAAUGUGCCACCUUUUUUUACUUCCUUAUACCUAUAUACCUAUAGAGCCUGUGAGGGAGCCCUAUCCUUUAUGUGUGCUGCCAUUAUUUAAGUUUUUAAGCGCUGAUCCUUCUGUACACUUAUCAUCCCUGUAGAGUAUGCUGAAAAAUCAACAAGCAAAAUAAGUUCAAAGUAAAGCUGCUGGUUAACUCUUCAGCCCAGCCUUCCUUGGUUGUCAAUAACUAAUUGUCAUUGAGUGAGAAAGUAAAAGAUUGUUUCUAUUUAUUGGUUUCCUGUAAGGCAGAAGGAUCAUGCAGGGUCGGGCGUUCCCUGGAGCUACUACCAAUGCAACCAUGCAGAGAGGUCCCCUUUUUCUUCCCCUGUUUAUUAUGUGUUUAUGAAAACACCAUGCUGCAUGAAUAUAAACUCUGAAAGGCAUCCUAGACAGUGCAUCAUCAUUUGUGUGAUAUGCCAGGCUUCUGCACCAUGGGUUCCUUAAGUCCCAAGUGCCUAGGAUUUCAGGCAAAGCCAUUCAACCACAUUGAUCUAAUGUGACAGGGACUGAGUCAUCCUCAGCAAACAGCGUGAGGUUCAGUCUCUCUGUGGUUUUCUUGACUGUUUUCUUCUAAUUUAACUAUGCAUAUUUCAGACUUUCAUAUGUCUGAAAUUUCAGGACCCUACAAUAAAUGCAUUUUAAUUCAUCAUAUGUGGCUCACGUGGCUUAAAGUGGUUCUGUCUUCAGAACAUGUCAUACCUGUAUCAUAAAGCUCUGUAAAUAUUGAAAAGGAACCAGCAGUAGAAUGUAUAAGGUUUGCCUUAGACUCCUAUUUUGUAAGCGAGUUACUGUAGCUAAGGAACAUUUCUUCAUUAACUCCAUUAUUGCAAAUUGCCUAAAGGGAUUUGUCACGAAGGAGUUAAAAACAAACUAUAGGUUCUUUAUCUAUUCUCUAAUUUUUUGAUGCAUUGUCUUCGUGUAUUGAAAAUAAAAUACAAAAAUACAUUUAGAAUUAAAAAUAAAAAGCAUGAUCACCUUAGAUGUUCUCUAGAUUAAUUGCUGUUUACUAGAGUUGCUUGCAGCAGCAGACAGACUUAUAUUUCACUAGGAAGACACCACCAAUCAGCAGCUUCCUUUUCAAGUUUGUGGGGUCUGAUCUUAUGCCAUAAACUUCUUAUCCAGCAGAGGUCUAUGAAAUAAGGAAUGGAACUGCUCCCAGAACUUAGAGAGAUAAUAAAGCAGCUGCUAUCAAUCAACACGUAGCUCGGUUCAAUGACUGAAUUCCAACCGCAAUGGCAAUUCUCAUACUUACCAAAGCCAAAUUCAAUCUGCAAUGGUCAGCCUCAAAGAAUCUGCUGCAAUCGCCCGUAUGUAAUCAAUGUCUAGAUUAAAACUGCUGCUUUCACUUUCUCUUGAGAUUUGGCUGUCAGAGCGCCCUUAUACAUAUUGCAUAGUCUGAAAAUUUUUCUCUCGCAUUGCAACAACUGACAUAGCAUGGGAAAGCCAAUAGAAGAGCCAUCACAGGUGAAGAUGGAUUACUUUUAUUGUGUUGCUCUUUUGAAGGUUUUUUUUUUUUUUGCAAAUCAGUUUAAUUUUUAAUUACAUGUGCAGCUUCAUAGGGAUAUUAAUUUGAGUAUAUAUAUAUAUAUAUAUAUAUAUAUAUAUAUAUACUUAAUGGCUAGUGGGAGAUUAAUUAAUUAUUUAUUUGAUGGACAAUGGCAGGUCCAUCCCUCCACUUUUUAAUUAUUUGGAGCCCACUGCCCACCGGGGUUUGGGACGGUUUAGGGGGAACACUAGGUCCUCUCCUCUGAAUAUUAUAAUUAUGGCCCCUAUCCACCACCCAUGUGUUCACUAGGUCUUCCUGUCUAAAUAAUAUUAUUAGGGCCACCAUCUGCCGCCAAUGGGUUGGCAUGAAGGCAUGGGGGCUAUGAGUCUAGUUUUAAAUAUUUAACAGUCAUGCUGAUGGAGGGCUAGGGAGGUUUUAAACUUCCUUUAUAGUAAUAUUGACUCACUGGUCUUAUUGAUUCACAUGAGCUUUUUAUUUAUUUAUGUUUUCACUUUUUUAUUUUGGUGGCUGGCUAGCAACCACUGAUCAGCCUCCGUAGAAUUAACACUAGCAUUGCCAAGGGUUUUAACAUUCAGUUGUUUUUUGUUGUUGUUUUUUUAAAACAAGCAUUUACAUUUCAGCCAUUCAUUUGGUCUAAUGGCCCAAUCUGCAACCGGAUUUUUCCCCCCAAUUUAGGACAGGACUAUUUGAACUUCAGUAAAUAACCCUGUGAAUAUUUGUGAAGGUCCAGGUCUCUCUAAAUCUCUUUUCUAUCUCAGUAUAAUUAAGUAAUCUUAGGUUAUAUAAGUAAGUUGAGAUUACUCUGUGACUGAUCUGAUUUAAUUUGUACAUUCCUGUUUUGUAUGCUAUGAAAAUAGAUUAUUUUGGGGCUGCUAAAUUACAUUCAACUUUUAAGAUGAAAUUUUAGAGUAAUUUUUCUUUUUUAAAAGCUUCGUUAGCAAUGUCAUUCUCAGCUAACACACUCUUGGGUAUUAUUACAUCCCUGCAGGUGUUAUAUGUUCACAAAUGCCAAUUGCCAAACAUCUAGCCCUUGACUGAUAGAGUAAAUGGCCAUAUUUUAUCUGUCUCUGUUGGCAUGUCAGUUUUAUGACUGAGAACUUUAGAUAAUAGCCUUUUUAGAGUUUCUUACACCAGUGUAUCAUUUGUGAUCAUAAAAUGGCAAAUUUGGCCAUUCUACCAAUAUAUUUCUUUUUUUUAUCACCACUGUUUGUCUUGUUUCACCUUUGCUAUCACCUUCAAUUAUACAGAAUGCAUUCAAUCAGUGAUGACUAACAUUUUAACUCUCAUGGUUUUGUGGACUAUGUCUCAUUGUGCUCAGUCAGCUGAAUGUCUGUGAAACUUAAAUGGAGCCUCCAGUUUGAGAUUCACUAUUUUUUUAAUGCACAGGACGCAUUAUAAUAAAAAAACAAAAAACAAAACAUGCAUUAAAAACUUUUUACGUGAAGAUAUUCUGAAAAAAAAAAAUUAACAAACAAUAAACUACUGGAUAGCUGCAUCUAUGUAACUAGUCCACAUAAUGAUAAAGCUUCCCUAUCAUUAUGUGUCCUCUUCUUUUAAUACAGGCUGCUUGACCUCCAACAGUUCAGCGCAUGAAAAAAAUAGCAGACUACACAACAAAAAUCUGAAUAAUUUAUUCUGAAAAAAAUGUUUUUUCCCUCAGACAGACCAAAAUUCGACCAUGCAAAAUUAUUUUUAUGAACUGAAAAUGCAAAAAUCUAAAUGACAAAACAAGUGAAAGGUUUGUCAAUGAGCCAUUUUGCUUGUUUCGUGAUAUGUCUAUUGGCAGUUCGGUAUUUCUGACAAAUCACUUGUCCCCCAAAUUCAGAAACAUUGCAGAUUCUUAAAAGUACAGCAUGUUAAUUCGGGUUGUUUAUUGGGGCAAUUCAUAGUCCACAUGUGUCCCACUAAUGCAAACACCCGGUAUUUGUAUUGUGCUGCUGUUCUCAAGUACACUGAUACACCACAUUUAUACCUUUUACUCUUAUCCUGUGCUUAAUACUGUCCCUAAUUCAACCCAUAACCUAACCCCUUUUCCUACCCCUAAUUCGAUUUCUAAUCUUACUUUUUUUAUCCAUGCCACUGGUAUUGCAGAACACGUGAGGUUGUUGGGCCUAUAGUAUUGGCUCUUAACGCUUCAUUACCAAGGGCAAAAAAUAUUACCCAUAUCUGUUGCUUGUGCUGUUGGUUUUGUCCUUCUGUGUGCAAACUUUUGCAGUCUGCUGUCCAUGCUUUCUAUAACAUAUGCAUCACAUACAUUGGAGCAGGAAUAUGAUGUAAUUCCCUGUCCCUCUUUAAGUCUCCUGCAGCUGCACGGACAAUAAGGAGCAUAGAAAACAGUCCGCCCCUGGCUAUAGGAAAAACAGCUAGGUACAAUAAAUCUCUACACUGGGCUUCCAAAUACCUCCUUUUGACAUAGGGUAAACAAAAGUAAGGAAGACCAAAAACUGCCAUUUAAAACCGUGUCUAUGAGUGUAGUAUGGAGUUCUGCAGUAAUGUGCAGUUUGUAUGAGUGUUGUAUGGAGUUUUUUUAGUUAAAUGCAUCGUGUUUAUUUAAUAGGGUUGCUACCUGGCCGGUAUUAGAGGCUGCCUGUCCGGUGCCGUAUUGAAGUAAUGGAGACACUGGGGGACACAGAGACACUAGGGGAUGCUGAGACACAUGGGGACACUAGGGGAGACAUUGGGGCACUAGGCCACACAGACAUAGGGAUACUGUGGGAUCCUGGGAAAAACAGAGAUAUGGGGACACUGGGGCACACAGACAUAGGGACACUGGAGGAUCCUGGGAGACAUGGGGAAACUAGGGCACAGAGACAUAGGGACACUGUUUUUUUUGGGAGAUAUGUGGACACUUAGACACUGGAGACACUGGGAGACAUGGGGACACAGACACUAGGGGAGACAUGGGGACAGUGUGAGACGUGUGGAAACUGGGAGACAUAGGUACACUGAAACACUAAGGGAUACUGAGAUACAUGAGGACACUGGUAGACAUCGGGACACUAGAAGACAUGUCUCCCAGUGUCCCCAUGUAUCUCAGUGUUCCCUAGUUUCUCAGUGUCCCCUGAUGUCUCAGUGUCCCAAUAUAUCUCAGUAGCCCCUAGUGUCUGUGUCCCCAUGUCUCCCAGUGUCUCAGUGUCCCUGAGACACUAGGGGACACUGGGAGACAUGGGGACACUGAGACACUAGGAUACAUAGUGUCCCCAUGUCUCCCAGUAUCCCCUAGUGUCUUGGUGUCCCCAUGUCUCCCAUUGUCUGUGUCCCUGAUAUAUUAGGGCGCACUGGGAAACAUGUGGACACUAAGACACUAGAGAAUACUGGGAUACAUAGGGACACGGGAGACAUGGGGACACUGAAACAUUAAGGUAGACAUGAGGACACAGGCACUGGUUGACUUAAAGACACUGCGCUGUGAGACAGGGAGACAGUGGGAGCAAUUACUCUUACAGCAGAAUCAAACUGUAAGUAGUUUUUGGGGGAUUUUAAAGAAUUUUCUUUUAUGUCACUCCUUGUAAUUUACAUAUUGUGAUGUCACGCAUGCAUAUUAAUUGUGCAAUAUGACAUGUUCAUGAGUACUAUGGAGCUUUGCAAUAAUAUGCAGGGUGUGUGAGUGAAGUAUGGAGAUCUGCAGUAAUAUGCAGUGUACAUGAGUGUAGUUUAGUGCUUUUUAGUAAUAUGCUGUGCAUUGUAGAGCUCAACGGUAAUAUGCAGUAUGUAUGAGUGUGUGUAUGGAGCUUUAUAGUCAUAUGACAUGCGUAAAGAGCUCCACAGUAAUAGGCAAAAUGUAUAGGUGUAUUAUAAAGCUCUGCACUAAAAAGGAAUGUGUAUGUGUAGAUUCUGCAGUAUGUCUGUCAGGGUUGUGGAAAUGUUUUUAAAAAUCUAUUGUCUAAAGGGCUAAAUUGAUAGCUCAAUAUACUUGUCCUAUAUUAAAUCUGAAAGAAAAGAACUGAGGCCUAAAUAGCUAACCUCGAAAAAUAUUCCAACUAAGCUAUAUAGUCACAACCAUAGGCGUGCGCACGGGGUGUGCCGGGUGUGCCUGGGCACACCCUAAUCCCCGUGGCACGCCUAUGGCUUGAGUCCUGCAGGAACAGCGUUCCUGCACUUUUUUUGAACAGGAACGCUGUUCCUGCAGGCACUCAGCGCCCCCCUGUCUCACCUCUUGCCCCUGUCAUGGGGAGGGCAAGAGGUGAUGGAUUACCCCCCCCCUGCAGCUCAGCGGGCGGCGAGGGAGCUCUCUGCUCUCUGCUGUGUGCUCCCUCUCGCCGCGCGCUGAUGCCGGGAGCCGGAAUAUGACGUCAUAUUCCGGCUCCCAGCUCGAGCAGACAGCCCGCGCGGCGAGAGGGAGCAGAGAGCUCCCUCGCCGCGGCUGAACUGCGGAAAGGCGCCCGCCCCCACUGGACCCCAGGGAAAAGUCCACCAGCACUCCAGGUAGGAGGCUGGGUGGACAUUUUUUUUUUUAAAUUGAAAUAUAAUAAUUUGUGUGUGUGUGUCAGUGUGUGUUUCUGUGAGUGUGUGAGUAUGUGUCAGUGUGAGUGUGUGUGUGUCUGUGAGUGUGUGAGUGUGUGUGUGUCUGUGAGUGUGUGUGUGUCUGUGAGUGUGUGAGUAUGUGUCAGUGUGUCUGUGAGUGUGUGUGUGUCUGUGAGUGUGUGAGUAUGUGUCAGUGUGUGUCUGUGAGUGUGUGUGUGUGUCUGUCAGUGUGUGAGUGUGUGUGUCUGUGAGUGUGUGAGUAUGUGUGUCUGUGAGUGUGUGAGUAUGUGUGGCUGUGAGUGUGUGUGUGUGUCUGUCAGUGUGUGAGUGUGUGUGUCUGUGAGUGUGUGAGUAUGUGUGUCUGUGAGUGUGUGAGUAUGUGUGUCUGUGAGUGUGUGUGUGUGUCUGUGAGUGUGUGUGUGUGUAUAUAUAUAUAUAUAUAUAUACACACACACACACACACGCGCGGCGUGUGUUUGUGCUUUAGGGUGCACACCCUAAUGCAAUAGGCUGGGCACGCCUAUGGUCACAACAGGCUUCUUUUCAGAUGUACAUUUUGAGUUUUCUGGUGAUGUGUGUUGGCUGAAUGUAAUGUGUGUGGUGCUUGCUUCUUGUAUGUAAUGUUUGUGUGGUAUUUGCUGACUGUCAUGUGUGCGUCUGGUGUGUGCAGACUGUAUGUUGUGUGCGUCUGGUGUGUGCUGGCUGUAUUGUGAGAGCCUGCGUGUGUGCUGGCAGUAUGUUUUUGUGUGAGUGUUUGCCUGGCACGUGCUGGAUGUAUAUUGUGUGUGUGUGUCUGGUGUGUGCUGACUGUAUGUAAUGUGUGUUUGUCAGUGUGUAGUGUAGUGGGUGUGGGAUCUCCUAUUUUUAACAAACCUUAAGUCUAAAUCAUUCUUCAAGUUUUUUGAGCUUCACACAAUCUCUGUAAUUUUUCUCUUAGCAGUUCUGGCACUGAGUGAGUCAUAGUGCAUACUCAGAGUCACGGCGGCUGCAGAGUGCUAGAAUCGCAGAUUGAGUGUCUGCUGAGAAUAUAGCACUCACACUCCUUGUCCCCAAACACUGUUUUCUCUCUAGCAGCCCUGCAGCUUGCAUGCCAAAGCAAACUGCUUGCCUGGCUACUGGAACUGCAUGUAAUGUGUGUGAUCUCUGUAUGGAAUACAAACGGAACUGCAUGCCCUGGGCAUCAGGUAAUAAAAAUUCCACAUCCCUGGUCUGUAAAUUACGGGGCUCCAUGAUAAUGAAGGGUGUAUAUCACAGAGCAUUACAAGCAUAUUUGUCUUUUAGCCACAAUAUAAUUUUUGUGCCCCUCCUGAGAUUGAGUUCUGGAUCCUCCCCUGAAAGAAAAUCAGGGAUUGAGUUAAAAGGAGAAAGCAGAUCAGUUACCUGGAAACCUUCAAAUAUUUUUUAAUAAAAACAACAUUUAGAAAUAUGCAUUUAAUUCUUUUAAUAUGCUUUUAAUGUGUUUGAUGCGUGUCAUGUUAAAGACUUACUCCAACCACCAUGACCACAGUGAUUUAAAGUGGUCAUGGUGGUAGAAGUCUGGAUGUGCAAUGUUUCAAUUUGAAACACUGCACAUGCAAAGAUAUUUUCAACUGUGUGCUGGGGGCAAGUUGUACCCCCUCUACUCGUGAUAUUUGGCAACCCAGAACUUCCUAAAAUAAAUUCUGUGCAUAAAUUACGUCUGUUGUCAGGGUGUACAGCAUGCUGACUCCACAUGUGAAAAUCUUCCCCUUGCAGGCAGAGAGCUUGGAAGGAGAAGCUAGCUCUACCUUCCAUCCCAGUGGACACUCCCUUCCCGGCGCUCCUUUGCUGGCAGAUCUCCUGGCCCAGCCAGGAGCGUGCACAUACAUCAGGAGGGAACGUGGAAGUAGGGAGACCUCCUCCAUAGUGCCCAACUAGUGCGUUUUACACAUAAACGGUCCCCGAUCCAAAGGGGUUUAAAGAGCAGAUUGUUGGUAUCUUGCUAUGUCCAUGUUUAUCCCCUUUUUUCUAAUUGUUUUUUUUUUUUCUGCUGAAACCCAUUAAAGUUGACUUAUUGACCUUAAGAAGAUUCCUCUUCAAGCAGGAAAACACAGGUGCCCAAAGACCCACCACAGAUUUGCAAUUAAAAUAUCAGUGGUUGAUAUUUUAUUGGCGCUAUUCCCAUUUAUUAUUUAAAGAGUUACUCACUUUUUGAACUCUUUAUACCUGGAGUGUGUUGUUCGAAUUUAAUAUUUCAUACAUUAAUCAUACAUUAAUAUCACAACUUUUUAUAAAAAUUAUAAUAUUUAUUUUUGUCAAUAAGUGUAAAUAUACAUGGUAAUUAGUGAACAGGUUUUCAAUAAUAUUGAACAAGAUAUGGCAUAGUACAGUAUCACAAUCUCAGUAGCAAUUUAAAACUCGUUAGAGUGAUGGGUUCAACUGGGUUAGCAUAUGGAAUAUGUUACUUCAUAUACAAAUGAUUGAGACAAUCAACAAAUAGAAUGUUACUAUUUGUUAAAUUAUAAAGAACCAUAUGAGUUUAUCAGCAUAUGGAUUAUUAUAAUUUAAAGACAGAUGUUCAGGAUCUUAAAGAAAUACAAUCUUACUUGUUUUUUUUUUUUUUACUCUUAGUAAGAUUUACAAUGUGUGGCGUGUUUGCUUAAUGUAAACACCAUCCAUUAGACUUAGCUGGACAGAGUUCGUUAUUUACUCAGGUGAUCUAUGCACAAAGUUUUACGGACAAUUUUUUAUCAGCUAGCUAUAGAAUUUUGACCAGCUCAGUGCUGACAAGUUAGUGUCUUAUUACCCCCUCCAAGCCCUACCAGGUGUCUGCUUCCCCCUCUCAGUGUCUCAUUGGCCCCUCCCAGACCCCCAAGCCUAACCUUGUUUCCCAUUCACCCCUGCCAGCCCCAUUCAUGUGUCCCAUUUCCCCUCCUAGCCCAAUCCAUGUGUCCCAUUUCCCCCCUUCCCUCCCUGUCCAUGUGUCUAUCCUCCCUCCCCUAUUGUACCUGUCAAUGUGUCUCUCCCCCUUCCCUCCUGUACCUGUCCAUUUGUCUCUCCCCCCCUCCUUCCUAUACCUGCCAAUGUGCCUCUCCCCCCUCCCCUUCUGUACUUGUCCACGUGCCUCUCCUCCAUCCCCUCCUUUCAGGUGUCUCUCCCCCCUCCCAUCCUGUACCUGAUCACCAUGGUACAGUACCCGGUCUGCCAGGAAGUGCUCUCUCAGUGAGCACUUCCUGGGAGACUGCAGUCCGCUCAGCCACACUACAACAGUGGCAGGAGGGGAGCAGCUCAGCACAGCACUCCCCUCCUACCGAUCACCAUCAUUGUUACUCACCUUUCUCUUCUCCUCGGUCUGCAUCUACGGAGCGCCGCCGGCACAAAAUGUCGUCAAAAUAAAAUGGCGGCGGGUCCGUGGAGCAUUCGUAAAGGCGGUAGUACGUAAAGCAGGAGUACGUAAAGCGGGAAAUGCCUGUACAUUUCUAUAAGUUUCAAACAGCACGUGGAGCUGUUGGUUUACGUCAGGAGCAUUACCAGCUAUUAUUAUAUAGGGUUAAUCCUUAUUCAGGACAAUUUAGGAAUGUUUAAUUUUAAGAUGCUUUAGGUAGCAUUUCUUCUUUCUCUGUGUGGACUUUGGUUGUUCAAACCAUUGUGUCCUUGCUCACCUAAGCAUUAUGGCAUUUCAAGAUUUUUAAGCUGUCUAACUUAAUUUAUCUGUAGGUAAUUACAUCUUUAUAUGUAUACACAUGUUUCUCUCUCUCUCUCUCUCUCUCUCUCUCUCUCUCUAUAUAUAUAUAUAUAUAUGUAUAGAUUGCUAACUUAGGCUAAAUCACACUAUAUAAUUAAACUUAAUAUAAUUAAACUUAAUUUCUAUGCCUUAUAGCAAUAUAUGUGUGUUUGCUCAACAUGUAUUUUUUUUUUUUUUAAUAACACAUACUUAUCUGUGUUCUUAUCUUUAUUGACACAGAUGUGUUUACUUUUGCCUGUCUCUUUUAGCUGACAGGGCCAACAUUUGAGAAAAACAUCUUGUUUCUUCAUUGUAGCACCUCAUGGCAUAUUAGCUAAAUUUUGUUUUUGCUAUUAUGCAUGUAUAAAUUUUUAUCACACAAUAUAUACGUAUUUCUUUCCUACACAAUAUCUCUGACACAAUGUAAAGAUAGCAUUUUCUAUAAAAAAAAAAAAACUGCAAUCAAGUAUUGCUUUGCUGACCUUUCCUAUUACGUAUUCACAUGUAUAUAGUUUUUUGUUUUUUUAGACUUUCUGAAUACCACUUAGGGCCGGAUUAACAUAGGGGCAGAUGGAGCUGCAGCUCCAGGCCCAAUCAUGUGUAAGAAAAUGUAUCUGUUGUUAGCGCACACUGCACACUGGCAACAGAUAUUAGAUAUUAUUAACUUUUUCCCUCCCUCCUUCCUUCAGUUAAGCCCUCUUGCUUUCCUACAUAUAUCUAUUUUUAUUGUAAUAUAUAUUUAACUUCCCUUCUCCCUCCCUUUCCUCUCCAUCUUAGAAUGUAUGCAUCCGCUCUGAGCCUGUUAAACAGUCCAAUCAAAUGCUUUUCUGUGAUUUGCGUUUCAUUGGACCUCGCCAUGGCUGUCAUGAUGCCAUGUUUUCUGACUCUCCAUUGUUAGUAGUAAAGGCAGGGAUCAGCACUCCUGGUAGAAAGUCAAAUCAUUCCAAAACAGUUUGACUACUAACAAUGGGAUUCGGCCCCAGGGCACUCCAGACACCUUAACCACGUCAAUGAACUGUAGUGGUUACAAAGAUAAAAUAUAAAAUAUAUAAUGUAGAAGUCAUGACAAUAGCAGAGUUGGAUAAUGUCACCAUGUCGGAGUAUGGUGUAUGUUAGAAUUUUUGUAGAGACAAUGCAUUGUAAAUAUGGGGACCACCUCCACCAUGGGUUGUGCCAUUAGCAGCACACAUUUUAAUAUGUCAAAUAAAACAGAAAAAAAAUGUUUUCUUUGUGUGUUUUGUUGUAUAUAUAUUUUAUCCCUAUAGUUUCUGAUGCACCUGGGCAUGAGAAGGGUUAAUCUAUGCAUUAUCUUGCUUUUCGCAAACCCUAGCAUUAAAUACAUCCAUACUGAAUAGAUGAAGCGGUGAAGAACUGCAUUUAUUUUUAACAAAUCCCACAGGAAAAGCUCUGCAUGAUAACUAUGCACUAACAGUUGGAACUGAAGGCUUUUCAAAUAUCAGUACAUUAUCAUUUUCCCAAUCAGUAAUAUGCUCUGAAAUAUUAGGACAUUGCAAAUCUCAAAGUUUCUUGUGUGUGCUGAUAACCGUAAUCUAUAUCACCACAUUGUCUGAUCAAAGCAAAGUUCUACCCAGUGAAAAUGUAGGGCUUAAUUAACUAAAGUCAGCAUUAGGAUUCCUUGUACUUUUUAAAUAUAUGAAGUAACUAUACAGGUUAAACCACCAACUUUGCCAAACAAGAACUUAAACAUGUAUUAUAUACCUCUUUAUUAGUGUUGUGUGCUGUGUUACUUAAAGUAUAGGUAUAUGGACUUAUACAGAAUAUACUAUUCUGCAUUAAUUAUUUUAAAAAAUUGCAUAUUUCAAAAUCGUUAUUAAGACCACAUGGAAUAAUUUCACUAAAGUAUAAGUGGAUCUACACUAUAGUCUGUAUCUUUUUACCCUGAGAUAAUCAGAGGAAAAGGGGUAAAAUAAAAGUCACCACCAGAACUACUACACCAACGAGGUGAGUGGUCGCCCAAAACGGACCAACAAGCAAUACAUACCGGAGCUAGGUCAUAUAGCUCUGGAAAUUGUGAGUGUUAAAUUGGCAAUUCAUGCACUUUUAACUGUUUUAAAAAUUUUCACACAAUUGCACUUUAUGUCUUUGUUUAAAGGGAUAUACGCUUGAUUGAAGCUGCUCAAAAGAGGAAAUGGAGCUAAGCGCUUUUAUGGUAUAUAUAUAUAUAUAUAUAUAUAUAUAUAUAUACUGCUCAAAAAAAUAAAGGGAACACUUAAACAACACAAUGUAACUCCAAGUCAAUCACACUUCUGUGAAAUCAAACUGUCCACUUAGGAAGCAACACUGAGUGACAAUCAAUUUCACAUGCUGUUGUGCAAAUGGGUUAGACAACAAUUGGAAAUUAUAGGCAAUUAGCAAGACACUUCCAAUAAAGGAGUGGUUCUGCAGGUGGUGACCACAGACCACUUCUCAGUUCCUAGUGGUGGCAUGAGACGGAGUCUACAACCCACACAAGUGGCUCAGGUAGUGCAGCUCAUCCAGGAUGGCACAUCAAUGCGAGCUGUGGCAAGAAGGUUUGCUGUGUUUGUCAGCGUAGUGUCCAGAUCAUGGAGGCGCUACCAGGAGACAGGCCAGUACAUCAGGAGACGUGGAGGAGGCGGUAGGAGGGCAACAACCCAACAGCAGGACCGCUACCUCCGCCUUUGUACAAGGAGGAACAGGAGGAGCACUGCCAGAGCCCUGCAAAAUGACCUCCAGCAGGCCACAAAUGUCUGCUCAAACGGUCAGAAACAGACUCCAUGAGGGUGAUAUGAGGGCCCGACGUCCACAGGUGGGGAUGGUCCUUACAGCCCAACACCGUGCAGGACGUUUGGCAUUUGCCAGAGAACACCAAGAUUGGCAAAUUCGCCACUGGCGCACUGUGCUCUUCACAGAUGAAAGCAGGUUCACACUGAACACAUGUGAUAGAUGUGACAGAGUCUGGAGACACCAUGGAGAACGUUCAGGGCCGGACUGGCCCACCGGGAUACCGGGAAAUUUCCCGGUGGGCCGCGGCACCUGGGGCCGCGCUGACAGCCCUUAUCAUUGCUCAGGCUCCUGUGAUCCCGGCCGGCCAUGUGUGAGCUGUGCGGCCGCACAGAGCCCCAUGGGAGCAGGGGGUGCCAGGCAGCCGGCACAGCUCACACAUGGCCGGCCGGGAUCAUAAAAAAUAAAUUAAAAAAUUUAAAAUAAUAUUGAGGCGGGGCGGAGCUUAGUGUGAGAGGGGGUGGGGCUUAGCAUGCAGCGGGGGCGAGGCUUAGCGUGCAGCGGGGCCAGGCUUAUGCAGCAUGGGAAGUAGGAAGGAGUCCCUGCUUCCCCAACAACCAGCCUCCAGGAGCUCCAAGGAGGAGGUAAGAAGCAGGUCAUUGUGUCUGUGUGUCUGUCUGCCUGUGUUUGUGUGUGUGUGUGUGUGACUGUCUGCCUGUGUGUGUGUGUGUGUGUCUGUCUGCCUGUGUGUGUGUCUGUCUGCCUGUGUGUGUGACUGUCUGCGUGUGUGUAACUGUUUGUGUGUGACUGCCUGCCUGUGUAUGUGUGUGGCUGUCUGCCUGUCUCUGUAUGUGUGGAUGUUUCCCUUGGUGUCAGUGACUGUCUGCCUCUGUGUAUGGAUGUCUUUGUGUGUGUGCAUUUGCUAGUGAGUGAGCGAGCGAGCUUCUGUGUGUGUGUGUGUGUGUGUGUGUGCGCGCAUCUGCUAGUGAGGGAGCCUCUGUGUGUGUGCGCCUGCUAGUGAGUUUGUGUGUGUGUGUGUGUGCCUGCUAGUGAGUGAGCUUGUAUGUGUAUCAGUGAGCUUGUCUGUAGGGAUCAUAUGUGUGUGUGCGUGUUAGUGAGCUUGUCUGUAAGGAGCAUGGGUGUGUCGGAGCCUGUCUGUGGUGAGCAUGUGUAUACAGUUAGCUUGUCUGUAGUAAGCAUGAGUGUGAUCGUGAGCUUGUCUGUAGUGACCAUAUGUGUGUCAGUGAGCUUGACUGUAGUGAGCAUGUGUGUGUCAGUGAGCUUGUCUGUAGUGAAUCUGUGUGUUAGUGAGCUCUUCUGUAGGGAGCAUGUGUGUGUCAAUGGGCUUGUCUGUAGGGAGAGUGUGUGCGUAUCAGUGACCUUGUCUGUAGUGAGCAUGUGUGUGUGACAGUGAGCUUGUCUGUAGUAAGCUUGUGUGUGUACCAGAUUUUGUCUGUACUAAGUUUGUGUGCGUGCCAGUAACCUUGUCUAUGUGUGUCAUUGAGAUUGUCUGUCAAUGAGCCUACUUGUGUGCAUCAGUAAGAUUGUCUGUGUCUGUGUGUGAGUAUGCUUUACUGUAUAAUUUAAUUACCCUGAAAGAAGAAAUGUAUCAAUAAUAUAUACAUAUAUAUAUAUAUAUAAGCUUUAGUACCUUGCACUCAGGCUUCAAAGUUGUGUGACCGGGUGCAUCACCAGGGCUCCAGUAGCCAGGCAAUUGAAAUAGUUGGCUGCACUCUCAGAUUUCCUUAAAACAUAACUUUUAUUGAAAUAUUUAGGAGAAGAUCAAUGUUUCAGUCCCUCUUGUGGACUUUCAUCGUGAUCCUGAUGAAAGUCCACAAGAGGGACUGAAACGUUGAUCUUCUCUUAAAUAUUUCAAUAAAAGUUACGUUUUAAGGAAAUCCGAGAGUGCAGCCAACUAUUUCAAUUGCCUAUAUAUAUAUAUAUAUAUAUAUAUAUAUAUAUAUAAACACCCUACAUAGCACAAUGACUUAUGGGGCUGGCAGUGAUUUUUUCCAGGGCUGCUUCGUAUCCCCAGUCCGGCCCUGAGAACGUUCUGCUGCCUGCAACAUCCUCCAGCAUGACCGGUUUGGCAGUGGGUCAGUAAUGGUGUGGGGUGGCAGUUCUUCAGGGGGGGCCGCACAGCCCUCCAUGUGCUCGCCAGAGGUAGCCUGACUGCCAUUAGGUACCGAGAUGAGAUCCUCAGAACCCUUGUGAGACCAUAUGAUGGUACGGUUGACCCUGGGUUCCUACUAAUUCACGACAAUGCUAGACCUCAUGUGGCUGGAGUGUGUCAGCAGUUCCUGCAAGACGAAGGCAUUGAUGCUAUGGACUGGCCUGCCCGUUCCCAGGACCUGAAUCCAAUUGAGCACAUCUGGAACAUCAUGUCUUGCUCCAUCCACCAACGUCACGUUGCACCACAGACUGUCCAGGAGUUGGCAGAUGCUUUAGUCCAGGUCUGGGAGGAGAUCCCUCAGGAGACCAUCCACCACCUCAUCAGGAGCAUGCACAGGCGUUGUAGGGAGGUCAUACAGGCACGUGGAGGCCACACACACUACUGAGCCUCAUUUUGACUUGUUUUAAGGACAUUACAUCAAAGUCGGAUCAGCCUGUAGUGUGUUUUUCCACUUUAAUUUUGAGUGUGACUCCAAAUCCAGACCUCCAUGGGUUGAAAAAUUUGAUUUCCAUUUUUUUAUUUUUGUGUGAUUUUGUUGUCAGCACAUUCAACUAUGUAAAGAACAAAGUAUUUCAGAAGAAUCUAGGACGUGUUAUUUUUGUGUUCCCUUUUAUUUUUUUGAGCAGUGUAUAUAUAUAUAUAUAUAUAUAUAUAUAUAUAUAUAUAUAUAUAUAUAUGCAUGGAAUGAUUCUGACACUACAUAGAUAGCACUCCACUAUUUGUUUUAUAUAUUUGUCAUUCUAUUAGUUAUCCCAACUUUAAAAAAGUAUUUUCUUCCAGCGCCUUAGAGUUUGCCAAUGCUGGCUUUUCCCCAGAUCCUCCUCCAUGGCUGACAUCAUCAGAAUUUCCCAAUCCCAUAGAAAAAGAGUUACAUUUGAAUUUCACUUAGAAUUCUUACUGUAGUAAAUAACCCUGCUAGUUAACUAUUAGAUUCUGCUAAUUGUAAGAAAGUGACAGUAUAAAUUUAAGGCCCGCAAAACAUUAAGAAAUUAAAGAGUUAAGGUUUUGACCUCUGCAGCACAGUAUAGGGGCAGUAGUUGCAGCUUAGUGCCUGAUGAUAGGCCCCAGUGCAUUCUGUGUAAUAAUUUAUUUUUACCUACACACCCCUUUCCUCCAAUCUUCACUCCCAAUCAAUUAUACAGAGCCCGCUGCCACGUUGUUCUCACCUGUCUGUUUUAUUUAUGAUAACACACGGUAUAGAAGUCAUUAUCACAGAAUCAUGGCUCUGUGAUGUUAUUUUGGAAACAGUUUGUGUAGAGCAAACUGCUGCCUGAGAUUGUGACCAAGAAAAUGAAACAUAAAUAAAUUCCUUAGUAAACAUGAUCAUACUCGAAUCGCAAAUUGUAAUCAGCAUGGCGUGAUGCCUGUAUUAAUUCCAGCUACACAAUCUGUUAUUUAAAGUGAUAGCAACAUGUAAUAAAAACAUAUGUGCCGUAUGUUGGUGUAUAACUGUGUUCAAAUGGUGGCUAGAACAACUAAAAAAAUAAAUUACACAGAAAUUUAUUUGGAUACCUGUCAUAAGCCCCAUCUGCACAUUAACAUAAUCAUAUAUCUAAUAUAUUUAUGUUAAUAUUUUUCACGGGAAAACAACACAUUUCACAUAUGAUAUUUGAGCAGGAAAAAAAAAAAAACACCUUUAAUAUAUAUUUACACUUUAUCUCAUUUGCCAGAAUAUAAACACAAACUGGUUUCAGUUUGUGUGGCUUAUUUGUCUACAGUAUCAAUACCCUAGAAUUGAACAAGCUGAUUUGAUUUACCAAAAAGGCCAAAAUUGUGAACAUCCAAUUUAGAAAUCUUUUACAAAAUCCCAACAAAUACAAUAUUACACCUUCUGCAUCGCCAACUGACAAAUUAAAUGUGCUGGGUGGUUUUAGCAGUCUGGCUCAACAAGUACAUCUCUUGCAGUUUGCUUAGCAAUUAGAAAUUGGACAUUUGCCGUGGCAUGGUAUUUGGCAAAGGAAUCUCUUGGCUUUCUGCUUAGCGGCAAGUUAAGAAACAAAAUAUAGAAUUUAAAGGUACUAGCGACUAAAUCCACUAAAUGCAGUAUCCAUGCUCACAACCCUGUAUGUUUACUGUUUAAACUAUGCGUAAAAGCUGUUGAAAAUCUGCAGCUGCAAACACUGGGAGUUUUGUGACAGUUACCUUUAUUUGAGGCCCUUCACUAGGAGCUUCAACCUAGAACGUGUAGCUAAAACCAAUGCAUUUAUUAAUAUGACGCUCUUUAACAGCACACUGUAGUGGUUAUGGUGUCAAGAAGGCCAUGGCACCCUGCCCCCCAGUUGUGGCUAGUGAAUGGGGGCAAUUCUGCUAUCAUAACCACUGCAGAGUGCUGUUGUGCUUAUUGUGUUUAUGAAGUGUUCAUUUAAAUGGUUUCUCCAAUCACCACCAUAACUACUACAGUCCGCUGAUGUGGUUAUGAUAGUAGGAGUACCCUGGUGCUCUUCCCCAGUAUUGGGCAAAGUAUAUUACAACAAUUUUUCCUCUUACCUGAGUCCAGGUUGGGGGCCACAUCUCUUACAUAGUGACAUAGCUGAAAAGAGAUUUGCGUCCAUCAAGUUCAGCCUUUCUCACAUAUGUUUUUGCUGUUGAUCCAAAAGAAGGCAAAAAAAAAACAGUUUGAAGCACUUCCAAUUUUGCAACAAACUAGGAAAAAAAUUCCUUCCUGACCCCAGAAUGGCAGUCAGAUUAAUCCUUGGAUCAAGAAGCUAUUACCCUACAUUAAACAUUUAUAUCCUUGAAUAUUCUAUUUUUGCAAGUAUGCAUCUAGUUGCUGUUUGAACUUCUGUAUGUACUCUGAUAAAACCACUUCUUCAGGCAGAGAAUUCCACAUCCUUAUUGUUCUUACAGUAAAAAAGUAUUUUCUUUGCCUUAGACAAAAUCUUCUUUCUUCCAGUCUAAACGCAUGACUUCGUGUCCUAUGUAAAGUUCGGUUUGUGAAUAGAUUUCCACACAACGGUUUGGAUUGGCCCCAGAUAUAUUUGUAUAAUGUUAUCAUAUCCCAUCUGAGGUGACGUUUUUCUAAACUAAAGAGGUUUAAAUUUGUUAACCUUUCUUCAUAGCUGAUAUGUUCCAUUCCUAUUAUUAACUUUGUAGCUCGCUACUUUUUCUAGUGCCACAAUAUCCUUCUUUAGAACAGGUACUCAAAAUUGCACAGCAUAUUAAAGAUGUGGUCAAACCGGUGAUUUAUAAAGAGGCAAAAUGAUAUUCUCAUCUCGAAAUGAAUGCCCUUUUUCAUGCAUGAUAAUACCUUACAGGCCUUAGCCACUGCUGACAUUACACAUUGUUGCAUAGUUUGUUGUCUAUAACAAUUCCCAAGUCCUUUUCGUAUGUUGUUAUCUCUAAUUUGCUUCCAUUAAGAGUAUACGUUGCUUGUGCAUUCUUUAGUGCCCAGUCCCUCAAUCUAUCUAAAUCCCUCUGUAGCAAAGUAAUAUCUUGCUCACAUUGUAUUACUUUACAGAGUUUUGUGUCAUCUGCAAACACUGAAUCAUGACUUUCAAUGCUUUAUUCAAGAUCAUUUAUAAACAUGUAAAAUAGAAGGGGUCCCAGAACAGAACCCUGGGGGACACCACUUGCCACUUCUGUCCAGUUUGAAAAUUUACCAUUAAUGUCAACUCUUUGUACUCUAUUUUUAGGCCAAUGUUCUACCCAAGAACAAGAAUGUUCACCUAGACCGAUUUCUUUGAGUUUAAACACUAAUCUAUUGUGUGGAACUGUAUCAAAUGCCUUGGCAAAAUCCAAAUAGAUCACAUCCACUGCAACACCCUGAUUUAUACUUCUACUUACUUCUUCGUAGAAUGCAAUAAAAUUUGUUUGACAUGACCUGUUCUUCAUAAAACCAAGCUGAUUUUUGCUGAUAACCAUGUUCUUCUCAAGGAAUUUUUGAAUAUUAUCCCUUAAUAACCUUUCAAAUACUUUUCCACCCACAGAAGUUAAGCUCACAAGUCUAUAAUUUUCAGGCAAGGAUUUUGAACCCUUUUUGAAUAUAGGAACCACAUCUGCCUUCCUCCAUUCCUCCGGAACACUUUCUGAAAGAAAAGAAUCUUGAAAGAUUAAAAACAGAGGUUCACUUUUUUUCUCCACUUAGUUACUUAAGUACUUGUGGAUGAAUACCGUCAGGCUCUGGAGAUUUGUUUGUUUUGUCCAUAGUUUAUGCUUCCUGUGCUAUUAACCAUUUCCCCCAGCAUAUAGUUAAUUAUAUAAGGCAUUGCUUAACAGUUUGACUUUUAACAUGUUUGUUUCAUAACAUUAUGUGAAAUUAAGUAGUAUUUAUCUGCAUAUACUUAAUGCUAUGCCAUAUUCAGUUAGAACAUAAUAUGGUGUCAAGCAGCAGGAUGUCCAUGUGUAUUAUAUUGCAUGUAGUAUGCAAAGUGCUUCUGUCUGCCUCAUUAUAGUGAUAUGUAUAUAUUUUACUCGCCUGUGUGCACUUUCAUGGUCUUUCAUGGUAAAUCGGGUGUUGCCUGGAAUAAAAAGAGCUCUUGAAGGCUCCAGCCUGCCUCUAAUGCCUCUAUUUCGGAUCCCGUCCUGUAGAUUGUGUUAUAACUGUCCUUACAUGAUUCCAUGAGAGAGAAAAUAAAAAUAACAAGUGAUCUGCAGCGAUAGUGAAUUAUAGAUUGUGAAAUGGUGUUUGCUUCAGACAGUUAUGGUUCCUUAACUCCUUAAUGGCUAAGUGCCAUAGUUUGCAACAUCACAAUAUUGUCCCCAAAGAUAGGAUGUCAGCAUGAAAUAUCUUGCUUAUUUAGCUUUGGAAAUGUUGGAGUUCUGCUUUUGUUAAAAGAGCAAAAGUUUUCAUUACGGAAUAUGAUCAUAAUGACAGCAUAAACAUUGAUUAGUCCUUAAGGGGUUAAAUCAUGGUGCAUUACUAUGAAAUAGAUAUCUUAGUCUACUCAAAAUGAUGAUAGUUACACCAGGUAGAAGCUGCAUAAAACAUAGAAUAAAAUAAAAUAAAUUCCAUGCACACCAAGAAUAAUUGCACAUAAAAAAAGUUUUCAAAGUGGGUUGGGGGACAGCUGGAAAGAGGAGUGUGGCACCCGUCUGCUUCCAAAGUGUAGGUUGUUUUUUUUAUUUUUUUUACCAUUAAAAUUGAUAUAUUUAUUUUUUUAUAAUUUACUAAUACUGGUUUGUCAUCUGUUGAACUUACACUGCCUCAGUGGUUCAACCCUGGCUCUAUCAGAGAUCAGACUGAUAUUAACAGCAGUGUAUCGAACCUUAUAGUUUCUUAUCUUGUAUUGGUUAUUAGAAUGUUCUUCAUAGCUAGCAUAGUGUACUGCAUAUUAAUUAUGUCAAAAUACUCUCAUAGGGAACAUCCUAGUACAAGCAUGUCAAACUCAAAGGCUAAGACGGGCCAAAUAAACAAGGUUUACGUUUAUGUGGGCCGCAAAAAAAACAAACUUCAGUUUCCAUAGAAACGUAGGUGUAUUUAGAAAAGUACAGUAUAAAAAAAUGUUGCCUAACUGACACUGGACGUCCUCUCACUCGUAGGGCUUCAAAAUAUAUGCAUAUAGACAUCGUUUCAGUCAAACUACCUUGACAUAUUAAGAAAUGUUUGGUAAUGGGACUGAAAUGGUGAAUGUAUGCUGUUGCACAGCUGUAAAAACAAAUGACGUUAUCUUGUUUUUUUUUGAAGUUCUAGGAGUGUGUUCUUCACUUUGGCUGAGAUCAUCAAACUUCCAAGACCACUUAGAUACGCCGCAAUUAAUUUGAAGGAGGCGGAAUUCGGUAAAAACAACGUAUGAACAAAGAGGC